CGCUAUUAAGGCGGCUUUCACUUCCUUCUUCCCUCUCUUCUCGACUUGCCUUGUAACCCAGCUUAUCGUUUCUGGGAUCAGUUUGAUCCUUGGUUUAGCCUUUUCUGCAGUAGUCAUUUUAGGCUUCCAAGUUCAUUACCCUUCACCUUAUUUUAUUUUCCUUUGCCUUGUUUACGUGAUUAUUCUCUUGUUUAUUGUGGUUCAUUUACAAGUGAAUUGGAUAUUUGCUUACGUAGUCGUCGUCGUUGAAUCAAGCUGGGGGUUUGAACCAUUAAAGCGAAGUCGAAAUUUAGUUAAAGGAAUGAAAGGGGUUGCUUUGAAGAUUAUACUGCUUUUCGGCUUCGUAAUUUCCAUUAAUACCUGGCGCUCAGUUAUGACAUACAGGGAUUCAGCUGCUCAUAAAUGGACAAGUUGGGUAUUUGUUUUGAAUAUGGACGUCACUUCCACCUUCUCUAUGAUGUUAAUGUUUUGUAAUUUAGCUGCAAAUACAGUUUUCUAUAUAUAUGCCACGGCUGUACAUGGAGAGCUUGCUGAAGAUGAGGAAUUUGCAGUUAAGAAUUCAAGUUUGGCUGUGGAAGAUGCAAAAGUUCCUCGCGUUGUUUCAAUGGUUUAAUGCUUGAUGAAAACAGGUAAUUCGAGUUCCAUUUAUGUUCUGUUUUUUGUUUUUGUUUCUGUUUUUUUAAGUCUUGCUUUGCAUAGAUAACAUGCUUUCACCAGUGGUGGAAAAACUAACACGUAAGCGAUUGAGAAGUAAUAGGAAAAGAAAAAAUCAGAACAGAGAAAAAUUAGGAGAGAAGGAGAAUGAAGAGUUAUAGUUACAUUAGUGUGUAAUUAAGAGGUUCUUUGACUUUUUAUGCUUUUAAAAUAAGGAAAACGUAAGCGAAGCAGGAGGCAGUUUACCUAGCUUUUACAUCAAUGAAGGUAACUUGGGCACAACUCACUUUUGGUUAGUUUUGUUAAACUUUGGUUUCUGGUGACCCCUAUCCUCAUAUUUUUCCUCCCAAAAUUUUCAUCUGAAUAAAUUUAAAUUCAAUUAAAAAUGUUAAAAAUUAAAAGUAAAAAAUUGAUUUGUCAUUCUCCUAUUAGAAAAGAAUAAGGAUAACGUAGAAUCACAAUUUCAUAUAACCCCUUCUCCUGCCAAGUUUUAAAUGUGACAACCAACCCAUCAAUUAAUUUCUUUUUUCUUUUUAAUUAAAGUGAUGCUGAUAGGCUUUGACACAGUAUCCAUAAAAAAUAUUUUUUCAUAUUUUUUCAAUUUAUUUUAAUUGAUACAAAUUUUUUAAAAAUAAAUUUACCAGUGCUGUCUAGCACACCAGAGACAUCCAUUAAAAAAUAUUUUUUGUUUUUUUUGCACUGUGAAUACUCAUAUUUUUACGAGUAUUUCAAAAAAUACAUAUGAGUGUCAUUUGACAUAAUGCAACAACAAUUUUUUUUCCAAAUAUGAUGAUUGAGAGGAAAAAUGGGUGGUGCUGCUUGUCACUUAAUCAGCACCAACAGUAGUUGUAGCAAACAAGUCAUUUUUGUAUAUAAUUUUUCCUCCAAGUUAUUUUCAUAAUUAAUUAAUUUUUUAGGGUUAUUUAAAAAAAAGUUGAAAAAGUUAGUAUAUGAUUCUAUGUGAAAUUAAAUGUCAAUGAACUAAAAUGAAUAAAUGAAAUAAUACAUUAUAUGGUUAUGGUAUGAUGAGGGCUUGAGGUACAGUUGGGAAUAGGGUUGGUGAAUGAGGGUUACGGCAGAUGAAAGGAAUACAGGAGUUCUAUUUACGAUAUGUUCAUGCUUAUGUUCUUCAGAACAUGGUGUAUAGGUUGGAUAUUGGAGUUUUGUUAUCAAAUUUCCGUUAAAGGGCCAAGAAUCUUGUUUUGGACUUGGACUCUAGGAAUUAUGUUAUCGAUAUUCUGAUUAUGAUCAUGAUCUACAAAAUACAUGAGUAAUAUGUGAUACCUACAUGAAAAGUUAUAUAAUAUGAUAAGCCAUAAAGUAAGCGAAAAUAUAAGAAAUUGUAUGAUUAUAUGGAAGAAAAGAAUAACGAAUUUAGUUUAAUGAUCUGUUAAAUUUAAAAGUAAAAUAUAUGAAUUAUGCAAAACAAUGUUCAAGAUCUCAAAAUGAUAAAAAUGAUGUAUGACAUGUAAAUGACAAUGUAAGAAAUUCUAUGACAAAAUAAUAUAAAUAAAUAAUGAAAUUAGGUGGAUACUUUAUAAGUUUAAUAGGUUGCAUGUUAUUUCAUAGUAUAAGUACUUUAUUAAUUUAUUUUAAUUUAAAUGGUAUAAAAUAUGCUUAAAUAAAAUAAUUGGUAAGCUAUUGAAUUCAAUUAGGUACUUAUUAAGCUAUUCACAUAGCUUAACAUGUUUUUGAACACAUAAGUGAAAGAAAGUAGAUUGAAGAUACGAGAAGUACUUCUUCACGAGAAUCAUAUAAACUCUCAAAGUUUCAAGACUUUUUUUAUAUAUGAUUUUUGACUUUAGAGAUGACAUGUACUUAGGUUUGGUAGUGUAAAUAUGAACUAUAAAAGUAUAUUAGACAAAUUUUAAAGCAAAUGUAUGAAUGGGAUUUCAAAAGAUGAUUAUGUGCUUAAAUGUAAUGUAACAACCCAUUUCUUUAUGGUGUCGGAACAAUGGUUUCGAGGUCACAAAUCUUAUGCGGGAGUCUGUAAAUAUUAUUAAUUAAUAUUUACGAGUAGUAUAUGGUGUAACAAUAAAAUUUGAUUUAAUGAAUUAUGUUAAAUGGAAGAAUAAUUACGUUCAAGUGGUAAGACCCUAACGUCAAGUGGUUUUAGAAAAUGAGGUAUCGGGAAAAUCGAGUCAUAAAUAUUUUAUUAAAUAUAUAUGGAGUCUUAUUAAGGUUGUAUUAAAGUUUCGUUGAGAAAUUUUUAUGUUUAAAUGAUUAAUUAGGUAAAAAUGACUAAAUCGUAAAAAGUGUAAAAGUUGAGUUCUAUUAGUUAAAGGGAUCUAAUAGCUUUGAAAUCUUAAACUAAGGGACUUGAAUGGUAAAUAGACCAAUUAAGGUGAUAGUGGAUGUGCAUGGACAAGGUAUUGAUGUAAUUUUUGAUUAUUAGUAAGGGUAAAAUGGUAAUUUGGUAAAUAAAGUAAAAUAAUUAAAAGAAUUACAUUCAUCUUCUUCCCCAUUUUCAUUUCACCAUCGAAAAUCACCAUGGAUAUAGGGUUUGAGCUUUCGAUUAGGCUUUCACCUUGCAUUUAAGUCCAUUUUGCAUUCGUUUUUAAUAAUUUUUAUGCUUUUGAGGUCGUUUUAGCUUAAUCUAGCUAUCUCAGGGAUUAAUUUGUAAAAAUGUUAAAGAUUGAGGGUUAUUCCAUUAAUGUUCUUGAAUGGUUCUUGAUGUUAAAUGUUAGAUUAUGAACCUUUGUUGAGAAAUAAACAAGUUUUGUAAAGUGAUUUUUGAUGAAAUUUACAUAUAGGGAUUGAUUUGUAAAAAUAGUAAAAUGUCAUGUUAAACUUAUGAAAUGAUGAUUUAUACGGGUUGGUUUAAGUCCCUAAAGAAUUCGGUUAGCCUAUGAGAGGGAUUGGAAUGCUUAAAUUCUAAUUUAUGAGCUUAAGGACUAAAUUGUAAAAAAUUAAAAUGUUACGGGUAAAAUAGUAAUUUUGAAUGAAUAUGAAACGUGGACUAAGUUGAAUACUAUAGGUAUUAAAUGGAUUGAAAUUGUCUAUUUAGAUCAAGAUAGACCACGUACGGACCUAGAACGAGGCAAAGCAAAAGCUUUGGAAUUCGUAUGAAUUGUUGUUAUAUUCAUGUUAUUUAAAUGUAUGUUAUUGUGAUAUUCAUAAUGUAAUUGAAUGAUGUAUAAACAAACCAAUGUUAUGACGGGUAUCGAGUCCCGGUUGAACUUUAGGAAUUCGUAGGAUAUAAAUGACAUGUCAUUAGGAAUUUCAUAUUUCGGGUGCUAGUCUUGAAUGUCCUACCGAUAGCUGAGGUCCUGCAUUUGUUACGGAUACUCCAUAGCGUGUGUGAGCAGCAUCGUGUAGCUUACAUUUUGACCCACAGCUCAUGUGAGAAGGCCCAUUUCAUAGCUCGUGUGAGCAAUGAUGUAAAGGAAAGGUUACGGUUAUAUGUAAAGGCACACUUUGUGUGAGCUUUCCUGAGUAUCCAAUGUAAUUCUAGGUGGUUUAACGGGUUUGAAAAGGAAAGGAAAUGGUAAGUGUUCAAAUGGAAUGUAUCAUGAACUUAUGAAAGGAAUUAUGAACUAAAUAAUGUGAUUACAUGUGUAAGUUUACUUACUUUUGUGGAUGAAUGCAAUUAUAUCAUGGACAAGUGCACUAACUUGUGAAUUGAUGAUGUUUUUAGGCUUACACUAAGCUUUUGGAAUGGAAUGGUAAGUAAGUAAUGAAUGAUUGAUAAUCUUAUGAAUAGGUUGAUGAACAUGUAAUGUUAAUGAACUUACUAAUUUGUGAGAUUGUUGGUGUUUCAAUUGGCUUAUACCAAGCUCAUGGCAUUGAUAAUGGUUCAUGCUUAAUCUCUGAAUUGUAUCAAUGAAGUGUUAAAUUAUGUUUAAGUUUAUACGGGCUUACUAAGCAUUCAUCGCUUGCGUAUUUACUUUAUUAUAUUUUAUAGGUUAUCGGAAACUCGAUCGGCUGGAAGUUCGUUAGAGAUCUAUCGCACUAUCUAGUGGACAAUUUGGUAGUUGUUCAAUAUUUUGGCUAUUGUUUAUAAUGGCACGUAUAGGGUGCCUUGUAAUGAUAUUAUGGUUUAUGUAUUAAUUAUGUCUUGGCAAGUUUAAGCUUUGGAAAGCUAUGUUGAUUUGAUUCACUUUGAUGCCUUACCAAGUUAUGAUGUUUUGGUAACUUUAUAGUGCUUGUUUAUAAGGUUCUCUUGGCAUGUUGGUGAUGAUUUGGAAAUGGUAAUUGAGCAUGUUUGUGCCUUGAUGUUUAUGGACUUAUAAUGCUUGUUUAGUAAGUCCUUUUGGACACUUUUUUACAAUGAAAGAGUAUAGCUUGUUGGUACAAAUUGUUAGCUUGAAAAUGGUCAAUUGUGAUGUGUUCUAGGUACAUAAUGGUAUGAAGCUAUUAUGGUAUGUCUUGAAUGGUUUGGAAAUGGUUAAAUGUGGUAUGCUUUAGUACCUAAGUGGAUUAGAUUUAUAUGCAUGAAGUGUGUCAUAUGAACUUGUUUAUGUAUGUGAUUUUUAGCUAUUAAUGGUGGUGCCUUGAUUAACAUAUUGGUUAAUUGAAUUAAGGUUUUGGAAGUGGCAAAUAUAUGUGUGUUUAGAUGAGGUUUUGGUGCUUUGGAAGUGUACAUAAUUGGUUUAAAUGUUCAUUCAUGGAAUGAUAUUCAAAUGGUUUGGUUCUAGGUGAAUUUUAGGUCCAUGCGGCCUGAGACACGGGCAUAUGACUCAGCUGUGUGUGACACAUGGCCUGGUGACACGACCGUGUGUCAUCUGAGAAUUCCUUUGUAUGCAAGUCAGUGAGUUACAUGGCCUGGCACACGGGCGUGUGGGGCAACUCAAGGAGUUACACGGCUUGACACACGGGUAUGUGACACGACCGUGUGACCCUACUUAGAGAGUUACACGGGUUGGGACACGGCCGUGUGUCCCUAGUUCGAAGGUUACACGGCCUGAGACACAGGCGUGUGUCUCAGCCGUGUGAGGCACACGACCGUGUGACCCCUGUUUCCAGAUUUUUAUGACUUUCCUAGACUUUUCAAAUGAUUUCAAAUUAGUCCCGAAUUGUUUCCAUGGUGUUUCUAGAGCCUCGAGAGCUUGAUUUAGGGACGGUAUGUAUGUAUAUGAUUGGUUUAUGAUUUGAUUAUGUUAUUGAAUGAUAUUAAGUUUAAAUACUUUCGAUUGUACGGUAAUGCUCCGUAACCCUGAUUCGACAAUAGAGACGAGUUAGGGGUGUUUCAUGUAACAUCUCUUUCUCGGAUCUUGUUAGCAAAAUCGAUCAACCAAAAUAGCCAAGAGGGGGUGAAUUGGCCUUUAAAAAUUUUGUGGAAGCAAGGAUAAGAAGAUAAGAAUAUAAACACAAUGAUUUUAGAGUGGUUCAGCCCUAAUUACCUACUCUACUACCUUAUUUUUCCACCACUAAGGGUUUUCCCAAAUUCACUAAUUUGAUGAAUCUUUGAGGAUAAGUUACAACUCCCUUAAGAUUUCUACCUAAAUCUUAAUACACAAACCCUUUCAAAAGAGCAAACAAAUAAGUUUUUGGGAAAUGUAUCCAUAUUGUAGUAAACAUGUAUUUUUUUUAUGUGUUUGAACGAUGAAUAAAUAGAUAAAAUUAAUUUCACAUUUCACUAUUUAUAUUUUGUGUUUCUGUCUUUGAUUUGUUGCAUACAUAGUGAAAUUGUGACAAGCAAAUAUUAGCUCAUUGAUUAUAUAAGUUCAAACUAACGAUAAGUGGCACUAUAAGAACGUUUACAUUGUGAGAAAGAUAACUUACUUCAGUAGAUAAUCUAAACGAGUCUGUAAACCCGUAAAAGAGUUAAAGUGAUCAUUUGAUUCAAAUACUUAGAAGGAUUAUUAUGUCAUCCACAAUUCCAAUUAAUGAGAUGGCUAGUCUUAGCUAUCGGAACAGUUGACUCCAUGGGUAGAGACAUAAAUGUACCCAUUGGAAGAACGAUACAUUGAACUAGACCCAAGUUGAAUUAAUUCUGAAUCCGUUUGUGAAUUAAUUCACUUGUGACAUUCAUGGUGCGACUUACCUUAAUCUUAAGUUAGUUAGUGACCAUGCAUAUGUAACUCAUGUGCUUUGAUAUAAGUGGAGGCUUAUGAUCUAAAGAUGAUCGAUUCGAUAGUUGGUAUGUUGCGUACAUAACCUAUGUAUAGCAUGACUUUACUAGUAAUAAUGGAAUUCAUAGCUCGAUUAAAAAGUCAAUGAUAUCCUCUCAUUGGCAUUGUGUGGAUUUUUAAAUAUGGAACGUGGCCACAGGUUGCUUGUUCUCGAACGAAGAAUUUAUCACAAUCGUUAGUUGACAGUGAUCACAUUAAUCAUUAAGAAGACACAAAGGUGACAAUAAGAUAAAAUAGGAUUACAUUGAGUCAACGAAUUUAACUCAAAGGAAUCAAGGAUAUCAUAUGAAGGCAAUGUACACAUGACGAGGUCAUUAGGCAAAUUAGUUGGAUGAACUAAUUUCGUAAAGAGUAUACAAUAAAGAGUUUUCAUUCAUGGUACUUCUUAUGGACUGACUCCAUAAUUAAGUAAAUUGUGAAUUAUUGGAAUGAUGCUUCUUGACAUAAUUGUAAUUACUCGAGCGUAAUUGUAUAUGUCUGAUUGGUCCCUCAACGAGCUCAAAAAAAGCUUGAUCGAAUUACAUUUCAAUUAGAAGAAAAUUCUACGACUUUGGAAAUGAUUUAAUUAAGUUGAUUUAUUCGAUGGGGAAUUAAAUUAGGUAGUCAUGAGUGUCGAAACUAUUUUUUUUAAUAAUUUGAAAAAUGGGGAUCGACUUUGAAGAUGAACACGGGAGUCGCCACUGAUUUUUUAUUAAGGUGUGAUCGGUUCACCAUUAAAAUUAAAUUUUAGGUCUGCGAAUUUUGAGAAAACAGGUUCGGGAGUCGGUUACGCACAAGGAAGGGUUAGCACCCUCGUGACGCCCGAAAUUGGUACCGAAUUGAUUGUUUAAUGUCUUAAUGUCGAGAUUUUGAAAAGAUUUUAGAAUACAAUCCUUUUAUUUUAAAGUUAAAUUUGACUUUUAAAAAUUAUGCAUUUUGAGAAGGAUAUCUGAUUAUUUGGGCCAAAUGAGAAGAUCAAAACCCAGUAAGUUAGGGUUCGAUUUCACCAAAUUCCCAAAUGUCGAAUAUUGCCUUUGUUUUUAUUUGUUAGAAAAAUCCUCGUCUCGAGAGAACAAUAUGUCAUAUCCAAUGCGUUAGGACACCACGUAUCGAAAUCUCGAGAAUGAGCUUUUUAUUUAUCUUUUAAUCAAAAGGGAUAUUCUCGAUUAUUUACAUUCGACGAGAAAAAUUGGAACCCAAUACGUUAGGGCACAAUUCUUUCGAAGAUUCUAAAUACCGAACUUUGCGUUAUCUUAAAAGUUUUUGAAUAAAUUGGUUUUGAUACUCAAACGAUAUUAAACGUAACCUUUUAAACGAAUAAAGCGAUAAUGUGCAAUGCGAAGUGAUAAUUCGUAAAUUUAAAAAAAAUACACUAAUGUAUGAAGAAUAAUCAAGUAAAUAAGCAAUACAAUACAUAGGAGCAACGGUUACAUGGAAAUACUAACAUUUAAAAAACUAAUCAAUUAAAAAUCAAUAAUAUGUAUGUAUUAAUUUAAAAGUAAUGCACAUGGAGUGGAGAACUUGAUAUAAAUAAUAGUAUGUAUAACAAUAUAUGUAUAAAAGUUGAAAUAAGCAAAAUAAAUUAAAAUAGGGUCCUUUUUUUAAGAACAAAUUAUAUGUAUGUAUAGAUAAAUAAAAAAUAUAACAUAAAAUUAGUAAUAUAUUAUAUACAUGUAUAUAAUCAAAAUAGUUUAAUAUAAAUUGUAUAUAUGUCUAAAAUAAUAUCGAAUAUAAAUAUUAACACUUAAAAUAAUAUUAUAUAGAAAAAUAAUGUAUAUACAAAAAAUGUAAAUAAAUAUAUAAACUAGUAUAAAAGCAACAUUAGUGAUAUUAACAAUGGUAAUACUAAUAAAUUAAUUAACGAACUUAUUUAAAAGGCAAAUAACCAAAGCAUUAAAUUAAACUAAGAAAAGAAAAAAAUGCAAAUAAAGUAAAACAAAGGGGGGUCAAAUGCAAUUAAAAUAAAAAUUAAAGAACCACAAACAGAAUUAAAAGAAAUAGAAAGGGGACAAAAGUGAAACGCGCAAAUAAUACGAGGGAUCAAAAGGGGAAAUAACCCCAACACUUCGAAAUGCUGCGCUAAGAGAAGGGCUAAAAUGAGCAGAAUUCAAAACAUGUUGGUUAAAAUUAGAAAAUAAAGAAAACAAAAUUAGAAAUAUGAGCUAAAACAGAGGGACUAGUGGCGCAAAUAGGCCAUUGAAAUGAAAGCGCGGAUCCUUCCAUCGGGUCGGGUCACCGCGCGGGUCAAGGGACCAAACGACGCCGUUUUGGUGCUAGUGCCCUUGCCUUAAAACGACGUCGUAUCAAUGCAUUAUUUAAACCUAGUUUCUGUAAAAAAACAUUUUUGCAUCAACAAAAAAUUAAAAAAAAGGGUAAACUCUCUGCUAGGGUUUCGGCCCUAGCUCUUUACACAGCUCCUCCGCCGCAAUUCCACCAUGAACGGUGGUCGGAGCCUCACCACAAAGGGCUUUUUGGCUCCUUUUCGCGCGGAUUCGAGGGCGUCCAGGUAAGACCUCUAACUCCCUCCUCUUUUUUCUCUUUUGCAAGCAAGAAAUAUAAAACUAGUGUUGAAGAAACUGAACAGAAAGACGAAAUCGAAAAAAAAAAUUUCAAAUCACCUUUAGAAAUUGUUUUCUUUGAAUACUUUUUUUAUUUUUUUGUAUUCAAUCUCUGCGUAAAAAAAAAGGGAGCCCCCACACAAUACAGAAAUGGGGUUUUAUAGCCCCGAAAAUACAAAAUAUAAUAAAACAAAAAUAAUCCAAAAAUCCUCUCUGCUAUUUCUGUUUUUUCUAUUUCUUUUGUUGCCUUUGUUGCGUUGCUCGUUUGUUUGUCCUUUGUUGGUGUCGUACGAAGACUAGUUGGGACGUGGCGCGGCUCGGCGCAGCGCAUGAGUCCGAGGGAAUGCCCUGGUGGCUGCGGCGCUGGAGGCUCACCCUAGCUACUAGGGUUUCUGCUUGUGGCUUUGGGGCUUAGGUGAUUUGGGCCAUUGUAAUUGCGUUUAGUUUUUUUGUUGUAAUUGGGCCUCUUUAAUUGGACUGAUGUUAUUUUUUUGGACUUUAAAUUUGGUAUUUAUUUGUGCCCGGGCCCUGGUCAAAAUUGGGCAUUACAACUGCCCCUCUUUGCUCGUUUUCGUGUUAUGUAAACGGAGCAAAGACUUUAAAAAUGGCCAAUUUUGCCCGGUCGUGCUAGACCUUGGUGCUCUUCUUCUUCAAGUAGUCACAUUCCAAUCUACUGCAUCUUCAGAGGUGUAGGAAUUGGUGCUUCGAUCUACUCCAUCGCAACGUCGAGGAGAGAGGAUUCGUAACUCGUAACUUCAAUCUUUUUAACUGCAAUGUCGGGGAAGCAAGAUUCACCGAUGUGGCUUUAAUCUGUUCCACUGCACUGCCAGGGAAGUAAGAUUCGCUGUUGUAGCUUUAAUCUUUUUAACUGCAAUGUCAGGGAGGCCAGACUCACUGUUAUGGCUUUCAUCUGUUCCACUGCACCGCCUGGGAGGUAAGAUUCGCUGUUGUAGCUUUAAUCUUUUUAACUGCAAUGUCGGGGAAGCAAGAUUCACCGAUGUGGCUUUAAUCUGUUCCACUGCAUCGCUUGGGAAGUAAGAUUCGCUGUUGUAGCUUUAAUCUUUUUAACUGCAAUGUCAGGGAGGCCAAAUUCACCGUUGUGGCUUUAAUCUGCUCUACUGCACUGGCUGAGAGAGUGAGAUUCGUCACUGUGACUUUAAUCCUUUUAACUGCAAUGUCAAAAAAGCAAGAUUUACCGUUGUGGCUUUAAUCUGCUCUACUGCACUGGCUGAGAGAGUGAGAUUUGUCACUGUGACUUUAAUCCUUUUAACUGGAAUGUCGGGAAAGCAAGAUUCACAGUUGUGGCUUUAAUCUAUUUCACUGCAUUGCCAUGGAGGUAAGAUUCACUGUUGUAGCUUUAAUCUGCAAUGUCGAGGAAGCAAGAUUUACCGUUGUAGCUUUAAUCUGUUCCCUGCUCUUGAAGAUAAGAUUUGUAAUUUCUGCUAUAUUUACUGAUCUGUUCUUUGGGGAACAUGACCUGUAUAAUGAACCUAAUUAUGCCUAAUGAUUAGGAUGGCAUGAUCAAAAUGAAUCAAAUGCUCCUAACUAGACAUUGCAUGAAUGCAGAAUUUUAUUUUUCCAAAAAUGAUCCCGCUUAGGUUGUUAUUACUCGAAGUUUAUUAAGGCUUUGUUACUGAAGUGCUAUAACAUCUUCCUUCUCGACUGGCGUUUUCUGAAGAAACAUUUAGCCAGGUUACCCCACACUAUAAACCUCGAAGUUAUAUCCACUGGGGUACAAAAUUUGUACUAUCAUUCUCUCACCGUAAUCCAAUGGUAGAAAUAUGAAUUUUCCUCAAUCCUCUUUUAUCACAAUUCAAGGAUAUAGGAUCUUAAUCUUUCUAGUUCCUUACACCAUUCCCAAGGUGUCGUACCAAAGACUUAUGCGCAGAUAAAUGCUCUCUUCUCCGAGGGAACCUCUUCCUCUUGCUUGGUGAUCAUUGCUUGCUUGUUUAUUUAACCUUUGUCACCAACAUGGCAUCUUGUCAAUCAAUGCAUUUGACAACAAAAUCCAAAGAGACAGUCCAAAUUUAGACUCUUCCUUCUCAAAUUUCCAACCUUUAAACUUGGUGCGCUCUAAAUAAUAGUCUCGUUUCAGGCUCCUGUAUUAUUGAGAAAUUUCUAGAGUAAUAUGCAAAAAUUCCAUUGUGAAAGUUUUAUUAGUCCAUUAAUCAUUAUUCCAAUGCAAAUGCUUGCAAAAAGGAUCAUAACAAUGGAUAAGAAUGAAGUUGGUUUCGAGCAUAGCUCGAAGAAACAAAUGAUAAAAAAUAGUAAAGAAGAAUAACGAAGAAAUUGAUUGGGAAUGUAUAUUUUGGAAAAGAAAAAAGUAUUCCAAGAAUAGCAAAUAAUAUGAGAAUUGGGUGCCCCAGAUAUCGCAGCUUGAACUUCUCUGUACAAACUUUCUGAAGACCAUUUUGAGUUGGACAUGUGUUUAGGAGGUCUACAACGCUUUGUCGAUGCCCCAAGAUGUCGCCUAUCCUUUCCUAUUGAUUCAGGCAUAGCAAGAUCACCACAUGCCCAAUCUGAUCAAGAUUCGAGUUGCUUUGAUUACCUCAUGCCCCCUUUAAUCAAUAUUUGAGCCGCCCUUUUCGGGUUUUCAACUCAAAUCCCCUUUUGGUCUUAGGUGCUCUUUGUGGGUUUUCCCCUUAGCCUCUCCAUUUUUAUUUUUCAUUUUCAUUUUUCCUUUUCAUUUUUGUUUUCACUUUUUUCAUUUUUCAUAUUUUCUGACUCAGAGUGCCCUUUGCGGGUUUUCACCUUGGUCCUUUCUUCUUCUUUAAACGAAGUGUUUCUUGACUGGAUCCGAGUUUAUAGGAUUAGCAAUCUCACCCAGGAUCAGUGUUCCUCUGAAAAUGGUCUUCUUUACAACAUAGGGACAUUCCCGAUUUGGCAUUCAUUUCCCUCUGGAAUCCUUUCGUUGAAGAAGAAUUGUUUUCAACAUCCAGCCUCUUGUGGAAUUCUCUGAGAUGACCCUAUUUAUUAUGGGCUCAUAUAAUUUAUUUCUGGUACAUCCGACCCUGAUGAAUAGCUUUCAACCCUUUACCUAGGUCUAACUGAUCACAUCGCGAUUGGAUCCUUCCAACUUUAGCUCAACUAAUACCCGGAGAGUGGGGAUUUCAAUAGGUUAAAACUACCUCAAUCCUGUAAACCAUAGAGAGAGGUGCUGCCCCAGUACAGAUAUUCGACAAGCAAUGAGGGCCAAUGGUAAUUUCCCAUGCCAGUCCUUGCAAGUCUCAAUCAUUUUUUCUUCAAUUUUCUUGAUGUUCAUCUCUAGGCAAUCUGGUGACGAGACGUGGUGUCUGCUUCCGAAUUGCCUCUAGACCUCAGCUAUCGCAUUAUCCGAUAUAAUCUUCUUUGGCAUAUGAUGACAUUGGCAUAUGAAGCAGCCUCUAAUGAUCUCAAAAAUGAAGCAAUGCCCAUUAGAAGUUUUCGAUAACGGUGAUGUCCAUGCCCCAUUUUGCUCAAAAUUUGAGUCGCCCUUUUCGGGUUUUCAACUCAAAACCACCUUUGGUCACAAAGCGCCUUUUGCAGGUUUUCGCCUUGGCCUCUCCUUUUCUUUUUUUUUCUUUUUCUCUUCUCUCUUUUUCAUUUUCAUUUUGACCUUGAUAGAUUUUUCUUUUUGCUUUUGACUUUGAUUUUUUUUUGAUCUGAACUCUUGGGAUUAGGCAAGUCCUUGUUAUCCCCUUUCGACCAGAAUCAAUAUUUUUAUAGAUAAAGUCCUCCACAUAAGAUCUCUCACUUUCAUCUUGUAUGCGAAAAACAUUAUUUGGUAUCAGAUUUCUUUUAUAGAGCCAUUUGGGGUGCAACUACGACAAAAAACUUUGGAUAUUCCUCUUUAAUCUUGAAGGGAUGGAAACUCGACUUCAAAUGGGCAAAGCUAUGCUGAGUCAACGAGAGAGGCAUUACCCUGACGAAGAAUUGCAUCGCUCAUACUGCAAUUUUUUUUGUCAUCGUGUUGUUGUGCAGAUUUCAUUAUCAGCGUUUAACCCAUCAUAUCCUGGUAUGAUCAUGCAAAGACAUCUUUGAACUCUAGAGGUCACUCAACAAGGUGUUGCUUUGUCUUUGCAGUCAGGUCAAUUCUAAUCUUCACCAAGCUCACAAUUUCUAAUGAUUCCUUGUGAAGUAGGAUAUGUCUAUCCUCCUACUCAACCAUCUUCAAUAAGUCCAGAGAUAAGCUACAAUCUUUGUCAUUUUCAAAGUCAUGAGAUCCCUCUGAACACAUGCCUCACUCAAAAGGAAAAUCUGGGUCUGUAGCAGAGUCGUUCACGUAAUUGAUAUCCAGGGACCCAUAAUAAGUACCGAAGAAUAUACGAAAGAAUGUAUAAAUUCAUGAAUAAUUAUUUGUACAAUAUGAUUAUGAAUGAAUGAAUGAUGUGGAAGAAAAUCCAAAAAAAUAAAAUAAUCAAAAAAUAAUUAUUCAAAAGGAACGAAAGAACAUUGGCUCAAAAGUGAUCACAAAGAUGUAUUUCAUUAGAAUAAUAACGUUCAGACAUGAGCCUAUUUUACAAAGGAAAUUUCUAUAAUUUUUAGGCUAAAAACAACAAAAAUGUUUUGAACAUUACUCUAAAUAAGUUCUAAAAACUAUGGGGCUUUCUUCCGCAGUCUAAUUGCUUAGAGCACUCCCAAAUUUAUAAGGGCGAAUAUCUAACAAGGUCCCUCCUUCAGUCGCUUUUCGUCGAUGUGAACAUUUCCCACUCUGCAUUGCAUUCACCCCAUUAUCAAUUAUGAUUGGGUAACGGAUUUUCUGCACUGGAGUCAUCAAACUUGACAACACCCAUGUUAAUGAGCCUUUCAACAAGCUUUUUAAAGACGGUGCAAUUUUCUAUCGAAUGUCCCCCAAUUCCCGCAUGAUAAUCACAUUGUGCAUUUUACAUCAUACCACUUGGGGUACGGAGGUUGCAGGGGCUUUGAGUAGAAAGGGGCAACAAUGCACGCAUCGAAUAAACGUUGGUACAGCUCUUUAUACGACAUCGGAAUUGGUGUGAACUGGAGCUUCUUAGUAUUUGGUUUCACUCCAGAUUCUUGUUUCAACAAACCUUGUUGACUAGCGACCCCUUUACCUGGAUGACUUACUAACCUUGAGUAACCUAUGUUAUUCAUCUAAUCUUCUUUUCUCCUUGAGAUUGUUUUUUUUACUCUCUCCACCCUCUAUUCUUCCGUUUUUAAUGGCAUUUUCAAUCAUUUCGCCAUUCAUGAUUAUAUCUGAAAAACUCUUCGAAGCACUUCCCAACAUGUGAGUGAUGAACGGGGCCUUCAAUGUGUUGAUAAAGAGCAUUGUCGUCUAUUUCUCCAAGAGGGGUGGCUGAACCUGGACUGUAACCUCCCUCCACCUCUGUGAAUACUACCUAAAACUUUCGCUUGGCUUCUUUUCCAUGUUUUGCAAGGUGAUUCUAUCAGGAACCAUAUCUGUCACAUGACUGCAUUGCCUCAUGAAAGCUUGUGCUAGGUCCCUCUAUGAACAAAUCUCGGUACGGCUCAACUGAUUGUACCACUUCGACGCUGCUUCAAUGAGGCUAUAUUGAAAGCAAUGUAUUAAUAGCUGAUCAUUGUUAAUAUACCCAGUCUUUUUCCUACAGAACAUGGUGAUAUGGGCUUCAGGGCAACUGGUCCCACUAUAUUUCUCAAAUUCAGCCAUAUUAAACUUGUAAGGGAGUACUAAGUCUGGAACCAAGCUCAGAUCUUUUGCAUCGAUUCCAUGGUGACUAUCGGCGCUUUCCAGGGCUUUGAAUUUUUUCUCCAACCAUUUACACCUAUCUUCCCACUGUUUUGGCAAUUCUGCAUUCGCCUUUCCUUCUUCAGCUGUUUCAUCAAAGUCCGGGAUGGCAAGAUUAAUCGUAUUAUCACCAGGGUUAGGACCUGAUCCAGCCAGAAAGUUCAUCAGUAAUGAAACAUCGGUUUGAAACCUCUGAGGCCCAAUUGAAAUAGAGGAUUUGCACGGAGGACCUCAGUCUGAACCUGUGCAUACAGAGGCGUAAAUCUUGGAGGAUAGGAAGGUCUAUCCUUGUCUUCUUCUUCAUCAUUUAUCAUAGGGCCUUUCCCCUUAUUUAUUCCUUUUAGUAAUUGCGUCAGCUUAGUCAUCAUGUCCUUUUGAGACUUCAGCACCCUUUCUGUCAUGUCCUGUUGAAUUUUCUCCAAUUGCUCCUUCAUUUGCAUCUGUAACUGAUCUUGCAUAUGCUUUUGCAUUUGCUCCAAUUUCUCUAAUCUUUGAUCCAUUUCCUUAGUUUUGAGACGAGUACCGUAAAGGUGUUUGGUUGGUUGGUUUUCCAGAUUAGCUGAAAUAAAUUUACUUAAUUAGACUCUUUCAAUGGACUUUAAUGCAUGUAAUGCAAGUGCAUGAAAUGGAUGCCUAAAGAGACGUUGAUUCUGAUUCAAUUACAUUUAGAAAACUUUACUAGAAGACAAAACCUUUUACAUAAAGCAGAUGCAUGUACGGCCUCGCCCUUAUAUUCCAAGAGACGCCAUCGAUAUUUUCCUUCAUUCGCAUGCUCGAGAUAAUUUCCAAUAGAUGCCAAUGUUAGCUCCUUUUCUUGAUCCUGGUCGCGAUCCAUCAUCUGCCCAUCUUCAUAAGGCUCAUCAGCUUCUUUAAGGGAGUUGAAACAUCAAAGGCUUUUAGACAAUCGCCCCAAAUCCUCAGGCCACAAAGCAAGGUCACAAACUCUUCCAUCGCUCUUCUUGUGUUUCUUAGAAUAUGUUCAGGCAGCCGUAUUGUUUUCCACUUUAUCAAGGAAUCCGUAUUCAAUGACAAGUUUUCUAAUUUAGUAAUCGGAUUUGAAUCAAUGUCUCUUUCCUAAAAUGCAAAUGCAAUGCAAUCACAAUCAAAACACAACGAGAGGGGUUAGUACAAAACAGAAGUAAACAAGGAAAACAGAAAGUACCUAAUCAGGUAACCAUUAGGGAUUUGGAGUGGCUCUACCUAGGUUAAGUUCCUAAGUCCACUAUAUGAGGUUUGGUUCUAAAGUCAAGGUACCCGAACUAGUAGAUUCCUCGUUCCUCACCCAUUAUAGGCUUAUGCAGACCGAGUUUAGUUCAGGGGAAUACAUUUCCCUAUGGCUACACGGAGAUGAAAAUCUCAUGAAGAUAGAGGUACGGAUGUAUUCCGAAAGUGAUCCACUAUCUUGCACGGAGGUGAAAACCUCACGAAUGAGUAGCUUCUCACUCCCACUUAGAAGGGUAAAACUAAACAGUCCUUAUGCAAUAUGAAUGCCAAGAUAUAAAACUCAAUUGACAGUAAUCAUACAAACAAAUGCAAAGAGAGGAUCAUAAUUUUUCAAAUCAAAUUUUCAAUUUUCGAUAAUAAGACAAAAAAAAUCAAUUUUACGGCUUGACUCUCUAACGAGUCCCCAGUGGAGUCGCCAAGCUGUCGAAACUAUUUUUUUUAAAAUAAUUUUAAAAAUGGGGAUCGACUUUAAAUAUGAACACGGGAGUCACCACCGAUCUUUUAUUAAGGUGUGAUCGGUCACCAUUAAAAAUAAAUUUUAGGUCUGCGAAUUUUGAGAAAAUAGGUUCGGGAGUCGGUUACGCACGAGGAAGGGUUAGCACCCUCGUGACGCCCAAAAUUGGUACCGAAUUGAUUGUUUAAUGUCUUAAUGUCGAGAUUUUGAAAAGAUUUUAAAAUGCAAUCCUUUUAUUUUGAAGUUAAAUUUGACUUUUAAAAACUAUGCAUUUUGAAAAGCAUAUCUGAUUAUUUGGGCCAAAUGAGAAGAUCAAAACCCAGUAAGUUAGGGUUCGAUUUCACCAAAUUCCCAAAUAUCGAAUAUUGCCUUUGUUUUUAUUUGUUAGAAAAAUCCUCGUCUCAAGAAAACAAUAUGUCAUAUCCAAUGCGUUAGGACACCACGUAUCGAAAUCUCGAGAAUGAGCUUUUUAUUUAUGUUUUAAUCAAAAGGGAUAUUCUCGAUUAUUUAGAUUCGACGAGAAAAAUUGGAACCCAAUACGUUAGGGCUCAAUUCUUUCGAAGAUUCCAAAUGCUGAACUUUGCUUUAUCUUAAAAGUUUUUUAAUAAAUUGGUUUUGAUACUCAAAUGAUAUUAAACGUAACCUUUUAAACGAAUAAAGCGUGAUGGAGCGAUAAUGUGCAAUGCGAAGUGAUAAUUCGUAAAUUUAAAAAAAAUACACUAAUGUAUGAAGAAUAAUCAAGUAAAUAAGCAAUACAAUACAUAGGAGCAAUGGUUUCAUGAAAAUACUAACAUUUAAAAAACUAAUGAAUUAAAAAUCAAUAAUAUGCAUGUAUUAAUUUAAAAGUAAUGCACAUGGAGUGGAGAACUUGAUAUAAAUAAUAGUAUGUAUAAAAAUAUAUGUAUAAAAGUUGAAAUAAGCAAAAUAAAUUAAAAUAGGGUCCUUUUUUUAAGAACAAAUUAUAUGUAUGUAUAGAUAAAUAAAAAAUAUAACAUAAAAUUAGUAAUAUAUUAUUUACAUGUAUAUAAUCAAAAUAGUUUAAUAUAAAUUGUAUAUAUGUCUAAAAUAAUAUCGAAUAUAAAUAUUAACACUUAAAAUAAUAUUAUAUAGUAAAAUAAUGUAUAUACGAAAAAUGUAAAUAAAUAAAUAAACUAGUAUAAAAGCAACAUUAGUGAUAUUAAUAAUGGUAAUACUAAUAAAUUAAUUAACGAACUUAUUUAAAAGGCAAAUAACCAAAGCAUUAAAUUAAACUAAGAAAAGAAAAAAAAAUGAAAAUAAAGUAAAACAAAGGGGGGGUCAAAUGCAAUUAAAAUAAAAAUUAAAGAACCAUAAACAAAAUUAAAAUAAAUAGAAAGGGGACAAAAGUGAAACGCGCAAAUAAUACGAGGGAUCAAAAGGGGAAAUAACCCCAACACUUCGAAAUGCUACGCUAAGAGAAGGACUAAAAUGAGCAGAAUUCAAAACAUGUUGGGUAAAAUUAGAAAAUAAGGAAAAAAGAAUUAGAAAUAUGAGCUAAAAUAGAGGGACCAGUGGCGCAAGUAGGCCAUUGAAAUGAAACGCGCGGAUCCUUCCCUUGGGUCGGGUCACCGCGAGGGUCAAGGGACCAAACGGCGCCGUUUUGGCGCUAGUGCCCUUGCCUUAAAAUGACGUCGUAUCAAUGCAUUAUUUAACCUAGUUUCUGUAAAAAAACAUUUUUGUAUCAAUAAAAAAUAAAAAGGGUAAACUCUCUGCUAGGGUUUCGGCCCUAGCUCUUUACAUCGCUUCUCCGCCGUAAUUCCACCAUGAACAGUGGUCGGAGCCUCACCACAAAGGGCUUUUCGGCUCCUUUUCGCUCGGAUCCGAGGGCGUCCAAGUAAGACCUCUAACUCGCUCAUCUUUUUUCUCUUUUGCAAGCAAGAAAUAUAAAAUUAGUGUUGAAGAAACUGAACAGAAAGACGAAAUCGAAAAAAAAAUUCAAAUCACCUUUAGAAAUCGUUUUCUUUGAAUACUUUUUUUGUUUUUUUGUAUUCAAUCUCUGCAUAAAAAAAAGGGAGCCCCCAAACAAUAUAGAAAUGGGGUUUUAUAGCCUCGAAAAUACAAAAUAUAAUAAAAUGAAAAUAAUCCAAAAAUCCUCUCUGUUAUUUCUGUUUUUUCUAUUUCUUUUGUUGCCUCUGUUGCGUUGCUCGUUUGUUUGUCCUUUGCAGGUGUCGUACGAAGGCUAGCUGGGACAUGGAGCGGCUCGGCGCAGUGCAUGAGGCCGAGGGAAUGCCCUGGUGGCUGCGGCGCUAGAGGCUCACCCUAGCUGCCAUGGUUUCUGCUUGUGGCUUUGGGGCUUAGUUGAUUUGGGCCAUUGUAAUUGUGUUUAGUUUUUUUUGUUGUAAUUGGGCCUCUGUAAUUGGACUGAUGUUAUUGUUUUUUGGACUUUAAAUUUGGUAUUUAUUUGUGCCCGGGCCCGGGUCAAAAUUGGGCAUUACAAUGAGAAUUUGGUAAACUAGAGAAUUUUCUUUAAAAUUUAAUUUUGAAAAUCUAGGUGAUUUUUGAAAAAAAAACAUUUUUAUCAAGUAAAACUAAAUUAAUCAAAUUAAUUAAAAUAAAUAUGAUAUUUUUGAAAAUUAAUUUUCAAGUCAAGCAAUUAGACCAAUGAAUAAUUGAACUUGAAAAUUGGACCCGAGAACCAAAAACUGAGACCAAAACCCAAAACUGGUUAAAUCGGGCCCAAUUUAUGAAACUAGGCCGAUGAUCCAACCGAUGGUUGGACCAGACUGGUCAGGCCGUCAUUGGCCCGGGCUGAACUAACUAUCACACUAGCCAGGUGAUCUACCAUAAUUUGAUAUGGCAAAUUAAGCUUCCUUGAUACACUUGUGGAGCUUGUUUUCUAGAAUAGUAGUGUCUUUUCUAUAGUUUUUCGUAGUUUUUAGGUUUUGAAUUAAUAAGUGCAAAUUGCCUCUUUUUACUUAUUUUGAGACCCAAAUUGGCCGAUCGUGUCAUUUGGUACCCUAACCUUUGUUUCAGUGUUACAGGUAGAGGUGUUCAAACUUCAAUUAAAACCAAAUUAACCGACCAAACAGAUCUAAUUCUGUUAAUUGGUUGGUUAACCGAUCUAGUAAUUAACGAUUAAUUCGGUUAAUGGUUAAUUUGGCUCAAAAUCGGGUAAUUAACCAAAUUAACCGAACUAAUUGAACUUAAUAAAUAAUAUUAUAUAUUAUUUGCAUUAGGUUAUUACCAAUUUGGUUAAUUCGGUCAAAUGAACAUUAUCAAUUUGUUUUUUUGAUAUAUUUUAUACUUGUUUUAACAAAAAAAAAAUAUAAAUUUCGGUUAAUUCAGUUAACUGACCAAAUUAAUCGAAAUAUUUUAGUUUGAUUAAUUUUUUUGAAAAAAUUUGGUUUGGUUAAUGGUUAAAAUAUUAAAAAUUAAUUCAGUUAAUACUAGUUCAGUUCGGUUAAUCGUUUGAACACCCCUAGUUACAGGUACUUGUCGUAGGCCUGAAAUCGCGUAAAAACUUCAUCAAGGCAAGGGUAUCACGAUAUCAAGGCCUUGGUACCGCGAUACCCUCACCAAUACUAGGACCAAGGCAUCAAGUAGUGGUAUCGCAAUAUUCCCCUAGGGUAUCGCGAUACCAAGCUCUUAGUAUCGUGAUAUCAUUGUCGUCAAAAGACAAAAAAUGACACCAAGAGCAAUUUUUGUCCAACCGAAGAACCAAUCAGAAGAGGUCCGUUCUAGGGCAUUUUAGACGUAAAAUUGGGACCGAGAUAACUGCUUAAAUUAACCAAAAUUUGGCUGAUACAAAGGACGCCACAUUAGAGUUGUUUUAGCUUAGGGUUUCUUUAGUUUUUAUUCCUUUUCUUCUAAGGUUUCUUAGUUCCAUCUUUGUUUUGUAGAUUUAUAUAUUCCUAAAACUUUUCUUCUUUUUUUCACUGUUCUUGUAGUAAGCUAAGUUAGUUAACAUUGUAGCUUAGGUUUAUUUGCACUUUUAGUCCCUGUACCUUGCUUGUAAUGACAUUUUCAGUUUUAUUUUAAUGUAUUUCAGUUCCUUUUACAUUAAAUCUGUUAAAGCUUGUUCCUUUUAUGUUUCUUACUUUAUAUUUUCUUGUUUUAUGCUUCUUUUUACAUUUCCUUUAAGUUGCCUUACAUAAAAAUCCCAACUUUUAUAUUAUUCUCAAGCUUUUCUUUAAUGAUUCCAUGUUUAUGUUCAUUAAAUUUAUUUUUAGUAUGAGUAAUUAAACUUUUAAGGGGAUUGGUUGAUGUAGAUGUGGUGAGCUAAUUUUUGGAUGAGAGACCAAAUCAUAAUAAAUUGGGCUAAUUUGAAUGAAUACCUAGGCAAGUGAGAUCGAGAGAAGAUCCCAACUUUUAUAUUUUUCUCAAGCUUUUCUUUAAUGGCUUCUAUGUUAUGCAUUUUUAUGUUCACUAACUUUAUUUUUAGUAUGAGUAACUAUACUUUUCAGGGGGUUGGUUGAUGGAGAUGUGGUGAGCUAAUUUUUGGAUGAGAGACCAAAUCGUAAUAAAUUGGACUAAUUUGAAUGAACCUAAAAACUUAGGAUUGAUGACCUUAAAGGAAUACCUAGGCAAGUGAGACCGAGAGUAGAUUUUUUUUAAGCACCAAUUCGUUAGUCCCGGGUUAACUGGUGAGAUUGAGAGAUAAUCCACAUUAAUUUGUUUAACUUGGUAAAAUUGAGACCGAGAGGUAAAAUGGAGCCAUUUAGGAGUUUAGGCGAUUUGGAUCCCUAAUUCGAGGAUGAAUGAACCACAUCGAGAUCAAUCAACCACCAUUUGUUAUAUAUUUGUUAAUUUCAUAAUUUAGCACAUUUUACAAUUUAGUCCUUGAUAGCUUGCUUGUAUAUUACUUUAAUCUUUCUUGACAUUACGAUUUGCCAUAAUAUAAUUUUCAGCAAUUAGUUGGUUAGACUCUCUAUUUUGUAUGCUUGUAAGUAGAAAUUGUUCAAUCUUCGACUCUUUUGGGUUCGAUCCUUGGAAUACUCUAGUGUUCCAUUGUAACACUACAAAUAUUAGAACUGACCUGUCACAUUUGCAGACACUUGAUUCAUCGUAAACCAAUUAAAAAUUUGACCAAGGCAAGUGUAUCUAUCAAUUAAUAGUAUAGCUAUAGUGAGCAAAGAUAUCAUUCCCAUGAAGACUAAAAGUACUAGUAAUUACCGUCUUUCUGUUAUUUAACUGAUAAAUUCAAAUGAUUGAUUAAGAACUAAAAUUAACUAAAUUAAUUUCUAAUGAACACGAAAAAGAAAAAUUCAGGAAAAUAAUCGAGUAAACAACCAAGAAGCGAAACAAUACCCAGGAAAUAAUUCACUAGAUUUCAUCUGUCAUCAAUCUAAAUUAUGUAAUUUCUUCACUUAGUAUCUUGAUCCGUAGAAAUCCUUAAAUGAUGCUAAUAUCUUUCUUCAAGAAUAAGAGCAACUAACUCUGGGUUGAUUAAUUAAAAUUUCUUUAUAAUUAAAAGCCCUAUUAUCACAUUAACUUGAUCUAUGGAUUCCCCUAUUAGAUUUGACUCUAAUCUGAUAGAUUUAUAUCACCCUAUUUCUACGAUUGCAUGCAACUCCACUCAAUUACGCUAGAUCUACUCUUAAACAUGGUCUAUUCCUCCUCUGAUUUAAGCACAUCAAACAUGGAUCAAUAGUCUAGAAAUAUUAAACCAUGAAUUAAACACACGUAAUUAAGAACAAGAUCUAAGUCUUUUUUGCGUAAAAUAGAAAUCAAACAACAUAAUUCAUCAUAGGGUUCAUCUCCCUAUUUAUUUAGAAAAUUAGUUCAUGCUAGCAAAUAAAACCAUCCAAAAUACAAUAUAAUCACAAGAAACAAAGAAACUCAUAAUAAACUCCAAAGAAAUCAAAAGGGAAUCUUCAAUCUUGAUGGAAAUCUACUUCUAGAUUGGCUUCAAUGGUGUUUUUUGAGUUGUUUUCUUGAGUAUUCUAUGACGACUCACUCCUAUCUUCAUAUUUUUGUCAUAUAUAUGUCUUAGAAUGCCCAAAAAACCUAAAAAUCAUAUUUUUCUACAAGUUUAGAGUGCAAUUCACAAAAUCGACACGGCCUGCCACAUGGCCGUAUGACAGCCCAUGUGUCUCACACGGCCGUAUGGAAUGGUCCAGCCCAUGUGGCUUUUGUAACUCGCUCCAAUUUUCUGGUUUUCGCUCUUUUUGCUCCCAAAUGCUCUCCUAAGUAUAAAAACAUGAAUUUAAAGGAUUAAGAGCAUAAAAUUCACCAUUAACAUCGAAUAAUCACCCAAAAAUACAUUAAGAAUGAGACUAAAACAUGUGACUUUUAGCACCUAUCAAAUAUCGCCACAAUUAAGCGUUUGCUUGUCUUGAAGCAAAAUUCUCAACCUAUAUUCAAGUUAACUUAUCUCAAUUAUUGUUUCCAUUGAUAAUGUCUUAGGAUAAUUUACAAAUAAUCAUGCAUUGUAAAUUUACACUAAAAUGACACUAAAUAGUACAAGCAAUCCAAAUAGAGAAUUUUAAGCUUUAAAAACAUUAGAGAUCUGCCCUAUGUCAAAAAUUACUUGAAAUUCAAACUCAACAAGAAAUAAAAUCCUCACUAAAGAUUCACUCAAAGCACUUAAAGUGUUUAAGGUUAAGGAAUAUGCACUCAACAGUCGAACGAGAAAUGUUUUUACCAUAUGCUUGCUUGGAAAUCAAAUCUCCACCACUAUAGAAUGAGAUGACACACUAAUCAAGAGUUCCUUAUAAGGUUGUAAUGGGGCUUAGGUUAAGGGUAUGAAAAAUGUUAGAAAAGUUGGUUAUAAUUGAGAGCUGAGUUAAUAAGUUACCAAACUAGAAAAAAAUCAAAUGCUGAAUUAAAAGAAUUUACAUCAAUAAGAAAUAAAGAAUAAAAUGAGCUUUUCAACACAAUAUGAAACUAACGAUCCAAGCUCAAUUACUUUUUUUCUUUUCAUUUUUUAGUUUUUUUAUUGAUUUUUUUCCUUUUUUAGGAAUAAAGUAAAAUUCAACAAUGCAAAUGAUGAAACAUAGUUAGGAAACUAACCAAAUCAAAUCUUACGACAUAUAUAUGGGUUAAAGGUUAGCAUCAAUGGGUUAGAAAAAGAAUGUGCUAGGAUCAACGGGGUUUACUAAGGGAUAAUACAACAGGUAAGCUAAUUAAAGGUUAGGUCGGUUAAACCGUAUGUGCCUAUAUCAUCUUAGUACACCAAAUUAAUAAUGUGGUCUCGACAUGUAUAAUCGAAGCAAGUUCUAGAAUAACAAAUCAAGUUGACAUACCCACAACCAAAAAUAAAAUGAGCACGAAAAAAAUGGUCUAUAGGCUCAAAAGCUCACAAAAAAAUAUGGUUUUGAUGUCAAACUUACAAAUUUAAAAUUUAAAGAUAAUAUUUCAAUUUAAGGAGAUAGCCUAAACUAAUAAUUUCUGCAAAACAACUUAUCAAUAAAAAUAUAAAUAAAAAAAUGCACAAAAGUCCACAAAUAAAUCCCCAAACAGAGUCAAUAAAAAAAAACUUCAAUUAACAAAAAUUACUCCAAUAGUAGCUGUGAGAAAAAUACUUAAAAACAAACGACAAUUCAAGGAUUUUAUUGCAUAAGUAUAUAAAAAAUCUCCCUGCACUUAAGAUGUACAUUGCCCUCAAUGAACAAACAAUUAUAAACAAAAUAAGCAAAAUAUCAGAAAGGAGGGAGAGAACUAAAACUGUCCUGAAUUUGGAUGAAUUCACCAGAAUAGUAAAAACCAGAAUUGUGGGCAAUUCUAAAUGAAUAUUUUUUUGAGUGAACUAAUAAGAAAAUAGACAAAAAUAAAUAAGAUACGAAGAUUACAAACUAGAAAAAACAAUUUAAAAAGCAUAACAGAGGACAAAAAAAUGCAUAAUAAAAUAAAAUAAAAGAAUAAAUCUAGAAAAUAAAAAAUAAAAAUAGGGCUUGGGGUAGAGAGGAACAAAAAAACAAAAAAAACCAACUAGCUUUAAAGACUCACACGGCCGCGUUGAAUCAUCCAGACUGUGUGUGAUUCAAAAAUUGAGAAAAAUAAGCUCUGAAACCACAUGGCCUAGGACACGCCCAUGUGUCCAGGCCGUGUAUUAGGCUGUGUGAGGUGUUCAUUCAUUUCUCCCACGCUUGUGUGCGAGGCCGUGUGGACCACACGCUUGUGUGACAGGUCGUGUGUCGCACAUGGGCAUGUCUCCAGCCCGUGUAACUCACUUUGCUUGUGUGGGUUAGAUUAAAAUUAAAAAAAUAGCCCUAGUAUGCAUACGGCCUAAGACACGCCCGUGUGUCCAAGCCAUGUGGAUCACCCUAAACCGUCCGAACCUUUUUUAAUUUUUUUUUCAAUUUUUUUAAAUAACAUGGAAAUUAAAAUGAAUAAAUAAAUAAAAUAAAAACACUCGGGUAACUUCCCAAGAAGUUCUUAUUUAGAGUCUAAGCUUGACUUCGGUUUUCAAGCUAACGGUUAAGGUCGAUCUUGGAGCCAAAACUCCUUACUCUCAAUGUCACUAUUACCGCCAAAAUAAUGUUUGAGAUGAAAACUAUUUACCUUGAAUGUGUUGUAAUCAAGGUGUGUUACCUUAAUGAUUCCAUAUGGAAAUACGUUUUGUACCACAAAUGGGUUUGACCCUCUUGACUUAAGCUUUUAAGGGAACAUUCGUGGAUCUGACUUGUCUAGCAGCACUUUAUCCCUAACUUUAUAUUGGUUCAUUCUCUUUACAUGCACACUAUGGCGUUUCUUAGUUAUUUCUUUGAUCGUUCUUGGUUUCUCAUUAGGCUUUGUUCGUCAUUGAUCUAAUUCAUUGAGCUGCACCAUUCGCUCUCCACUCGUUCCUUAAUUUUUAUCACUUUGAGAUAGAUAUGGUUCGAACACGUAUUCAUUAGUAAAUUCCUACAAAGAAUGUCGAGCCACGUGAUCACUAACAUUAACAGAAUAACGAGUAUCAUCUCGCUCACUGGGAACUCUAACAAAAUCACGUGCUUCAAGAGUAACCUUUUCAUCACCUACAUUCAGUACAAGUUCACCACUACCCACAUCAAUAACAGCUCUAGCAGUGGCUAAAAAGGGUCGACCUAAGAUCAUGGGUACCUCAAUAUUCUCAUCCAUGUCCAAUAUAACAAAAUCAAUAAGGAAUAUAAAUUUAUUGAAUUUAACAAGUAAAUCUUCAAUAAUACCCCUAGGACACAUAAUUGAUCUGUCAGCUAAUUGAAUAUUCAUCCUAGUGGGUUUUGGUUCCCUAAGACCAAGUUGUUUGAACAUUUUAUAAGACAUAACAUUUAUGCUAGUCCCCAAAUCAGCCAAAUCUUUUUCGACAUUUAAACUACCAAUAAGACAAGGAAUAGUAAAACUCCCUGAAUAUUUAAGCUUGUUAGGUAGUUUAUUUUGGAGAAUGGUCGAGCAAUCCUCAUUAAGCUCCACAGUCGACAAGUCGUCUAACUUCUUUUUAUUUUUUAACAACUCCUUUAAAAUUUUUUCAUAUUUGGGCAUCUACGAAAGAGUUUCAACAGAAGUUAAGUUAAUAUGGAAUCUUUUUAAAAGAUCAAGAAAUUUACCAUAUUGUUUUUUUAUACGGUCUUGCUUUAAUACUGCCGGAUAUGGAAUUCGUGGUUUCUAUUCUUUAACCACCGACUUAUGUUAUUUCUUACUUUCCUCAACCCAAUCAUUUUUCUCAACAGUUUCUAGAUUCAGCUUCUUUUUAGGCUCGACUAACCCUUCCAUGCUUUUAACAGUGAAUGCGUGGACUUGCUCAUUUAGGUUAGUUUCAGUGUUACUAGGUAAGCUACCUUGUUGUCUUUCUGAAACUAAUUUAGCAAGCUAUCCAAUUUGAUUUUUCAAGCCCUUGAAUCGAUGCUUGCUAAUUUUUUAAAGCUGUCUCAAUGUUUUGAAAUCGAGUUUUAGACACUGAAAUAAAUUUAGCUAACAUCUCCUCAAGGUUUAGUUUCUUUUAUUGAUGAUAAGGUUGCUGAAAACCUGGAGGGGGUUGUGACAUUUGAUUUCCUUGACCACCCCAAGAGAAGGUUGGAUGAUUCCUCCAUCCUGGAUUAUAAUUAUUGAUAUAGGGGUUAUUUUGAGGUCUAGAAUUAGUACCCAUAAAGUUGACCUGCUCUUGCUCCAUGUUAGAACCGAAGGGUAAGCAUUCUAGAUUAAUCAUCCCUGCUCCAUUCACAUCACAUUGUACUACCGAAUUCACCUGCUAAAAAAAUUUAAACCAUAAAUUUCCUUACUAAGAGCUUCAACCUGAUUUGCUAACAUAUAAACUACAUCAAUAUUAAAAACACCAGAUUCUUUAAUCGGUUUCAUUCUCAUGACUUGUCGCUGAUAGUUAUUCAGUGUCAUCUCCUUAAAAAACUCUUAAGCUACUUUAGGUGUCUUAUUAUUCAAUAUUCUGCCAGUUGUAACCACAAAUGUAAUCCAUGAUGAGGGCACCUGCUCAAAAGAUCAUUAAAUCUCUCCCAUGCAUCAUAUAAUGUCUCCAACUCAAUUUGAGAAAACAAAGAGAUGUUGUUCCUCAACUUAGUUGUUUUUGCCGGUGGAAAAUAUUUUAACAAAAAUUUCUCAGUCAUCAAAUCCCAAGUCGUGAUAGAACCACGUGGAAGUGAAUUCAACCACUAUUUUGCCUUGCUCCUCAAAGAGAAUGGGAACAACUGUAAGCAUAUGUCAUCAUCAGAAAUGCCAUUAAUCUUCAAUGUGUCAUAAAUCUCUAGAAAGUUAGCCAAAUGAGCAUUUAGAUCUUUAUCUUGUAACCCAUCAAACUAGACAUAUUGUUUUAUCAUUUGAAUUGUGUUCGGCUUUAGCUCAAAAUUGUUUACAGUAAUUGUCAAUCUGAUGGUACUCGAUUCAGCCCCAAUCAGAGUGGGCUUAGCAUAAUCAAACAUAGUACAAUGAGCAAGAGGCUGUUGAUUAUUUUAAUUAUCAUCCAUUGUAAACUCUAAUUUAUAUAGAGUUUUUAUAGUUGUUUAUAGCACCCUUUUACUUUAAAAAUUAUUUUAAUUAUCAUCCAUUGUAAACUCUAAUUGGGUGAAUUUUGUUCAUAUUACGAAAAUGGGAAUGAUUUAAUAAAGUAUGCAAUUUUAUGCUUUUAUGUAUUAAUUUUGUGCAUAAUUUAAUUAAUUCAUGCCACAUAUUAAUUUUCCUCUAUUUUAAUGUUGUAAUGGAGGCAUGGAGUUAAGAAUGUAUGAAGCUCAUUUUUAUUUUGCAUGGAUAUGAGACUAUUUCUACCCUAGUUGGACAACAAAAGCAUGCAAGUUGGGUUAUGAAGUUGUCACAUUGAUCCAGUUAAAGAUAGUUUAAAUGAUGGACAAGUCUAACAACUAUUUAGGUCAUAAAAUUGUCCAAACAAGGGGGAGAGGAGCCCAAUUCAAUAAGAACAUAUGAGUAGCCCAAAACUCAGAUUUGGGAGAUUUAUUCAGAGGUCCCUACACUUGGAAAAAUUUAAAAAUCAGCAUACCAUUUUCACCCUUAAAACCAUCCACCUCCUUGCUUGAUUCAUGCAUGAAAAAAAGCAUGAAUUAAGCAACCAACAACCUCCCUUCUCCACAAUUCAUGGUUGGCCAAGAGUGAGAAACCUAAUGGAUAUUCAAAAUAUUUUUAGUAAACCUCUUAGCCAUCCCUCUACGAUGAAUAUCACCCUUGAUUUCCCAUUCAUUCAUUCCUCAUCUCUCACCCAUCAUCAUUCAAUAAUCCUUCACUUAUCAUUCUAACUUUCCUUUCCUUCUCACGCAUAAACAAUCCCAUUACCCUUAACUAGCAAUUCCUUGAGAAAAUUCUCUCUUGGCUGGCCACCUCGAGGAGCAUCUUAAGAAAGAGCAAUUAAGAGGAUCAGAAGAAGCCACAGCGAUAAAUUUCUUAAGGACUGUCAAAAUUACUUCAGAGUUUUUUCUUUCUUUAAUAUUUAUUGUUGUUCAAUAUGUUUGCAAUUUGCUUUGAUUUUUUUCAUUAACAAUGAUAGCUUAAUUUUUGUUUAGCUAGAAUGAUUACAAUAAUUUGAUGAAGUUCAUUUGAUUUAUGUUCAUAAUGUUCUGUGCCUCAAUCGAUCAUGCUUUCAAUUAAAAUCAUGCAUGUAUUUCAUUCAUUAAAAUUUGAUUGAAUGCAUUAGAAUUAGUGAUCAAUCGUUGCCAAAUGACAAUCAAUGGACGUGAUAAUUGGAAGGUGCAUGUUUAAUUUAGAUCCUAUCCCGAUUAAAUUAAAGGUUCGUAAUAACUCGAGAGAGCUCUAUUACCUUGGAUAUCUUUUAGAUUUGUGUGAUUAAUUUGUUUCAAACCUAAUCCGUCCCUAUUACUUCACAUAAAAUCUAAGAAACCCUUAGUUAAAUAUGAUCAUGAUAGUAUACAUGUUUUUCUAAGUAAACGAUUUUGAAAGGACUUAAUGUUGGUUUUAAAGUUCGUGAAAGAUCGAGUUGCCAUGGAAUAUUUUCCGAAACAUUUUGAGCCUGAUGAGAAUGAACCAAGUCAAAUGAUGUAAUUAUUCUAGCCUAUUCGUGUUAUAGUUGUUGAAUCUUGUGAAUUUGUAGCUAAAUCCACCUCAUACAUUUUUAUUCAUCACAUUUAGGUUAAAUGCAUUUAGGAUAAUUUUGCAUUUAUAUAUUUAAUUUUACAAUAACCAAACGAAAUUAUUGUGUUUUUCUCACCAAAUUGUUAAACUUUAAUUUUGCAAGCUAUUAAUUAACAUAUACAGUCUCUGUGGAGAAGAUAACUCUUAUACUUAUUACUUGAUAAUGAAUGUGUACACUUGAACAAACCCCAUCGUUAAAAGUUUUUGGUGCUAUUACUGUGGACUAUUAAUUUAAUCAUUAUUUGUGAAAUUAUUUCUUACAAGUUGGGUUUUUUAUUUUUAUUUUUUAUUCUUUAUACUUCUGUGAUUUUCUUUUUAGGUCGUCAUGAGUAUAGAUCAAGUCAUCGAUUUACUCCUUGUAGACCCUGAAAUCGAGUAGGCAUUUAGACAAAGAAAAUGGAAAAGAUUAGGCUAGAGAUAAGCCAUAGAAAUGGACCUUGAGAAUCAAAACGAUGUUCAAGGGAAUGGAGCUGCUAAUGUUCGUAAUCAAAUCUUUAUUGCUGAUGAUAGGGAUCGAGCUAUAAGGCAGUAUGUUGUGCCACGUUUUAAUGAGUUAAAUAAAAAAAAUUAGGAUACCGGAGGUCGAGGCGCCACAUUUUGAAUUAAAGCCUAUGAUGUUUCAGAUGCUUCAAAUGGUAGACCAAUUCAGUGAAAUGCCCACAGAAGAUCCACAUCUUCACCUUCGAUUAUUCAUGGAGGUGAACAAUUCCUUUAAGAUGGCCGGUGUAACUGAAGAUGCAUUAAGAUUGGAUUUUUUUCAUACACAUUGUGAGUUCGAGCAUGAGCAUGGCUUAAUUUGUUUGCACCCAAUUCAAUUUCAACUUGGAUAGAAUUAGCUGAACGCUUUCUAGUUAAAUAUUUCCCACCUAGCAAAAAUGCUAAGUUGCGGAAUGAGAUCACCACUUUGCAACAAAUGGAUGAUGAAUCCCUAUACAAGGCAUGAGAAAGAUUUAAGGAGCUACUUCGUAGAUGCCUUCACCAUGGGAUUCCACAUUGCAUCCAGUUGGAGACAUUUUAUAACGGUCUCAACGUACACACAAGGUUGGUGAUAGAUGCUUCUGCGAAUGGUGAUCUCUUAUCGAAGUCUUAUAAUGAGACUUAAAAAAUCAUCGAGAGAAUAUCCAAUAACAACUAUCAAUGGUUGACAAGUCGAACAACUUUAAGAAGAUUAGUAGUCAGAGUGCAUGAAGUAGAUGCCCUUACUUUCACUUUUAGCUCAGGUAUCUUUUAUCUCUUCAAUAUUGAAACAGUUUACUACUAAUGGUUUAAAUCACAUUGUAGCUCAACCACCGAGUCACUUUGAUGUUAUUUCCUGCGUAUAUUGUGGGAACGGUCAUUCUUUUGAGAAAUUUCCAUAAAUUCUUGAGUCAGAUUAUUAUGUAGGAAAUCAACACCAAAAUAGAAGUGGAUAAGGACCAUAGUCCAAUUCCUAUAAUCCUUCAUGGUGAAACCAUCCAAACAUCUUUUGGAGUAACCAAUGAGCUGGAUCCAAAAACAAUUACAUACAACAUAGAUCAAAUCAACCUCUUGGUUUCAAUCAAGUUCAAAAACCACUUGAAGUUGAACCUUUCAAUAAUUUGGGGAAUUUGUUGAAGGCAUAUAUUGCUAAAAAUGAUGUCUUGAUUCAAGGCCAAGCAACAACAUUGGAGAAUCUUAAAAAUCAAGUGGUACAAUUAGCUAAUGAGCUUAGAAGCAAACUCCAAGGUGUUGUACCAAGCAACAUAGAAAAUCCUCUACUAGCCGAGUCUUCUAAUAAUCUUGAGAACUUAUUAAAAGCAUGCAUGACGAAGAAUGAUGCAACUUUGAGAAAUUUGGAGAACCAGAUGGGGCAGUUAGCCAAUGAAAUUUGAAAUAGACCACAAGGAGCUUUGUCCAGUGACACGGAGAACCUAAGAAAACUAGGUAAGAAGAAUUGCAAAGUGGUCACUUUAUGAAGUGGAAGGACUUUAGAACUCGAGGAAGUUGAGGAUUAAGAUGAACCUUCCAAUAAAGAGGAAAAUCAACCAACAGUUGAAAUUCCUACACUAGAUAAGUCAUAUUCUGCAAAUACUGAAGAGGUAACAUCUAAACUAGUGAAUUCUGAUAAGCUAACCCCUUUGUUAGAUGCAGAUAUAUUACCUCGGAAGAGCUAUCUAGUCCAAGCCAAAAUUCCACAACCUCUAUAUCCUCAAAAACUCUAACAACAUAAAAAAAAACAUGAUACUCAAUUUAAGAGAAUGUUGGAUGUGUUGAAACAACUACAUAUCAACAUUUCAUUGGUAGAAGCUUUCGAGAAAAUGUCAAAAUAUGUGAAAGCUAUGAAGGAAUUUCUGUCUAAGAAGAGAAGGUUUGAAACUGUAACCCUGACUACAGAAUGUAUCCUAUUCUUUCAGAACAAGUUGCCUACUAAGUUAAAGGAUCCAGGAAGUUUCACCAUACCUUACAAUAUUGAAAAUACUAUUGUGGUAAGGCUUUGUGUGAUUUGAGAUCGAGUAUUAACUUGAUGCCUACUUCUGUGUUUAGACAAUUAGGUAUUGGUAAGGCCAGACCGACUACAGUUACAGUCCAACAUAGGGAUCGAUCUUUGGCAUACCUAAGAGGAAAGAUCGAGGAUGUCUUGGUACAUGUUGAUAAAUUCAUAUUUCCUGUUGACUUUAUUAUCUUAGAUUUUGAAGCAGAUAAAAAAGUACAAAUCAUCUUAGGGCGGCCUUUCUUGGCAAUUGACAAGACAAUAAUCGAUGUACAGAAAGGUGAACUCACCGUGCCAGUUCAAGAUGAACAGGUGACCUUUAAUGUAAUCAAUGCCAUAAGAUCUUUUGAUGAGGUUAAAGAUUGUUCUACUGUCUCCAAGGAGGAUCCGCUAGUUCCUGAAAAUUUAGAAUACAGUGACCCAUUGGAAGGUAUUUCAUUUGACUUUCCACAUCAAGAUGCGGAUGAUACAUGUUUGGAAGCUAAAUAGAAAGGACUCAGUUCAAAAGUUCAGUUCAAAUCAUUAGAGCUAUUGUCACAUGAGUACAAGCAACCCAACCCAUCAAGAGAAGAGCCACUUGAGUUAGACUUAACGAUUUGGAAAAGGUAAGUAGAUUCUAAAAAGUGUUCAAUCAAUGGACAUAAGAGAUUGAUCUAAUCUUGAGUAUUUGAUCUUGGGAAACUUAAGUCUCAAUGGUCAAAAGCAAGGACCAUUUAUCCUAUCUACAACAUUUAGUGGGUACGACUUGUAUCAUAGAAUGAAGUUAUAACGAAAAAUAAGCUGAUUUUGUUAAGGACAAUCAUGGGUAGACAAAUUUGUGUUAAUGAUAGAAAGUUAAGGAAAGCAACACAAAAAGACCAUCUCUCGCUGCUAUUAUUUUAUCAAAUGUUGAAUAUAAUUGUUGGGCAACAUUAUCUCUUCUUUUUAGAUGGAUAUGAUUGGUAUGAUAAAUGGUUGUUUGACAUUGCCUUUUUCAGUGACAAUCAUCAAUAACAUUGAGGGAGUUCUCUUCACUCUCUGAUUUGUUAAUUUAUUUACAGUUAUUUCUCUCAUUUGAAUAAAUGACAUGCUUAGAAAUUAUUUUUUCAUGAAUUAGUACUUCAAAUUAAUUAUGUCUAAGGAGAUUGGAACUUAAGCGACACCAUUUGUGACCCCUCCAACCUUAGAAAUUUAAUUUGAUGUAAAUUUUCAAGAAGAAAUUUUCUAAGUAGCCCAAAAGAAAUUUUUUAUUUUGUGUUUAAUAAGAGGGUCAAGUUGGCCCAAGUAUUAAUCAAUUUAUUUUUCUGGUUUAGUUUAAUUCUUCAGUAUAGAAAAUAAUUGUAGUUUGGGCUAAGGGCUCAUAACAGUGAUGAGGAGAAAAAUAUCCAACACUCGCUGCCCCUUCCUUUCGUCGCAACAUCACUUCCCCACACUGCAACGAUCUUGGAAAAAAAGGGUAUGACACAAAUUAAUAAAAAGGAGAAGAAAUUCUUUUAUUUGUUUUUUUAGUAUUAUUUUUAGGAUAUUUUUAUUUACUUAGGGAUAUUUUGUUUUAUGCAUAAAAUAAAUUGAAUAACUUGCAAACAUGAAUAAAUUAAGCUAAAUGCCUCUUCUCUAAUAAAAAGCGAAGUAGUGUAGUAAUGUGAAUGAACAUGUCUAGGAUUGGAUUAUCAAGAAAGACUUGAUACUUAAGCAGUCUUCAUGACUCACCUCUCUUUUCUUGCUAUCCUAUCUGGUGUUCAGUUCUCAGUCAUUACUUUGUUUACACAAUGAGGACAUUGCUUCUUUUUAAGGAGGGGGUAAGGCAAUAUUUGCAUGAAUUUUAAAAUUUUCUUAAGUAUGACUCAAUGUUUACACAUAAGUAUGCUGAAAUAAAAUGAUGUUCAAAUUUUUUUUUCAUAAGUUAGCUCAAAUGCAAAUAUGAUUUAUGAUUUUACGUAACACCCUAUACACGACCUGGUUGCCAAGCCCGAAUAUCAGGAUGCCACACCACCAUCUCAUGUCAUACUCAUAGCAAAUUGUCACAUUACUAAGAAAUCAUCCUCCUUAUCAAUGAUCCUAUAAAUUUUUAGUCAAACAUAUAUCAAUCAUCAUUAGAACAUGCCAAACAUACUUUAAAUAAACUUAUAAUAAUUAAACAUGGAUUUGGACCACUUAGCAAAAUUUCCAAGACAAUCACGUAAGUAUUGAUACUGUAACAAAGGUAUCAAUAAUUCUCUAAAGUGGUAUCGAUACCAUUUAGAAAAUCGAUACCAAAAUGCUUACUGUUUCUUGCUUAAAAAUUCGAAACCUCGAAAAUUGUCAGUACCUCUGCGAAAGUAUCAAUGUUUCUACCCCGAGUAUCAAUACUCGUGAUAGGGUAUCGAUACCAAAUUAUGUUAUUACCUCCUUGUACAUUUCAAAAUCACAGAGGUAUCGUUUUUACAACACAAAUAUCAAUACCUCUACUCUAGACUAGAAAAAUACAACAUACUUGAGCAUAUAAAUCAUUUCGACAUGUACCAAUUCAUCAUUCUAACAUAUUGUCAUCAAAUAAACAUUAAAAUGGCUGUAAUACUAGUCUCAAACAUCAAAAGUAAGUUUGAGCUAUAAUCAACAUAAUACGAAACAUAUCUCAUAAACUUGAAAGCAAAUAGUUUAUGGAAGCAUCCAAAACAUCAUGGCAAAUAUCAGUAAAAGUCUACCAUAUUACCUUAUCCCCAAAACAUAAACAAAUAACAAUAACACCUACGAAAUAACGAAAAAAAGGACUUGCUUGGAUCACCUCUCAGAACCAUUCCACUCACACCGACACUUAACUACUCAGCAAGGGUUUAAAAUGAGUGGGUGAGCUAAACAAUCUCAGUGAAUUCCUAGAACAACUACAAUGCAAACAAUUCAUCAAGCAUUAACAAAACAACGAUAUAGCACAACCUCAACAAUUUCAACUUUAGUCUCAUAUUAUAUUUACUCGUGCAUUAUUUACUAAUUCAUUUAUAUUGUAAUCAUAUUCACUUUUAAGCAUAUAUCACAUACACCAACCUCUAACACACCACUUAGACUCAUAGAGUCAAACAUGUCCGAAAAGUGAAUCAUAAAGUUAACACUCUCCUUAUUUCCCCUUAUAUGUCCCAUUGAAUGGAGCUUAGCUCACAUUCCAUUAACCUUCCAACAUGUCCUAGGGCCUCAAUGCCCAAAAUCAUUGUACAUAUAGGUGACUACUCACAAUCCUAUGGCAUGCGAACUAUAUCCAACGGUUUCAAGAUUAUAAGGCCAAAAUAUCUGAAAUCAAACACAUAUCACUUACCGAUUAUCCAUGUACGAUCACUGCAUAUUUUCAUCUUUAGCAGAAUAUUGUAACUAACAUUUAAAUAUACAUAACAUGUACUCAUCUGCACUUUCACAACGAUUAUCAUAACCACAUAUCACAUGUUAUAUUAUCUCAUUUCAAUUCACAUAUUCACAAACACAUAAGCAAUUUAUUCACAAGAUAACAUAGGUAUGAGAAAGAUUACACUCGAAAUUUAGAGUAUGGGUUUAGGCUACUACUAAAUUCCCAAAUAAUGCAUUGAAUCAUGUGCACAAGCUAUUAUUCCAAACAUUCACCAAUAUGCUCUCACCAAAAAGCCGAAUGCUCAAACUAGCCUUUCCUUGCCUUUAUCUCUACUCGUAGAAGGUCCUAUCGAUUCCAACGCUUCAACAAAGUAAUUCGCACAACAAAAAAAUCAAUAUUCAUCCAAAGACUCACAUCAAACAAUCCGAAAACACAAGCCUAAGCUAGGUUCUCAUAUAAUAGAAACUUUUAACUUAGAAAACUUAAAACUCCAAUAUCUCGAUCUAUACUCAAUAUUUUACCUAAAACCAAUUCUGUUCAUCUUAUAAUUCACCCUCGACUAAUUAUCAACCUUCAAACUACACAAAAAUACUUAGUUCAUAGUAUCAACUAUUUCAACAUGUUUAUGACAAUUUUAAUGAAAAUUCAUUAAAACAUUAGAAAUCUUUAACGAAACUUCACAUUAAUUUAGAAACCUUUUAAUCAUGUCAAAAUUAAUUGAAAAACACUUUGAAACCACAUUUUUACCCAAAAUCCUAAAAUUCACCAUUAACGACCCAAUUUUCAAUUUUUUAUUAAAAACAUACGAUUUAAUGGCUAAAAACUUAGUUUUAAAGACUAAAUGACAUUUAAACUUAUUUAGGAGUUGAAUCGUUACCUUAGAUGACAAAAGACGAAGUGUUUGAUCGAAAACCCAAAAACCCGAAAGCUUGAAAAUAGAGAAAACUAUAGUGUUUUUGGUGUUUUUGGUGUUUUUUCUUGAUUUUAAUGGAGGCUUAUAGCAUGAAGGAUGAUAGAAAUCAAAAGGGAUUAGGAGUUGGAAUUUAAAAUCGUUUAGGAGAGUUUGGAGAGCAAAGGGAUGGCAAACACAAAAUAAAUGGGAAGCUUUUAGGUGAAUAAAAUUGUAGGUGGGGUUUAUUAGGUUGAUUUUUAAAAUUUGGUUUAAUUGCCUAUUAAAAAUUCACAAUUUUGACUCUUUUACAAAUCAGUCCAAUUUUCAAAAUUGAAGGUCUUUAAAACUCUUUUUUCAAAAAUUGAUUUAAUUUUUUAAAAACCAUAGUAAAAGACAUUAUCGAUAAAUCAUAUCGCAAAAUUUCAAACACUCUAAGGCUAAAAUUCCUAAAAUACCCUUAAAACUCUUAGGCCCUAUUUUAGGGUGUUACAAUUUAUCUGAGUUUUUUUUUUUAUGUUAUCUUAAGUUAUGGAAUGCUUGUAUGUUCUUAGGUCUUAUGUAGUCUUUUGCCAUGACAAUUUAAUUUCCUUAGGAAUAGACAUGCAUGAAGGUUUAAGUCCUUAGACUUGACUUAGUAACUUUCUUGAGGCGAAAUCCUAGGAGGCAUAAGAAUCUAAACAUGAUAUAGACACAGUUUCUUUGGAUCGUUUGAGCCUUUCAAGCCUACCAUAUGAAUUUAACCCUUGAAACUUUAAUUUGAGCCUUUAAACCUAUUUUAUCGCUAUCCACCUACAUCAUAAGCCAUAUUACCAUCUUUUAAAGUUUUACCCUAUUUUGUACCAAUCUUAACUAUACUUGUCUUAGUGAUCAAAGUUUGAAGAAAAAUUUAAAAAGAUGUACAUGUUCUUCGUAUGAUGUUCAAAAAAAAAAGAAAAAUAUUUAUUCAAGUGUAAAGCAAAAAAAGAGUAAAAUAAAUACUCAAAAUAGAAGUAUUGCUGGGCAUAAGCUUCAAAUGAAGUUUGGGGGUGGUAAAACCCGUUAGUAGAAAGGAUGUACCUCGAAAAGAUCUAAGGCAAAGUUAGGGUUAAGAUUAGUAAACCUAAAAAUUAACUUCUCUUUAUCCCUACCUUGAGCCUAGCCCCGUUACAAACCUAUAAAAGACCUAUUGAUUUUGAUAAUUAUGCCGACUACAUUAAUGGAGAGGAAUUGCUAAGUUCAACAUAUGAGGACCAUUAAUUAAACCUUGUGAUUGUUUUGUUUAGUUGAUAAGGAAAAUUUGAUUGAAUGAUGAAUGUUAUAUAUGACCUUGAAAAGCAUGCACUCUAUUACUUAUGUUAGCAUUUUCUGUAAUAGCCCGAUUUUAGGCUUAGUCGGAACAGUGGUUUCGGGACCACAAAUCCGACGAAAAAAAAUGUAAUGGCUUGAAUUUUCGGAGGUGUCGGAACGGUGAUUCGAGAUCACUAAAUUCGACAAAUGGGUAGAAAAUAUUAUUAAUUUAGUAAGUAUAAGUUAAAUAUGAAGUUAGGAAAAUUUUUGAAAUAGUGAAUAGUGCACUAGAAAUAAAUAUUAAAAUAAUUAGAAUCGAAAUGAGGUAUCAAGACCUCGGGGAUUUUAAACUGAGCCAUAAAUAUUUUUAUAAAUAUUUAUGGAGUGUUAAAAAGUUAGUAUUANNNNNNNNNNNNNNNNNNNNNNNNNNNNNNNNNNNNNNNNNNNNNNNNNNNNNNNNNNNNNNNNNNNNNNNNNNNNNNNNNNNNNNNNNNNNNNNNNNNNGGCUUCUUCAGCUGGUUCUUCAUAUUUUUAUUACAAGUAAGUUCAAUUCUUGACUAUUUCUUGAAAUUUUUGUAUUUUUAUGACUUUUACAACUAGGCCCACUUGUUAAAUUCAUUAGUUUUUGAUUUUAUGAAAGAAGUUGAAAGUUGAUAUGAAUAUGUGCUGGAAGUAUAUGAUGAUUUAGCAUGAAAUUAGAGCUUUAAAUUGUUCAUAUGCUGAUUUUAUUGAAAGAAUUGAAUAGAAAGUGAAUGUUUGGGACCUAAUAGUAAAAGAGUUUGAAGAUAGAGUUAUAUGUGGAAAUUCUGAAUUUCAACAGUUGUGUAACAACUUAUAAUGUCUAGUAAAGUACUAAUUGAGAAAAUUAGAUUAAUUGAGGGGUUAAUUGAGAAAGGACCGAAUUGUAUAAACUGUGAAAUUUGGGGCAAAAUGGAAAUCAACAUUUUGCACUAAAGCAGUUUUGGACAGCAGCAGUAGUGUAACUUUGAAAAAGCACCAAAAAUUGUAGAGAUUGAAUUAGAGGAUGAAUAAAAUAUGAAAUUAAAGCUUAUUGAGUCUAGUUUCUUAUAAAAGAAAUGAUGUGAGCAAUGGAAUUGUAAAUCAUGAGAUAUAAUAGAUUUUGUGAGACAAGGUCAGAAUGAAUUCGGGUUCCCUUGUUCUGACUUUGGAAAAUCAUUAAAAAUUGUAAAAAAAUGAUUAUGAGUUAUAGUUUAUAUGGUUAGAAUCCUUAAUGAGUCUAUUUUUAGAAGAAACAAGCUAAAACAUCAUCCGAAUUCUGUACAAUGAGAUAAUUAAUUUUUAGUGAAGAGUGGUCGGAACUGUCAGACAGCGAAACAGGGGAAACUUUAAAGAAUAAACUGUACUAUUUGGAUGAACCAAAAAUUAUGAAAAUUUUAUGGUAUGAAGAUAUGUGAGUCUAGUUUCAGGGAAAAUUAACGGAUCUUAAUUUGGAGCUCUGUAGCUCCGGAUAAAAAUAAUUUAGUGACUCUGACUCGGAUAAACAGCUUUGAAUAUACAUGUUAGUGAAUAUUGAAAUUAUGGUUAAUGUUGUUUAAGUGUGUUAUACACAUUAAGGAUGUGGAAUGGAGAGGAGGAGGAGGAAAAUUGGGAAAUAUAUGAAUGAUUCGUGUAUAAAUGGUCAUAUGUUUGAUUAUAACUCAUAAACGAUGAAAUAUGAAUGAUGCUUAUUUUUGUGCAUUAUUGGUCAUGGUUUAAGCUCAUGUGUGAAAAUAAAGUUUCAUAGUAUGUGUGUAUGGUAUAUUCAGUAUAUGAUUUGGCAUGAAAUAAUACCAUGAAUGGUUUAUGAAUUAACACAUGUUGGUAAGCCUGAUAUAUGAAUAAAUGAUCAAAUUGAGCUGAACGCCGGAUUUGAGUACUUCUGAUCAAGUGACAAAGUGAUAAGUGGUAGCUUUAGCUACACUUAUCUGAUCAAGUGACAAGUGGAAAGUGAUAAGUGAUAGCUUCGGCUACACUUAUCUGAUCAAGUGACAAGUGGAAAGUGAUAAGUGAUAGCUUCGGCUACACUUAUCUGAUCAAGAGACAAAGUGAUAAGUGGCUACACUUAUCUGAUCAAGAAAUAAAGUGAUAAGUGGCUACACUUAUCUGAUCAAGAAACAAAGUGAUAGGUGGCUACACUUAUCUGAUCAGGGACAAGUGAUAAGUGAUCAUACGUAAGACCAUAGUUAUACUAUGGCAAAGUGAAAGUGAAGUACUCAAUUUUCCGUGACCGUUUCCUAAUUUGAUUAAGGAUGGUAAGUGACAAAUGGGCCCAAAAGAAUUAAAGUAAAUGGAUAAGUGGUAGUGUAUUUAUAUCAAGACGAUGUUGUUAUUCAAACUAAAGUGAUAUUUUCAUUGCUAAAUUGAGAAUUUCAUAAAUGUGUUAUUGAAUGGUAUAAUCAAUAAACAUUGAGUUAAAUGGUAAAUACGUAUUAGUUUUGAAUUUGAUGUCAUUGAAUUGUACGUGAAUUAAAUGGAAAUUUCUAGUGAUAUGAUUUAAAUUAUGAGCAUGAGAAAUUGCGAAUUGAAUGAAAUGGAAAUGAAGCAUUAAAUUGCAUGAGUAUGUAUCGGGUCUCGCAGGCCCUAAUUAUUAUGAUUAUAAUAUUUUGAGGAUAUAUUGUGAAAAGUUAUAGAAACAUGUUAAUUAUUUUGAAAAUUUUAAUUUGAUGAAAUUUUAUAACUCGGUUAAAUACGUUUACAAGUGUAGGUGUUUUGGUAAUGCCUCGUACCCUAUUCCGGUGUUGGAUACGGGUAAGGGGUGUUACAUUUUCCCGCACUUAGUAUAAAAUUUUGAAAUAAUGUUUGCAUAUGAGCGACUUAUCAACAAAAAGAGUUUUUGAGCAUGACUUUGUUGAUGUAUGUUUUUGUGCAAAAGUUUAUUCUACUUAAGGAUUCUAUUUAAACUUAUUGCAAGAUUGUCUUAUCGAAAUUUUUGCUUUGCAUUACUCGGGACAACCAAUGGAUUAAGUUUGGGAGUGUGUAAAAUCCAAUUCAUAUAGAAUUUUUAUAGUUGUUUAUGACACUUUUUUACUUGAAAAAUUAUGUAAUCCCUAGAAUAUGAUAGUUAAUUCAGUGAAUUUUGUUCAUAUUACGAUAAUGGGCAAGAUUUAAUAAAGCAUGCAAUUUUAUGCUUUUAUGUAUUAAUUUUCUGCAUAAUUUAAUUAAUUCAUGCUACAUAUUAAUUUUCCCCUAUCUUAAUGUUGUAGUGGGGACAUCGAGUUGAUAAUGUAUGAAGCUCAUUUUUAUUUUGCAUGGACAUGAGACUAUUUAUUCGGAGAUUUAUUCGGAGGUCCUUACACUUGGAAAACAAUUGAAAAUCAACACACCAUUUUCACCCUUAAAACCAUCCACCUCCUUGCUUGAUUCAUGAAUGAAACCAAGCAUGAAUCAAGCAAAUAAAAACCUCCGUUCUCCACAAUUCAUGGCUGGCCAAGAGUGAGAGAAACCUAAUGGAUAUUCAAACUAUUUUUAGUAAACCUCUUAGUCAUCCGUCUACAAUAAAUACCACCCUUUAUUUCCCAUUCAUUAAUCCAUCACCUCUCAUCCAUCAUCAUUCAAUAAUCCUUCACUUAUCAUUCUAACUUUCCUUACCUUCUCACGUAUAAACCAUCCCAUUUCCCUUAGCUAGAAAUCUCUAGAGAAAAUUAUCUCUUGGCUGGCUACCUUGAGGAGCAUCUUACGAAGGAGCAAUUACGAGGAUCGAAAGAAGCCACCGUGAUCAAUUUUUGGAGGACUGUCGAAAUUACUUCAGAUUUUCUUCUUCCUUAAUAUUUAUUAUUGUUCAAUAUGUUUCUAAUUUGCUUUGAUUUUUUUUCAUUAACAAUGAUAUCUUAAUUUUUGUUUAGCUAGAAUGAUUAUAAUAAUUUGAUGAAGUUCAUUUGAUUUAUGUUCAUAAUGUUCUGUGCCUCAAUCGAUCAUGCUUUCAAUUAAAAUCAUGCAUGUAUUUCAUUCAUUAAAAUGUGAUUGAAUGCACUAGAAUUAGUUGAUCAAUCGUAGCCAGAUGACAAUUAAUGGACGUGAUAAUUGAAAGGUGAAUGUUUAAUUUAGAUCCUAGCUUGAUUAAAUUAAAGGUUCGUAAUAACUCGAGAGCGCUCUAUUACCUUGCAUAACUUUUAGAUUUGUGUGAUUAAUUUGUUUCAAACCUAAUCCGUCCGUAUUACUUCACAUAAAAUCUAAGAAACCCUUAGUUAAAUAUGAUCAUGGUAGUAUGCAUGUUUUUCUCAGUAGACGAUUAUGAAAGGACUUAAUAUUGGUUUCAAAGUUCGUGAAAGAUCGAGUUGCCAUGGAAUAUUUUUCGGAACAUUUUGAGCCUGAUGAGAAUUAACCAAGUCAAAUGAUGUAAUUAUUCUAGCCUAUUCAUGUUAUCGUUGUUGAAUCUUGUAAAUUUGCAACUAAAUCCACCUCAUACAUUUUUAUUCAUCACAUUUAGGAUAAUUUUUCAUCUAGAUAUUUAAUUUUACAACAACGAAAUGAAAUUAUUGUUUUUUUCUCACCAAAUAGUUAAACUUUAAUUUUGCAAAAUAUUGAUUAACAUAUACAGUCCCUGUAGAGAAGAUCACUCUUAUACUUACUUGUUACUCGAUAAUGACUGUGUAAACUUGAACAAACCCAAGCGUUACAUCCAUCUCCAUAGUAAUAUCAUUUUCCUCUUGAUCAUCUAUUAAAAUUUUUUGAUCUUGCCUUGCUUCUCUAACCUCUCUACAAUUUUUGCAAGCAGUCUAUUGAAUUUCACUAUCAAACACUAAUGGUUCCAACGGGUUUCCUCUAGUCAUAAACCAAAAGAACCUGUCAAAAUUAAACAAACGAAAAAUUAGAUUUUAAAAAUUCAAUUAAAAAUAAAAAUAUUAUAAUAAAAAUAAAAAAAUGGCUAAAUUAAUAGAAACAAAGUUUUCCUAAUAUUUUAGUCCCCGACAACGGCGCCAGAAACUUGAUGCAUCGUAAACCAACUAAAAAUUUGACUAAGGCAAGUGCACCUAUCAAUUAAUAGUAUAGCUACGGUGAUGAAAUAUAUCAUUUCCAUGAAGACUUAAAGUGCUAGUAAUUACCGUCUUUCUAUUAUUUAACCGAUAAAUUCGAAUGAUUGAUUAAGAACUAAAAAUAACUAAAUUAAUUGCUAACGAACACAACAAAGAACAAUUCGGGAAAAUAAUCUAGUGAACAACCAAGAAGUGAAACAAUACCCAAGAAAUAAUUCACCAAGAUUUCAUCUAUCAUUAUCAAUCUUAAUUACGCAAUUUCUUCACUUAGUAUCUUGAUCCGUAGAAAUCCCUCAAUUAUGCUAAUUUCUCUCUUCAAGAAUAAGAGAAACUAACUCUAGGUUGAUUAAUUGAAAUUUAUUUCUAAUAAAAACCCCUAUUAUUGCAUUAAAUCAAUCUAUGAAUUCCUUUAAUAGAUUUUAUUCUAAUUCGAUAGAUUUAUGACGUUCUAUUCCUAGGAUUGCAUGUAACUCAACUCAAUUACGCUAGAUCUUCUCCUAAACAGGGUCUAUUCCUCCUCUGAUUUAAACACAUGAAACAUGGAUCAAUAGUCUAGAACUAUUAAACCAAAAAUUAAACACACGUAAUUAAGAACAAGAUCUAAGAAUUUAUUGCACAAAAUAGAAACCAAAUGACAGAAUUCAUCAUAGGGUUCAUCUCUCUAGAUAUUUAGAAAAUUAGUUCAUGCUAGCAAAUAAAAACAUCCAAAAUUCAGUAUAACCAUAAGAAACAAAGAAACUUAUAAUAAUAUCCAAAGAAAUCAAAAGGGAAUCUUCAAUCUCGAUGGAAAUUUGCUUCAGAAUUGGCUUUAAUAGUAUUUUUCGAGUUAUUUUCUUGAGUAUUUAGUGAUGGCUCACUCCUAUGUUCAUAUUUUUGUCAAAUAUACGUCUUGAAAUGACUGAAAACCUAAAAAAUCAUGUUUUUCUGUAGGUUUUGAGUGCAAAUCAUGAAAUUGACAAGACCUACCACAUGGUCGUGUAGCAGCCCAUGUGGCACACAUGGUCGUGUGUCCAAGUCAUAUGGAAUGGUCCAGCCCUUGUGGCACUUGUAACUUGCUCCAAUUUUCCAGUUUUCACUUCUUUUCCUCCCAAAUGCUCUCCGAAGUAUAAAAACAUGAAUUGAAAUGAUUAGGAGCAUAAAAUUCACCAUUAACAUAGAAUAAUCACCCAAAAAAUGCAUUAAAAAUAAGAUUAAAACAUGUUACUUCUAGCACUUAUCAACACCGCACUUAGUAAUUUUAUCUGAUCCUUGUCUCUUGUUUUUCAACUCAUCUCCUCUACAUUCGCGAGGACGAGGCGAAGUGCGGUCAAGUUAUUAGCACUGUUGUUAGGGAGUCAGUGCUAGAUUGAACUAUUUUUAGUUUCAUUGUGUGUACUUAGAGGGAUAAUCGACGAAAGUCAAAGUUAUAGAUACGACUUUAUUUUUAUUUCAUUUAUAAUUUUUGGUUAACUUGUUUCAUUCUCUUGUGCUUGUAGGAGGCAUUGUAUGACUUAGACCGGUAAUAGUGUCUUACCAAUUGAGAUAGAAAUGGAACGUAUAAUUACACACGCAAGUAAGGCAUGACAUCUUAGAGACACCUAACCUCCACAAAAAGACUAGCCCAUCAUAGAUCCACGAGUAGAGAUUCAACCACCACCACACCCACCCAUGGAGAAAUACACUUUUCGUGACUAUGCGAUGCCCAACCUCGAUGUUGUUCAAAAGAGAAAUAAUCUCCCGGAGAUGUUCCAAAUGAUACAAGCAAACCUUCAAUUUCAGGGGUCAAUGAAUGAGGAAAAUAUAAUGGGGUAUUGAAUGACGCUAUCCGUCUUCGAUUAUUAUCUUUCUCUCUUACUAAAAAUAAUUUUAUGUGGUUACAUUCCAUCAACACUUGGGAUGAGCUAAGGAGCAAUUUUUUUGGAAAAUACUUUCCCUGGAGCAAAACAAUGAAGCUUCGUAUGUAUAUUAAAAAAUUUCAGAAAUUAGAAAGAGAGUCAUUUUGUGAGGCGUGAGAGUGCUUCAAAAUCAUGCUACGUAACUGCCCAUAACAUGGCCUGCAAAAUUUGGUUACAACUUCAGGUGUUUUAUAAUGGUCUUGAUGGGAAUUUGUGCUCUAGUCUUAAUGGAGCGUCCGUGGCAUCGUUCAUGUCAAAGGCAUACACCGAAGCAUGCCAAAUCAUCAAAGACAUGACAAUGAACUCUUAUAUGUGGGCGGAUGAGGGGUUCACAUAUAGAGCCAAACAAUCAACCGUGAAUGUGGUCGGUAGUGAAGACAAGUAUCAACAAGUCCUCGAAAGGCUUAAUCAAUCGGAGAUGAGUUUGACAAAGGUGAAAGUCUAGAAUCAGCCCCCUUCUAACUUAUUGUAAUGCAGGAAACUAUGGUGAGGGCUCUAUGUCAGUAAAUGUUAACGGGAGCAACCAAAUGAAUGUUAACUAUGUGGGGAAUAAAGGGUACUACUAUAACAACCCAUUUUUAGUAAAAUCAGAAUAGUAGUUUCGGGACCACAAAUCUGAGCUCAAAAAAAUUAUUUUAUUAUUAUUUUAUUUCCUACAGCAUGAUAGAAAUACCGUUUAAAAAUUUUGUUAAGAAAUUUUACCGUUUACAUGCUUAAUUUGAUAAAAAGGACUAAAUCGCGUAAAAUGCAACAAUUGAGUUAUAGUAGCUAAAGGUAGUAAAUAGAUCUAGAACCUUAAAUUUUAAGUCUUUAUAUGAUAAUUAUACCAUAAAUAGAGAUAGUGGAUGUUCAUGGCUUGGUAUAAGUGUAAUUAGAAAUGUUUUAAAGGUUAAUUAAGUUGUUAGAGAUUGACCCGAUUAAGCAAGGAACAAGUAAAAAUAGUAGAAGAAAUUGAGAAAUUGAACACUCCUCCAAAGAGGAUAAAAACCCACAGGCAAAGAUAAUUUUACUAUAAUGGCAAAAGAAACGAAGAGUACAAAAAAAUAUGGAGAUAAAAACUAAACCCCGAAAACCUGAAAACCCAAAAACAAAGAACCCUCAAAACGUAAACACAAAAUUCUCUAAAUGUGUUAUGAGUUCUAAUAUCUAAUGAGUGUAUUUUCUAAGGUUGUAAAAGAGCCUAUUUAUAGGCUAAAUUCAUAUGUCAAAUAAUAAUAAAAUAAUCUAAACUAAUCAGUGUUUGAUUGAAACAAAUAAACAGAGUUUAACUAGAAGAUUAUUUCUCACAUUUGACUGAAAUAUGAGUCAUACUUAACAAAUCUCCACCUUGGCUCAUAUUUCUACAACGCUGUCUUUGCCAAAGCUUGCCACGAGCCUAUCUUGAACUAUGUAGGGAAUUAACUGAGUCGAAUCUGUGCUUAGAAACUGGAAGACUUCUAGCCUUCGACUUGUACACAUCCAAAUCAAAACUAACCCGGGUCUGAUUUUCACGAACACAGUGCUCUAAAUUUUCAAAACCUGUAUCCAAAAGAGAACCUCUCUUCAACGAAACGGUCAUACAUUUUUCCCUUCUAUAACCAAGUUGCCUCCGCUCCAAACGAGUUGACUUCGACUCUGAAACGGACGAGGGACGUCUGAUUUUACCAGUCACUGUAGAACCUUCCAGAAUAUAAAGACUGUCAGUUCUUUUACCUUUUAACAAAACGAGAGCUCCACGAGAUACUUUAAUGCCGCUCGACUCGAUGUUGAUUCUGCAUCCUUUCAAGUCUAAAAUACUCAAGGAGAUGAGAUUCUUUCGUAAAUCAGGUACAUACAGGACAUCUAAGAGUAUCCUAAUCGUCCCAUCGUGUAUCCUAAUUUUAACAGUACCAAUACCAAUUACCUUACUAGAUGAAUUGUUUCCCAUGCGCACAACUCGACCUUCAACUAAACUGUAUGUGGAGAACCAUUCUCUAUUGGGACACAUGUGGAAAGAACAUCCAGAAUCUAGGAUCCACUCAGACGUGAACUUGGAUUUAUCGCUCGUUGACACUAACAAGAAAUCAUCACUGCUCUCAUUGGCGAAAUUAGCACCAGCUACAUCUUCCUCGUUACUCUCAGCAGCUCUUUUAUUUCGCAGUUUAUAACAAUCUCGACACCUUUUGUCUUGUUUUUUUGAUGCUACCAAAAUGGAAGCUUUCCUAUCUACCUUACUAUCCAAAUGAAGCUCAUUGUUGAGUUUGUCUCUACUCAAAAAAUGACCCUUCACAUCUUCGAACGAGAGUUUGUCCCUGCCAUAAAUCAGGGUCUCCUUGAAAGACUUGUAUGAAGGGGGUAAAGAGCACAAUAAUAGCAUAGCUUGAUCUUUAUCAUGAAUAUGAACUUCAACGUUCUGUAAAUCAUUUAAAAGAGUAAUGAAUUGACUGAUGUGAUCUCUAAGAAGCUCACCUUCAUUCAUGCGAAAUGUAAAUAGAUGUUAUUUAAAUAGUUGCAUAAAGAGUUUUUAACCUUUUCUACAAGGUAGAUGAGGCCAUCUCCAUCAAUACCUCCUGUAAUAUCACAUCCGCGAGGCACAACUAGAGUGCAGACAAAGCCUUUUCAUCAAGCUCUUCCCAUUCUGUUUUAUUUAGAUUCUCAGGCUUUUUCCCGAUAACAAUCUUUUUCAAACUGGAUUGAACUAGAAUUUCCAUCAUCCGAACUUGCCACAGAUUGAAAUUUGUCUCACCAUCGAACUUCUCAAUUUCAAACAUUGUUGCUGCCAUAUCUGAAUGGGUUGAUUUAUGAAAAUUGAACUAUCUCUGAUACCACUUGUUAAAGAUUGACCCGAUUAAGCAAGGAAAAGUAAAAAUAGCAGAAGAAAUUGAGAAUUUGAACACACAAAUUUAACGUGAAAAAACUCCUCCAAGGAGGAUAAAAAACCACGGGUAAGGAUAAUUUUACUAUAAUGGAAAAAAAAUGAAGAGUACAAAAAAAGAUGGAGAUAAAAACUAAACCCCAGAAACCCGAAAACAAAGAACCCUCAAAACGUAAACACAAAAUUCUCUAAAUGUGUUACGAGCUCUAAUAUCUAAUGGGUGUAUUUUCUAAGGUUGUAAAAGAUCCUAUUUAUAGGCUAAAUUCAUAUGUCAAAUAAUAAAAAAAUAAUCUAAACUAAUAGUGUUUGAUUGAAACAAAUAAACAGAGUUUAACUAAAAGAUUAUUUCUCAAAUUUUGACUGAAAUAGGAGUCAUACUUAACAUAAGCAAUUUGUAAAAUAAAGAUAAAACUAAUAAAAUAAAAUAAGCCAUCAUCUUUAUUCUCAUCUCUUACAAUCAAAAUUAAGAAAGUAUGGAAGCCAUGGGAGCUUGAAGUUUUGGCAAAACAAUUUACCUUGCAUUGGUAUGAAUUUUUGUCCCGUUUUUAAUUGUUUCUAUGUUUUCGGGACCAUUGUAGCUUAAUCUAGCUAGCCCGGGGACUAAUUUGUGAAAUUGUUAAACUAUUAUGAUUUUACCAUUAAUGAAUAUACAUGAGUUUUGAUGUUUGAUUAUAGAAAAUGAAUAUUGGUUGUUAGAUAAACAACUUUUGUUAAAAGAUUUUUAUGAAAUUGUCAAUUAUGAACUAAAUUGAAAAAUAGAAAUUUUAAAUGGUUAAUUUGUUAAAUAAAUUAAAUAUAGGGCUUUCUAGGGACCUAAUUGAUAUUAACUAUAGUGGGCUGUGGUGAAAUUUCAUGAAUUUCCAUUUUUAUGAGCUAGGGACUAAAUUGUAAAGGAAUUAAAAGUAUAGGGGCAAAAUGAUAAUUUUUCCAAAAUAUGUUUUUGGGAUAAAUUGAAUGAAUUAUAUAUUAAAUUGAGUUGAAUUUAUCCGUAUAGAUCAUGAAAGGCUUCGUACAACUUUAGAUCAGGAAAAGAGAAAGUCUCGGAUUAAUUGCUUCCGUAUCUACGUAUACUCGUCGAGGUAAGUUCGUGUGAUUAAAUUGUGUAAAUAUAUUUUAUAUUGAAUUAUUUAUGAAUUGUGAAUUGUUAUAAAUAUACAUGGUUGCAUAUCCAACGAAGUUCGAACAAUACCAAGUCUCGUUUGAACCUUAGAAAUUCAUAGAAUACAAGUGACAUGUCAUUAGGGUUUACAUGAUUUGAGUACUGGUCCUUAACAUCCUACCGAUGGCUGAGGUCCUACAUGUGUUAUGGAUACUCCACAGCUCAUGUGAGCAGCAUCAUGUAGCUACGUUCUGACCCACAGCUCGUGUGAGCAUACCGAUUUAUAGCUCGUGAUAGCAUACCAAUCUACAGCUCGAGUGAGCAUACCGAUUCAUAGCUCGUAUGAGCAUACAUGUACAUGAAUUGAUGGAUUACAGGUAAAUGAGCUAGCACACUAUGUGUGAGCUAUGUCGGGUAUCCAAUGGUAUUCUAAAUAGUUUAACGGGUAAUAUUAUAAGACGAAAUGGUAAGAGUUUGAUACGGACUAUUACAGGAAUACAUAUGAUUUUACAUGAAAAAUGUGAUUACAUGAUAUAUGAAAAAAUGAAAUGAAUGAUACAUGUAUAUGGAAUUUGAUCAAUGGUUAUGUUCAUUUAUGUUUAUAGGUUUAUAUAUGUAAUUGCAUGGCUAACAUGGUCGGUGUAUACGUGCUUAGGCAUUUGGCCAAAUUGUAUUGGGAUACCCUUGUUUAUUUACAUAUUAUAUGACUAUAUGGUAAGUUAAAUUCUAUGUUAUACGAACUUACUAAGCUUAAAUGCUUACUCUAUGUUAUUUUUUUGUGUGUUUUAUAGUGAAUCGGAAGCUUGUUCGGGUUGGAAGCUUGUCAGAGCUAUAUCACACUAUCCAUCGACUCUUUUGGCACAUUCGGUUGUUUAAUUUUGGUUAUAAUGGCAUGUAUAGGUAUUUUGGCUAAUGUUGGCCUAUAUGUUUUGUUGUAAAUAUGGUCAUUUGAUUUGGCUUGUGUUUGACAUAUUUUUGGUAUGUAUAUAAGUAGCAUUAACAUGGUUGAUGUGUGGUUUAUUUUGUGUUGAACAAUGAAAGGUAAAAUGAUAGUUAAAUGUGUUUUGUGAUAUGACUUAUAUAGUGAUUUGGGGCUAGUUUAAUAUGUCAUACUUGGUACCAAUUGAGAAGUUUUGAUAAGUAACUAAAUGGCAUGAAUUUAUGCAAAUCUAGUUCAAAGUUAGUUGAUCAUUUUGAUCAAUAUGAGUACAUGAUUAUACAUGUUUGCAUAUUGUCAUUUGAGGUGCCUAAGGCCAUAUUGGUUGUAUGAUAUUAUAUCAUAUGUAUAUGACUUGUUUAUGCUUGAUUUAUAUUCCUUGUUUUAGCUUGUAAGUAUGUGCAAUUUUGUGUGUAGGUACAUCCCAAAUUGGGUGAGAAAAAUGGCUUGUAAAAUGGCCUAAUUUUGUCCACACGGGCAGAGACACGAGCAUGUGUCUCAGCCGUGUGUGACAUACGAUUAGGUGACAUGGCCAUGUGUCCCUUGUAGAUUUCAAAGGGUUGCAAGUCAGGAUUUACACGGCCUAGAACACGACCUUGCACACAGGCGUGUGGGGUUACUUCGAAGGGUACACGGCCUGGCACACGGGCGUAUGGCUUGGCUGUGUGACCCAAGUCAGUGUGUUACACGGGCAUGGGCACGAGCUGGGACAUGACUGUGUGUCCCUAGUUUGAAUGCCCACACUGCCUGAGACACGAGCGUGUCUCUUGGCCAUGUGACCCCUGCAGUAUUGAAAAUUUUCCUUGUUUCCUAAAAAAUUCUUUGAGUUUCUGAUUUAGUCCCGACUUGUUUCUAAUGCAUUUUUAGGGCCACGAGGACUCGUAUAAGGGACAAUAAGUAUGUUUUGACUUGGUUUUACUAUGUUUAUUGAUAUGAUCUAAAAUGUUUAUAAAUAUAUGCUCAUUUGAUUUGAAAACUUCAAUAAUGCUUUGUAACCCUAUUCUGGCGAUAGAUAUUGGUUAGCGGUGUUACAACAACCCAUACUCCAAUAAUUACAACCUAGGGUAGCGUGACCAUCUUAACCUUAUGUAGAGAGGAAACAAAGAAGGUCUUUGAAAUCAAUGAGUCCAAAAUUUCAAUGCCCUUUGACCGAAUGACCCAAAUUAGCAUCUAUUACCAUAUCAGCAUGUGAAUACCUAGCCGAUGGUGCCUUGGCCAUGGCAAUAAGUUGUUCGAAUGCCUAGUUAAGGGAUGUUGCACCCCAUGCGGCUGGUCGUACGAAUGACUGACCUAAGCGAACACUUGUCAAUCAGGAAAAAGUGGAGGGUGGUUGUAGGGCCAUCCCUACAUGGCCACCACAUCGAUGGCCUCACGAGGAGUUGCAGAUCCGACCAAGCCCAUUCGGGAAAAACAACAAUGUUUUGGGUUACCGUGGGAAAGUUUUCCUAGCGAUGGCACCAUGGGCACGACAACUUUGACGAUGGUAAUCCGUGUUGGAAAAUCGGAUUUGAAAAAUGUAACGAAAAAUAAGUUUAAGAGAAAAAACUAGAGUUUUAAUUUUUUUUCCAAAAACAAGAACAUGGUUAUGAUAUCUAAAGUAAUAAACACUUAAUAAAAAUUGUACCUUUUUGAUUCAUCUAGAAUGAAAGCUUCGGCUGAAUAGUCUUCUCCAUUAUGCUCGAGCUCAUGUCUACCGGGUGUGGGCUCUCUUCGAAUAAGAAAUUUUUCCAUAAAAUUACCAGUGAUGUAAUUUUGCAAUUUCAUUAAACUUCAGGGCCAAGUCAUAAAUAAGAAAACUAUCUCUAGAAAUCUUCUGAAAUAAUUUAUUUAGAUAAUUUUCUCUUUACAACUUUCUCUUGAAUUCAAGUCAGUGAAAAAUAAUGACUCAUGACUCUCUUUAUAUAGGGAGAGUUUAAGUGUUCAACUAUAAUUAAACUUAAUCACUUUAAUAUUAAAUUAAUAUAAUACUUAUCAAGAUAAAUAUUAGAUUAAAUUUAAUAUUAAAUCUAUUAAAUAAAUAGAAUAUAUAUUUACAAGAUAAAUAUUAAAUUAAAUUUAAUAUUAAGAUAAUCACUUUAAUAUUAAAUUAAUAAAAUACUAUCAAGCUAAGUAUCAAAUUAAAUUACAUACUAAAUCUAAUUAAAAUAAUAUUAUUUUAGGAAAAGUUAAUCUGAAAUCAAAUUAUCCCCUAGAGUCCCAGUAGGAGUGUGAUUCUCCACUUCUCAACCACCGAAGGACCACCCGUCGGCCACCAAGAUGCCACCGUCGUAGCCGUCGACACCAACAUGUCCGGUGGUGCCAUCAUAGGUACGACAUCCUCAUGCCACCCUGAGCUAGUUCAAUUGUUGCCGAUUUAGUCUGGGCCGGUGGCGACCCUACUGGUCCAGUCCAACCACCAGUUGGACUGUUGGCCCAAUCUCACAUACCAGGCCUGAUUCGACCAGUUUUUAUGUCUCGGUCUCGGUUUUGGGUUUGCGAACCCAAUUUUCAAGUUCAAUUACCAUUGGGCCAAUUAUCUUGAAAAUUAAUUCCAAAAAUAUCAUAUUAAUUUUAAUUAAUUUGAUUAAUUUAAAUUUACUUGAUCAAAAUUAAUUUUCCCAAAAAUUACUAAGAUUUUCCAAAAUUAAUUUUUAAGAAAAUUCUUUAAUCAAGUUCUCUAGUCAAACAAUUCUCAUGACUGUCCAAUUUAAUUCUACAUCAAAUAAAUUGAUUAAAUUAUUUCCAAAGUCAUAGAAUUUUUUUGAUUCAAAUGCAGCCUGAUCAAGCUUUUAUUAAGCUAGCGGAGGGACCAAUCGAACAUAUACAAUUAGGCUCAAGUAAUUGCAAUUAUGUCCAGAAGCAUUGUUUCGAUAAUUCACAAUUUACUUAAUCAUUAAGUCAAUCCACAAGAAGUAUCAUGAUUGAAUACUCUUUAUUGUAUACCCUUUACGGGAACAAUUCAUCCAAUUGUUUUAUCCAGUGACCUCGUCAUGUGUGUGUUGCUCUCAUAUGAUAUUCUUGAUUCCUUUGAGUUAAAUCCGUUCACUCAAUACAAUUCUAUUUUAUCUCAUUCUAACUGUUGUGUCUUUUUAAUUAUUAAUAUGAUCACUGUCAACAAAUGAUUGUGAUAAAUUGCUCAUUCGAGAACAAGCAACCUAUGGUCACAUUCCAUAUUUAUCAAUCCACAUAAUGCCAAUGAGAGGAUACCUUUAACUCUUUACUCAAGCUUUGGAUUCCAUUGUUUCUAAUAAAGCCAUGUCAUACACAAGUCAUGUACCCAAUAUAUCAGUUAUAGGAUCGAUUAUCUUUAGAACAUAAGCUUCCACUUGUAUUAAAGCGCAUGAGUUACGUACGAAUAGUCAAUGACUAUUUCAAGAUUUAGGUAAAUCACACCAUGAACGUCACAAGUGUGACUAGAUAUCUCCCCAAUUGAAAUUGUAGACGACAUAAUAAUUCUUCUAAGCAUUUGAAUCAAAUUCUCACUUUGAUUUUUUUAUGGGAUUACAGAUUCAUCUAGAUUAUCUACUGAAGUAAGUUAUCUUUCUCACAAUGUAAAUGUUCUUACAGUGUCACUUAUCAUUAAUUUGAACUUGGACAAUCAAUAAGUCAAUAUUUUUUUGUCGCAAUUUUGCUAUGCAUGCAAAACAUGAAAGACAAACACAAAAGACAUAAUAGUGAAAUGUGAAAUUAACUUUAUUUAUUUAUCGUUCAAAUACAUAAAAAACACUUACAUGUUUAUUACAAUAUAGACACAUUUUCUAACAAUCUGGUAGCCAACAAAUGGUCGGCCGUGGCGAUUCUUCGACUGUAAAGUAGUGGAAAAUUUAUACUUCUAGUGGGAAUCUACAGGGUAACUUGAUUUCAAAUUAACUGUUCCAAAAACUAAUAUUAUUUUCAUAAACUUAAAAUUAAAUUUAAUAUAAUAUUUAUCUUGAUAGUAUUUUAUUAACUCUAUACUAAUGUGAGAUAUUAAAUUUGAUUUAAUAUUUAUCUUAAUAAUAUUUUAUUAAUUUAAUAUUAAUAUGAGUAGUUUCAAUCCUAAUUGAACUCUCUUUAAAUUCUCCCUAUAUAAAGAAAGCCUGAGUCAUUAUUCUCAAAUACUUGAAUUCAAGAAAAAUUGUACACAGAAAAAUCUCUGAAGGAAUUAUUCUAGAAAAUUUCUAGAGAUAUUUCUUGUUAUUUACAACUUGACCCUAGAAGUUUAGAGAUAUUGCGAAAUUGCCUCAUUGAUAAUUUUGUGAAAAAAAUUUCUGAUUCGAAGCGAGCCCACGCUCAGAAGUUGUAAACUUGAGGAUAGCGAAGAAGACCACUUGAUCAAAGCAUUCAUCCUAGACGAAUCAAAAAAGGUACGAAUUUUGAUUAAAUCUUUAGAUAACACAACUAAGUUCUUGUUUUGGAAAAAAAAUUAAAAAUUUAUUUUUCCCUUAAACCUAUUUUUCAUUGCAUUUUCUGAACCCAAUAUUCCAGCAUAAGAAAACAAAGAAACAAAUCUCACAAGAUUAGAAUGUUUGCAAAUGAAGCAUGCACCCAAUAAAAAAACUUGAGCUAAGAAAAUACAAUAAAUGCUCACAAACAUUUACAAGAAAAAUAUGAAAAUUUAAGCACAAACGGAUGGUAAUAGAUUUCUUGAUGUUUCUUGAUAGCUCUUAAUCUCUUGUAAUCUCUCUUAUUAUUGCAGAAGCUUUAGAAGUUGGUAUUUAUAGUGUCUCAUUGAUUUCCAAUCGUUGGGGUUGUUGGGAAAAUGAAUUGAGUUAUUGGAGGUAAAAAAACCAGAGCAUUGAUGACUCUUGCAACAAAAGAUAUCGAUACAUUUGAAGGUGUAUGUAACACCCUUACCCAACCCGAUCGUUGAAUCCAGGUAUGGGCUGCCACAAAUGGACCAAAUUAGAUUAAUCACAAAAUUUAAACUUAAAAAAUUUGAGGAUUGUCUUUAAUAAGUAACAAAGACCACUUCUUACAACAAAACCGUAAUUUUAAAUUUUAAAACUUACAAUCUCUAGUUCCAAACUCUAAGGGAACUAUUUAAUACAAUAUAUUCGACCCUAAGAUGAAGCCUUUAAGGGGUACCCUUCCUAUGUGCAUGAUACCCCACUGAAAUUGAUUCUUAAUCCAUCACUGUCUCGCUUGGUCACUCCUCAAAUUCCUUAUCCCACAGAUCCUGCAAAAACACAAGCCAAGACUUUUAGAAGUUCAACGAAUUUUGUGAGUUUCUUCGCUUUCCAAAUGCAUAACUUACCCCUUCUUCAAUAGGGUAAAUUUAAAAAAAAAUACUUUGACUUCCUACUGUUAAUUAGGCUUUAGCGCCUUAACUGAACUAAUGCACUCUCGUACACCUUCCACCUUUCUUUAAUGGCGGUUGGACUGCUAAUACUGUAAAUUCCUGGUCGAGCUUAUGUCUCGACUGUAACACCUGAAACCUGACCUAGACGUUAUGGUUGAAUCUGACGUGUCACACUGAAGUGUCUUUUGAAAAUUUAACUCGUUGGUAAAACUUUGUUUCUAAGAUUAAAAUAAACCCCUUUAUUAAUUAUUUAACAAAUCAACUAGACAAAAAGUUUGUCUUGUUAUUUGAUAUUGUUUUAAUAAGUUGGUCUAAAAUCGCGGAAGUUGUAUUUCUUUAAAUUCUAUUGUUUAAAACUCGUGUCUUUGAAAACAUUAAUUAUUUUAAAAAAUUGUCUUGUCCUAUCUAGCAGUUUAAAAUAUGUAAGUAAAAUCCUAAUUAAAAAUUUAAACCAACUUAAAAGCCUUAUUACAAAAACAAAACCCAACUAAUAAAUUGAAUAAAAAUAAAAGCAAGUGUAACCAGCAGCAGUUGUGUGGCCACCUCGAAGUCCCUCGCAGCACCGAAUUGCCUAUGGCUAGGGAGUACCUGUACAGUUAAAAGAAGAGGGUGAGUUUAUGAAACUCAGUGUAUAAUCCUCUACCAAACAAUCAGCAUACAACAUGCAGUAACAGUCUGGGCCCGAGCCCUAUUCAGUAUUAGUACAGUGAGGGCCUAGCCCGAUACAAUAAUAGUGUGAACCUUAGCCCAAUACAAUAAUAGUGUGGGCCUUAGCCCAAUACAGUAACAGUACAUUGCCAUAAUACAACCCAUCCCAAUCCAACCAAUACACCACUCCGUACCACCAACACACUAUGUGGGGAUAAAAUCGACCCAUCCAGUCAACACACCAAUAUCGCAGUAAAGCUGCCAGUAAUAGUAUCGCAGUGAAGCUGCCAAUAACAGUAUAUGUGGCUAAGCCACUAGUUCAGUAUACUUCCCCUAUAUCAGUAUCCCAACCCCAUGCAGUAUGUCAUGUCAUAAAUCAUAUGUGUAUGCAAAACGUCAUACUUAGUAACAAUCAUUUCAUCUCCUUGAGGUAUAACAGUUAUUUUACCUUAUGGGGGUAUUUCGGUCAUUUUACCCUAUGGGGUAUUUCGGUCAUCUUACCCUAUGGGGAUAUUUCAGUCAUUUUACCCUAUUAGGGUAUUUUGGUCAUUCUACCUUAUGGCGGUAUUUCGAUCAUUUAUUGAUCGCUUGAAAGGUAACCUAAAUGGUCAUAACAGUGUAAAUGGGCCCAAGGCCCAUUACUCGACCCAAGUGGGACCGCACACUAGUGCGACCUGUUCAGCCCAAAAUUUGCCACGGCUAUGAGUUCUACGUAGCCUGGUCCAGUAUUUGCCAUAAAUCAUGGUUUUCAUCUGUGAGGGGCCUACGAGCCAAUUGGUCUCAUACGUCCCAUUUCGACCCAACAUGGCCUAUUACGGCCUAAGCCCAUGGAAUUGCUCAUGGAGGCCUUUACAGUCUAACGCCCAUGAUUUGAGGAUUUGGUUUACCAUAUGAGUGAUCAAACGCUCAUGUGGUCUCAAAUGUCGUACUUUCAGCUUUUCAACUUUUGCCGUCUAAAAGUUAUAGCGGGGUGUCUACACACUUGAUUGUGAAAAUGCACCAAGAUCCACGAGCACCCAAAAUCUACAUUCAUACAAGUUUCCCAUUAGUUGCUAAUCAAUAGAGUUAAUCUCCUUCUUUUACAUCCUUAACCAAAACUACAUUAAUACUUGCUUCGACUGUCAAAAGUGACUUAGCCCACUUAUACCAUUGACGAAGGUUGACUACAAUCUUCUUGACGAAUAUCUGCAUUGCAAACGGAUUUAUUAAACAAAAUUGUUUAAUCAUGUGGUUUAAAUCCACUUCAUGAAAACUUACAGAAAUAUAGCAAGCAUUCAGCCUACACCUAGACUGCUAGCCCACAUACCUACUUUAGAUCAAGAGAAGAGAGAAAGGUUUCGACGACUUGGUAUUACUUGAUACUCUUUCAAUCCUCGAGGAGUUUGAACCAUCAGAGAAGAGUGAUAUACGGCUAAACCAUAGACAAUAAAGGGAGAUAGCUCUCGAUCAAAAAGGAAAUAAUAGGAGGUAGAAAUCAAAGACAGAAAGAGAAGGAUAUUCGACCAAAGAAUAAGAAGAGAAAAAAGAUUAGGCCAGCAGAGAAGAGAAGAGAGAAAGAGAGAGAAUGGAGGAUUUGGCAACAAGAGGAGAGGGGGAAGAGGAAAGAAAAGAGUAGACAAAGACAAACCCGAGGGGUACUUCCCAAAACUUGGCAAAAUUCGGCACCUAAAACGUAAUAUCUUUAGUACCUAGAGACCAAAUUUGGUAGAUACUACCCCAAAAAGUUCUUCCAAAUGCCGAAAACAACAACCUUUUCCCCCCAUCCAAAUUCUCAAGGCUUGAAUUACCCCAAACGGCACACACUCCCCCUCCUAAUCAAAUUUCUUGAUUUUCUCCUAAUAUCUCUCCCCUUAUCCCUCCUUGAUUUACUCCACCAAAAAUUCCAUUCAAAUUCUAUUCAAACUCCCCUUAGCUGUGUUUCAGUCCAACUCCACUACCUACACAACUCAAGUAGCAAAAUAAAAUACUCCAUUGCACAACCCAGGACUUGAAACUCAGACCUCACAGUUAUACAACACGGCACCUUGCCACAAAACCACAGGCUUUUUUUGUGUCAAAAAACCAACACUAUUAUUUAUAAGGCCUAUAAGCCAAUGUCUAGUUUCAUACAAGAGCAAAACUAAAAAUUCUGCAAAAGCCAAUACUUGAACACAGGCUUCUUAAACACUCCCAAACACACCCAAAUCACUUAACCACUGAAGCAAACAAGUAGUUGUGUCAAAACAUGCAAAAAAUUAAAGACUUAUAUUUUUGGGGUGUUACAUCGACUGCAAGAUUCUAGUGGUUUCUAGAUGUUUUGUUAUGUUGGCGGGUUCUCACUUUACCUACAUACUUUUAGGAAUGAAUCAUCGUUUUCCAUUACCCCGAUACUAAGGUGAAACCUAUCCUUCUACAAAGAAUCAUUUUGACAAGCGGCUUCGGUCAAAUGGUUAUCAUAACAACCAUUUGAGUUUACGAUUUCUCAUAUGUGAGGGUUUCCUUCCAAAACUAACUACAUAGCGGUUAUACUCACUAUAGAUCCUCCUCUAAGAGGAAUAGUCUUGAUAGACAUAACUGUCACUUGGUACCACUUAUUGGUACAUUACACUAACAUACCGAAUUUUAUUGAACCCUUCCAGAAUCCCUUAAUGGCGGGUUCCUCAUCUGCGAUCCUUGGAUACAUCUUCUCUUGUUUACCUAUCUGAAUCUUGCUGGGUUACCACCCAUAUGUCCUUUCAGAUUUCACAACUACUAUUUGAGCAAUCUUUUCCCAUUUCUAUUAUGUUUUCCAUUCAUCGGUGGAUUCCUAUGACCCACUGGCUAACUACUACUUGUCCACACUUUCAUAUUCCUUCUAACCCUUUUUCCUUGUUUGUGGAAUUUCCCACGAUUACUGUCAUGAUUAUCCACCCCAUGUUUACUGUCCCGAUAGACUACCCUAUGUUUUUUCUUGACGGACUACAUAUGUUGCCAUAGCCGAGCUAUGGUCUUACUCAUCAAGCUCCAUUUUUAAUGUCCUGGCAGACUUUCUCGUGUUUAAUGUCUCAGCAAACUACCCCGUGUUUAGUGUCCUAUCGGACUCCAUUGGUUUCCAUACCUGAGCUAUGGUCUUAUACCCUACAAUCCUCGUGUUUACUAUCCUGGAAGACUCUUUUGGUUGCCAUAACCAAGCUAUGGUCUUAAACCUUACAAUCCUAGUGUUUACUGUCCUGGAAGACUCUUUUGGUUGCCAUAAUCAGGCUAUGGUCUUAUACCUUAUACCUCUUUGAGGUGUCAACCCAAAGGACAUUAUAGUCAUCGCGGUGUCGCCCUAUAGAGCCUGUUGACUAUCGUUGCGGUGUUGCUCUAUGGAAUCUAAAUAUCGUCAUCACGUUAUUACAUCAAAAGACCAUCAAUAUCAUUCCUUUUACAUUUUACCUUGAUGCUCGAACACCGAAAUGCCCCCUCGCAAGGCUCGGAGCUUUGCACAUCACGGUUUACACUCAGCAACACAUAUGGCGAUAUCUUAAUGAAAAUCUAAAUUCCUGAUUCAUUUGUCCAUUCCUCUAUUUCGCUAUUUCUAUACCUUGAUGCUUGAACAUUGCGGUGGCCAUCCACAAGGCCCGAAGCUUCACUCAUCACGAUUUGCACCCAACAACACCGUAUAACGGUAUACAAAAACCCAAUUUCCCAAAUCUUAACUUCUUAUAUUCCGUAAAUACCCUUCCCUAUGUACCCCAAUAUUCAUUGAAUACAGGCAUAGUCAUAUAACCAUAAAAACAUUAGACAUGAAUUUCAAACAUAGAGAUACUCUUGUACUUGCAAAUACUAAAAUACCUACUCAACCUUAUGCAUACAUAGCACUCUCAAACAAAAAGAUCAUACAACCCAUUCUGGACUUAACAUAGAAUCAUGCAAGUCAUGUAACAUCCCAGAAAUGGAGUAUAGAAACUCACAUGAUACUUCUUUGUCCUACCAGAUUAGCUUUUCCAAACUCCAAAGUUUCCAUUAUCUUGGCAGCUAAGUAGUAUAACCAAAUUCAUGAGUUAAACUCAGUAUUUUCAAAAGCAUGCAGAACCCCUAAAAUGAUUUUGAUACCCUUAACUUUGUUCUCUAAAUCUUAAGUACAAGAAGGACUUAGAACCUUACCAACUUCCUAGAUUCUAUACUUUUUUUACUAAAUCUUCACGAUCACCACUUCAUACAGAGCUUUCCAUAAUCAUCUCUUCUUCGGAGCAACCAAAGAAAAAGAUGAAGAAGAGAGAAAAAUGAAACAGAACCAAGAUGAAUCCUCUCCUAGAAUUCACCUUUCAGCUAUUUGUAGCUCUUCUCGCAUGGUCUUCAACCAUAUAAAAUCCAUCCAUUGACAACCAUUGUGUCUCCCACUAAGGAACCAGUUUGUUUUAAUCCAACUGAACCAGCAUUAGAUCUCAACCAUGUCAAAUUUCAUCACUAAAUUUUGCUAAAUUUUCAGUAAAGGUCAUCAACUUAUGAAUUUUUUCAAAUUAACCCCUCAAUUGUUCCAAAUUUUCAGACUUAAAAGAAAUCGGGUGUGAAAAGGUAUCUAUUCUUUGGGCCUUUAACACAUAAAUUCAAUGACCAUUAAGCCUAUAGUAUCGAUACAAUAGGGAAUGUAUUGAUACUUGCUAUGAGGUUUUGAUACCUUGGGGAGAAUAUUGGUACUCAGAUAAUUUUUCUUUAAUUUUCAAAACAUCAAGCUGUAAAACGAUAUAGCUUAAUUUUGCAUGUUCCACACGACCACAGCCUAUUACACUUCGUAGCCACACGACCGUGUAACCCUUCCACACAGCCUAUAGCAUCUCACACGGCCAUGUGCCCCCUGUUUACAGUGUUUUCUAAAAUUUUGUGAAUUGUUCAAUUUAGUCCUUGAACAAUCCUUGAACCAUUUUUAGUGUCCAAUCUCAUUCAAUUGAGUCCCUGAUAUUAUGAAUAAUGUUGAAAUCCAUGCUCUGAUUGACUAAAUUGUUUUUAUAUAUGCACAAUAUGUGAUUCGUACAUGCUACUGUCAUUGGAUUACAGAUAUAUUAUAUUGUUACUCGUACCACUGUGUUUUUGAUUCCAUGAGCAUCAUGACAACUGUUACUUGUAAACUGAAUACAUGUCAUACAUGUCUACUGCUACUGUUAAUCUGAAUACAUGCUAAGCAUUUCUACUAUUUCUGUAUUGUACCAUUAUUAGCAUGUCAUACUGCAUUGCAUAGGGCGAGACGUUCUGAAAGGAGGAAGUACUAGCAGUUUAAUUGCAAAAACUGGUGGUUUAUCCAAACUUACUGGCAACUUUUAUCUGCAAACUUGUUGUGUAUGCACAACUACUGACAACGUAUUAACUUGCAAAACUGGUGGUUUAUCCACAAACUUAUUGCUAGUUUUUAUCUACAAACCCGUUGUGUAUUCACAACUAUUAAUAGUGUAUUAACCUGCAACAUUAGUGGUUCAUCCAUGAUUUUUACUGGUAGUUUUUAUCUACAAACUCAUUUUGUAUUCACAACUAAUGGCAAUGUAUUAACCUACAAUACCGGUGGUUCAUCCAUGAUUUUUACUGGUAGCUUUUAUCUACAAACCCGUUGUGUACUCACAACUAGUGGUAGUGUAUUAACCUGAAAUAUUGUUAGUUCAUCCACAAACUAAAGUUUCCGAGAUAUAAAAUUUUUGGGGAACUCUCAUUGUAGAGUGUAGCGAUGAGGUAGGACCUUUUACUGUUAAACUAAAAUUUCAUUGCAUUGCAUAGACAUGCAUAAGCAUUCUUGAAUGAAUUGUCAAAUUUUAUGCUAUAUUAUAUCAUUAUUGUACUAAAAAUUGUUAUUAUGUAUGUUUGGCUUAUUAUACCUCUACAUUGAUUUUUCUUAUGAUGGAACUUACACUGAGCUUCAAGCUUACUCCCAUUUUAUUUCCAUCUCUUCAGAUAACCCACCAAGUUAGGAUGCGGACAUGGCAUCCGAAGGGUCUUGGCUCGGAAUUGUUUUUUUUAUAAAGUAUUUAGUUUUAUUAUUUGAAAUUUUUGUUAUCCAAAGAUUUUAUUGCUUUAUUGUUAAAAUUAUGGCAUGAGACUUAGGAUUUUGUUUUUUAUAUAGCACGCAUGAAAUUUAAUUUGAUUUUCAGAUAUAAAAUAUGAAUAAUAAUUAAUUAUGCAUGAACUUCAGUUUCAAUUAAAAACAUAAAAUAUGUCACUUUCCUACUGCUAGAAUAUAGAUAAACUCUGAAUUAAAUAAAUAAUCUGGAAAUUAACUAUGUUUUCAAAAGUAGUUACCGUUUCAAGAAAAAUGUUAAAGUUAUUCGUGUUUUUGUUAACUCAUAAGUUUUUUUCUGAAAAUAAGCUAAGUUUUCUUCUAAGAUAGAUAAAUGUUUUAAAAUAAUUGUUUUAUAAACUCCGAUAGUUGACUGAGUCAUUUCGGUGACUAAUGUAAUAUUCUAAAUUGGGGCCUAAAGUCUAGGCUGAGUUAGAGAGGUUACAGAUUAAGUUAACUAGAUGAUAUUUUAUAGGAUAAACUUAAUUUGAAUUGGAUUUAGAUUUUGUAGAAAUUUAGAUGAUAUAUUUGUAUAGAUAUACUGAGUUAAAGCUUAUUACGAGUCCCUUUAGUUCUUAUAUUAUUAAAAGGAACAUUUUUGUACAUUUAAGUUUCAAAAGUUCUUUCAAGAAAAAAAGUUUGAAAAGUUAAUAUUUUAGUCUUUGCCCAUUAACUUUGUUUUUAAUAUAAUGGCAUAGCUUAAAGAUGGUUAAUGCAGUAUUCAAUCAAAUAUUAAAUUAAAUUUAAAUAAUAAACUACGGUUUUGAAAAAUGAGUUAGAUAAUAAAUUUAUUUUACUUUUACUCAAAUUGUUUUCGAUUCAAAUUUUUAUAUUAUUAUUGUGUUUAAAUUUUUGUAGUUUGGUUCAUGUUCGCCACCGUUAAACCAUGUCAUUCCAUUUGUUUUCAAGACCAAUAAGUUGUUUAAUUUGAUUUAAUGACACAUUAGAUACCAUUAAAUCACAUCAUUUCAUUAAUGACAAAGUUAACGACAAAAGACUAAAAUAUCAACUUUCAAAUAUACAAGGACUAAAAUAUUCUUUUUAAUAGUAAAGAGAUUAAAUUGAACUUUUUGAAAUGAUAUAGAGACUUGUAGUAAACUUUAACCUUUAUACUAAGUUAUUAGUUUAUUUAUUGUAUUCAUGCCAUAAAUGUUUAAUAUAAUAUUUUUUUAAAAAUAAAGGUACAUUCUUAAAUUAUUAUUAUUUAUUUUAAAAAUGAAAUAUUAGAUCAUAAUUAAAUAUCAACAUUUGAAUUUAUAAUAUGCAAAGUACUAUAAAUCGUAUAAGAUGAACCACAUGGGUAAAUCAAGAGCUCUGUAGAACCCUACCACCUCGUGGAACAUUUUGGACUAUCUUAUGUGUCUAGUAAAAAGUAAUACUACAGGCUUUAUAAGGUCAUUGCUAUUGUACAAGAUUAUUACGGAAACCAAAUCAUUGCAUGGCAUAGCUCUAAACUGCAUUGUUGACUCGUUUUCCUACUUUUACACCUCGUUUUGGUUUGGGGAAUGGAAUAGCCAUUCCCUCCUUAUUCUUGGAUGAACAUUAAUGCUUUUGUUUGAUUUGCCAUUUCUUCAUUUAGUAGAAUUACUUAAAGCAUUUAUAUUCCCUCAAAUGCGUAAUAGAGAUUCGGUGGUGAGGACUUUGAAUAGCCAUUCUGACCAUUGUCAAAUAGAAAUAAGUUUUUUUCCCAAAAUCUCCUCCACACUUUCUUUGUAGAGGUGAUCAAAGUUGUUUCUUUUAUCACAAUGAUACACUUUCAGGUGAGAAGAUUUUUCUUUUCAAGUUUAAUUUCAUUUGGUUUCUAUUCUUGCAAUCAUCAGAUUUUGUUUUAGUAUGGGUUUCUAGUAAUGGGUUUUCUUUAAUUUUUUUCAAAAAUAAGCUAUAACUCAACUCCCAAAUAUCUGUCUUUUGGGGGUGUUAAAAAAAUAGAAUGUUGGUAAUGACAAUCUAUCGCAAAGAAAAGAUAAAGGAAAAUAAAGAGUAGAUAGAUUUUACUUGGAAACCAUUUUGGAAAAAAAAGCAUAGACAAAGGAAAAGAUAAUUCACUAUGUCAAAUUCAAAUGAAUACAAGAGAAGUAGACUUUGUCUAUUUAUAAGCUUGUAAAACCAUAUUCUAAUAGAAUGAGUGUAGUAAGUUGAAACAUCUUAUUCUAAUCAACAUCAAAUAGAUGAAGUGUAAUAAGGUUGAAAAACCUUAUUCUAAAAUAAAAUAAAAGAAGUAUAGUUCAAUAUGGAUUUUACUUUUAUUUUAUUUUUCCACUGUAUUUUAUUUUAAUAAGGAUUCGGGUCACUCAAUUCCAACAAUCUCCACCUUGACACGAAUUCUCAAUGAACAAGUUCUUCAUCGCGAACACUCAACGAACAAGUUCUCCACCUCUUCCUUAAAACUCUAUAAGCGUUUAACUUCAACAAUGAACACCAACCAAGUCUAAGCAGUGCUCAAACUUGGUUAUAGGAAGUGACUUAGUCAUCAUAUCUAUAGGAUUUUCAUGAGUACUAAUUUUGCUCAUAACAAUAUCACCACGAGCAAUAAUAUCACGAACAAAAUGAUACCAAACAUUAAAUUGCUUUUUUCUCUUAUGAAACAUUUGAUCUUUUGUAAGGAAUAUGGCACUUUGAUUGUCACAAAAUGGCUUCUUUACAAGCCUUAGUGGUAGAUAAAGUGACUAUAGUUUGCAAAGUGGCUUUCCAACUGAUUGCACAACCUCUUAUUGUGAAGAUAUAACCUGUGAGAUAUCUUCUUCUAUCAAGAUCUCAAGCAAAAUCAGUAUUAACAUACCCAAUGACUCCAUCUCUAGUUCUUCUAAAAUGUAAGAAAACAUUAGUAGUACCUCGUAAGUAUCUUAAAAUCCACUAAACUACUUUUCAAUGUUCUCUACCAGGAUUUGUCAUGUAUCUGCUAACUGCACUGACUGCAUAUGAUAAAUCUGGAUGUGAGCAAACCAUAGCAUACAUGAGAGAUCCCAUUGCACUAGAAUAUGGGACAUGUGACAUGUACUCAAACUUAUCAUCUGAUUUUGGAGACAAAGUCGAUGAUAGUCUGAAAUAGGCUACCCAAGGUGUACUAACAGGCUUAGCACUUUGCAUAUUAAAUAUGCAAAGAACUUUCUCAAUGUACCCAUUCUGAAUUAGGUACAAUUUACUUGAUUUUCUAUCACUGAGAAUCUCCAUACCAAGUAUCUUCUUUGCUGGUCCCAAAUCUUUCAUCUUAAAUUCUUCACUUAGUUGGGCUUUAACCUUUCUUAUCUCCCCUUAAUAUUUCAUUGCUAUCAACAUGUCAUCAACAUAAAGGAGUAGAUACAAAAAAGAACCAUCACUAUUUUUCUUAAAGUAAACACAACUGUCAAAGCUACUUCUUUUGAAAUCAUGAGAAGUCAUAAAGGAAUCAAACAUCUUAUACCACUGUCUUAGUGACUGUUUCAAAUAGUAAAGGACUUUUUUAGAAAGCAAACAUAGUCCUCUUUUUCUGAUACUGUAAAGCCCUCUAUUUAUUGCAUGUAAAUAUCCUCCUCAAGUUCUCCAUGAAAAAAAUACAUUUUUUACAUCUAACUACUCAAGCUCCUAAUCAAGCAAUGCCACAAUACUGAGCAAAGCUUGAAUCAAACUAUCUUUCACAACUAGAGAGAACACAUCUGUGAAGUCUACACUUGGAAUUUGACUGUAACCCUUUGCAACAAGUCUUGCUUUAUAUCUAUGUUAUUCAACUCCUAGAGUCUCUUCUUUCAUUUUAAACACCCAUUUACAGCGAGCAACCUUUUUGCCUAUAGGAAGUUUCACCAGAUCCUAUGUUCUAUUUUUGUGGAGUGAUUUCAUCUCCUCUUGCAUAACAAACAUCAUAUUUUCUGAGUCUUCACAACUAACCGCCUCAGAAUAAUUAGAUAGCUCUUGGUUUAUAUAUAUAUCUUCAACCACAUUUAAAGCAUAAGCAACCAAAUCAGCCUCGGUAUACUUCUUUGGAGGUUUAAUCUCUCUUCUAGUUUUAUUUUUGGCAAUAGAGUAUUGUGGUAAAGAAGCAACUCUAUUUUGAAUUUCUAUACUGGCUUGAGGAGUUGACUUUGUUGUGGAUUUUGGAUUAAUCUGACGUCCACCUGCUUUUGAUGUUCUAUAUUCAAAGAGUCUUCAAGAGAUAAGUUAGGUAGCAUAGCAGUUUCAUAAAAAACAUCUUUACUAACCACAACUUUUCUUUUUUCAGGACACUAUAACUUAUACCCUUUUACAUCAAUUUUCUAACCAAGAAAAAUACAUUUAAUGGAUCUUACUUCCAAUUUUCCAUUAUCAACAUGAGCAUACACAGGACACCAAAAUAUUUUUAAAUCAGAAUAAUUAGCAGGAUUACCAGACCAUACUUGUAACAGUCCAAUUUUUAGUGGUGACGAAACAGUGGUUUUUGGACCAUAAAUUUCCAUCGUGUCAGCUCAUAAAUAUUAUUUUUAGAAUAUUUAUAUAGUUAUUAGAGUCGUAUUAAAAUUUGGUUUAGGUAUAUUGACAUUUAGAUAGUUAAUUAAUGAAAAAAGGACUAAAUUGAAAAAAGUACAAAAGUUAGUAAUUAGUUAAGUAAACGACUAAUUAGUUUAUUAACCACAUGAAGAGGGACUAAUACAGCAAUUACACCCUAGUACCUAAGGUUGGACGGCUAAGUAAAUGAAAUUAAUAAAUUAAAGUGUUUUGAAUGGAAAAAUUGUAAUUAAAAUAAAAUUUAGUAAAACAAAAGGCUUUCUUCUUCAUUUUUCAAUUCUCCAUUGUCGAAACCAUAUAAAUAACUUGGGAGAAUCGGCUAAGCAUCUAGGCCUUCCAUGCAAGUUCAAUUCUUAACCAUUUCUUGUAAAUUUUAUGUUUUUAGAUCAUUGCAACUAGGUUCAACUGGCUCGAAACUUCAUUUUUGAUUUUGUUAAAAAUUGUGAAAGUUGCCAUUGAUGCAUAUUGAUUUUUUUUAUGAGUAUUAUGUAUUUGGAGCCUUUGUUAUGCUAGUUAAUGGAUUUGUAAAGAGAUUUUUUGUUGAAUCUUGAUUUUGGGUUUAAAUUGUGAAUAAGUCAAAAUAUUAGGGAUUGAUUGUAAAUUUGAGGUUUAUUAGGUGAUGUUUGAGGGCUGCGUAUAUUUGGAUAAAUUAUUGAUUUGAUAAAAUUAGUAAAUUUGAUGAAUUUCGAGUUAAGGGACUAAAUAGUAAAAAAUUAUACAAUUUUAGGGUAAUUAUGUAAUUUUGAAAAAUAAAAGGGUAUUAAUUGUAAAAUUGAUUUGAAAUGAAAUAUAUGCUAAUAAUUAAGGGAUUUUACAUUAUAGAUCAUGAAUCUAUAAAUAUCUGGGGAAAAGGAAAAUUAGCGGAGUAGUCCCUAAACUUUUGCAUAUUCUACGAUUCCGUCUAGGUAAGUUCGUUACAUGGUUACUAUUAAUUUUGUUGAGUAUUACAUACUAUUCAUUUUUUGUUGAAUUAUGGAUUUUAUUGAGUUAUGCUUAUCGAAAUAGAAAUACGGUGAUUAUACAGGCUAUGCGCCUAGCAGGCUUUGUGCCGAUGUUAUUCGGGUUAAGUGCCUAGUAGGCUUUGUGCCAGUGAAUAUUCAGGUUAAGUGCCUAGCCGUGUUUGUGUCAGUGACUAUUCAGGCUAAGUGCCUAGCAGGCAUUGUGCCGUUGAUUAUUCAGGCUAUGUGCCUAGCAGGCUUUGUGUCGGUGAUUAUUCGGGCUAAGUGCCCAACAGGCUUUGUGUUGCUGAUUAUUCAGGCUCAGUGCCUAGCAGGCUUUGUGUCAAUGAUUAUUCGGGCUAAGUGCCUAGCAGGCUUUGUGUCGGUGAUUAUUUGGGCUAUGUGCCUAGCAGGCUUUAUACAGGUGAUUAUUCAGGCUUUGUGCCUAGUAGGCUUUGUGCUGGUGUAUUGGAAGUUGCUUUUAAUUGGAUAGUUUUUGGUGAAUUAUUAAAGGAAAUUUAUAUCGAACUUACUAAGCUUGUUGAUGCUUAUUAGUUUGAUUUAUUCUUGUAGGACCUUUGGAAUCGUUACUUUGAUUGGAUCGAUUUGGAAGCUCACACACUAUCAUGAACAUCUCGGUAGUCAUUUUGGUUCUUAUUAGUCGGUUUAAGUGGCAUGUAUUAGGAAGGGGUCUAUAGUACUUGAAUAUUUUGUAUGGAUGUAAAUAUUGUAAGUAACUUAUUUUGCUUGUUUUCUAGUAGAAAUAGUUAAACUUAUGUGCUUAAUUAGGUAAACCUUUUGAAACAUAUAUAUAUAAGUAGAAGUUGUAGAAAUCUUGUGGUGUCAAAAGAUAAUGAUUGAAUACAUCAAGUAUGCUAUGUGAAUUAGUUUAGUUAUAAGUUGUUAUGAUGAUUAAUUUUUGUUAAGUGUUUGGUAUGUUUGGAAAUAUGAUGAAAUGGUACUUUGUUGAGAAUGACAUAUAUUAUUGUUAAUACUAGUAGAUGAAUGACAUAUUUUGCACCAUUUGGUAUAUAUUGGUAAGUAAACUCAAUGAUAAGUAUAAUGCAAAUAUGUUUAGAAGUUAGUUGAAUAUUUUGGCCAAAUCUAGUACAUGAUUUUGCAUAUUACAGGUUUUCAUUUUAGGUGCCUAAGGGCAUAUUAGUUCUAUGCUCUUAAACCAUGAUUGAUUAGCUAGAAUAUGCAUGAUUUUGGCGCCUUAUUAUAGCUUGUAUAUAUGUGAAUUUUUUGUUGUAGGUGUAUGCCAAAAAGGGUGAGAGAAAUGGCUUGGAAAAUGGCCUAUUUUCCUCCACACGGGCAGAGACACGGCCGUGUGUCCCCUGUAGCUUUUAAAGGACUGUAAGUCAAGCUGUUACACAGCCUGACACACGAGCGUGUGGGGUUAUUUUGAAGGGUACACGGCCUGGUACACGGGCGUGUGGCUUGGCCAUGUGACCCAAGUUAGUGACUUACGCGGGCACGAACACGAGCUAUGACAUGGCCCUUUGUCCUUAUUUAGAAUGCCCACAUUGCCUGGCCAUACGGCCGUGAGACCCCUGCAAUUUUGAAAAUUUUCCUAGUUUCCAAAAAAAUUCUUUAAGUUUCUAAUUUAGUCCCGACUUAUUUCUAACGUGUUUUUAGGGCCUUGAGAGCCCUUAUAGGGAACAAUAUGUAUGAUUUGGAUUGGUUUUAAAAUCAUUAUUGAUAUGAUUUGAAAUGUUUGAAAAUUAUGUUUGUUUGAAUUAUAAACGCCGGUAAUGUUUUGUAACCCUAUUCUGACGACGGAUAUGGGUUAGGGGUGUUACAUUUAUUGGUAUCAGAGCUAUAGUUUAGUCAGUUCUCAGACUGAACCUAGCAUGUACAGAGUCUAGAAAUACAUGCCACUUGACUAACCGGUGAUAGUGUGCUAGCUUUUGAAUAUUUUGAAUAUUUCUUAUAUAGAUAACAAAAUGUCGUCAGGAUCCAAUCAAGCAGGUUUUGAUGAGGUAGAAAGUUUUAUUCCACCUACUAAUGAGGAAAGUAGGCAGAAUGAACCUGGACCGCAAGGAUCUAGGGAUGUUGCACUUGAUGCAUUUCUCCGGAUGACGCAUGACAUGUAUGAUGUGUACUUAAAGGUAAAUUUUACAGUUCCACAACCUUAAUCUUCUCAUCCUCAAGGUUUGAGUAGGCAACAUGUUCAUAGAUUGUCCAUUGAUGAAGUUAGAAAAGGUGGAGCUUUGAAUUUUGUUGUAAUGUGAGUGAUGAGCCAGCCAAGGUAGAAUAUUGGUUAGAACAUACUCUUGAGGGUGCUAAAUGAAAUGUUGUGCUCCCCUGAAGAUUGCUUACAGUGUACGGUGUCAUUAUUGAAAGAGGAAGCAUUCCAAUGGUGGCCCACACUAACAACAGUGGUGCAGAAAGAAAGAAUCAAUCGGGACUUCUUUAAGUCCGAAUUUCAAAAGAAGUAUAUUAGCAAACGCUAUUUGGAGCGAAAAAAAAAUUUCUUGAGUUGAAGCAACGAAAUAGAUCAGUAGUAGAGUAUGAGAAGCAAUUCGUUCUGCUUAGCAAAUAUGCUCGUGAGAUUGUGCCUACCAAAGAGGACAUGUGUGUACACUUUGAAGAUGGAUUGAGGGAUGAAAUUAAGAUACUAGUAGGAGCUUUAGAGAUUCGAGAAUUUGUGGUGUUAUCUAAUAUAGCUCAGAAAAUAGAGGAAAUUGUGAAAGUAAAAGACGGAAUGAAGAAAAGAAGUGAGAAUUUAGUAAACGCGAGGGGUCCAAAGGUUUCUCCAAUUCUUCAUUGAAGAAAAUGAAGGAGUCUAGUAAUAAGUUUUCUACUCUGUCAGGGUUUUCGGGAAAAGAUUAGUGGAGACAGAAUAGCAAGAGAACUCCAGCUCCUUCAGUCUAGUGUAGGCAAUGUCAAGAAUUCUAAUAGAGCAUAAUGUAAGCAAUGCGGGCGGAUUUACUUUGGUGUCUACAUAAUUAACGACGAGACGUGUUUUGAUUGAGGAUCUCCUAAUCAUUUUAAAAGAGAGUGUCCAAAUUUAUAAGAGGCUAUUAAAGAGCAUAAUGAGAAACCAGUGACUACUUCUAAUAGAGGUAGAAGACCUGCAAAUAGUGCAACGAUAGGGGCCAACAGAAGUGGAGUUAAAGAGCCAACGACAUAUGCCAUUCAUGCGCAAGAGGAAGCAUCGGCUCCUGAUGUUAUUGCGAGUACAUUUUCUAUCUUUAAUGUUGGUGUGUAUCUUUAAUUGACCCGGGGUCAACGCAUUCAUAUAUAUGCACUACAUUAGUGACAGAAAAGAAACUAUUUUUUGAAUCUAUUGGUUAUGGUAUACAAGUUACUAUUCCACCAAGUUAGAGUGUGAUAGUUAACUUAGUGUGUCAUAAUUGUCCACUGAAAGUUAGAGGCUGUGAAUUCCCUGCUAAUUUGAUGUUGUUACCUUUUUGAAAGUUUGAUGUUAUUUUGGGUAUGGAUUGGUUACCGUUACAUGAUAUGAUAGUAAAUUGUAGACAUAAAUGGAUUGACUUGAAAUGUCAUACAGGAGAGAUGAUUUCAGUUGAGUCUGAGAGUCUGAAAGAUGUUGUUAGAAUUAUUUCAGCUUUCUCUGCUCAGAGAUUGAUACGAAAAUGUAGUGAAGCAUUUCUAGCAUAUAUUCUUGAUACAGGAGAUUCAGAAUUGAAGCUAGAUCAAUUACUAGUUGUUAAUGAAUUCGCUGAUGUAUUUCCUGAAGAGUUGCUGGGUAUACCCUUGAUCGUGAAGUUGAGUUUAUGAUUGACUUGGUUCCUAGAGCUAUGCCAAUAUCGAUAUCACUAUACCUUAUGGCACCAACUGAAUUAAAAGAAUUGAAAGUACAGUUGGAAGAGUUACUAGAUUGAGGGUUUAUUCGUCCUAGUGUAUCUACCCUGGGUGCACUUGUGUUGUUUGUGAAAAAGAAAUAUGACUCUUUGAGAUUGUGCAUAAGUUACAGAAAGUUGAACAAAGUCGGGAUAAAAAAUAAGUAUCCUUUGCCAUGUAUCGAUGAUUUAUUUGAUCAAUUGAAAGGUGCCACAGUGUUCUCAAAGAUAGAUAUCAAAUCUGGGUAUUAUCAAUUGAAAGUUAAAGAUUAUGAUGUGUCAAAGACUGCUUUCAGAACUCGAUAUGGUCAUUAUGAGUUUCUAGUAAUGCCAUUUAGCUUGACUAAUGCCCUGCUUCUUUUAUGGAUUGAAUAAAUCGGGUUUUUCAACCUUAUUUGAAUAGAUUCAUUGUUUUAUUUAUUGAUGAUAUAUUGAUCUAUUCCAAGUCUGAAUCCAAGCAUGCCCAACAUUUGAAAAUCAUACUACAGACUUUGAGAGAAAAAUAGUUGUAUGCAAAAUUUAGUAAGUGUGAAUUCUGGCUUUGAGAAGUUGGAUUUUUGGGUCACAUAGUAUCAGCCGACGGGAUUUGAGCUGAUUCGAGUAAAAUUUCUGAUGCAAUGAAUUGGAAAACCCUGAAGAAUGUUUCAAAAGUGUGAACUUUUCUGGGUUUAGUAGAGCACUAUCGAUGUUUUUCAAAAAAAUUUCGAUUAUUCCUUCGCCAAUGACCAAAUUAUUACAUAAAAACAUUGAGUUUAGUUGAUCCGAUAAAUUCCAAAAGAGUUUCAAUCAGCUGAAGAAAAUGUUGAUGGAAACAGCGAGAAAUGUCAUGUGUUCACAAAUCACAAAAGUUUAAAUUACUUGAUGACUCAAAAAGAAUUGAAUUUAAGAUAGAGACGGUGGUUAGAAGUAUUAAAAGAUUAUGAUCUAGUUAUUGAUUAUCAUCCGAGAAAGAAUAAUGUAGUUGUUGAUGCAGUCAAUCGAAAGUUAUCAUUGUUUGCACUUCAAAUGUUAAAUGCUCAUUUAGUUCUAAAUGGUGACGGUUCAUAUUAACAGAGUUCAAAACGAGACCCCUAUUUCUUCAGCGAAUUUGAGAAUUGCAAGAUGAAGAUUCAAAGUUGUUUAUGAAACGAUAGUUGGCUCAGAAUGAAAUGAGUUCAGAGUAUAAUGUUGCUGAUAAUGGUAUAUUGCGUUAUCGUGACAGAAUUUGUGUUUCGAGUAAUUCUAUUUUGAAACAUGAUAUUCUCUCUGAAGCUCACAACAGUAUGCACUCUAUUCAUCCGGGUAGCACGAAGAUAUAUUGUGACUUGAAACAGAUGUAAAGGUGGCUGGGUAUGAAUUAAGAAAUUUGUGAAUUUGUAGCUAAAUGGUUAAUUUGUCAGCAAGUGAAAGUAAAACAUUAAGUACCCUCGGGUUUAUUACAACCUGUCAUGAUUCCUAAAUAAAAGUGAGAACGAGUCACGAUGGAUUUCGUAUCUAGUUUACCUAUAGCUCUGAGAAAGAAAGAUUCAAUCUGGGUGAUUGUUGAUAGAUUGACGAAAUUGACACAUUUUAUUCUAAUCAGAACAGACUACACCCUUGAGAGAUUAGCAGAAAUUUAAGGAGAUUGUGAGAUUACAUGGAGUUCUGGCAUCUAUUAUUUCAAAUCGAGAUUUGAUAUUUACAUCGAGAUUUUGGAGCAAAUUGCACGAGGCUUUAGGAACUAAGCUUAAUUGCAGCACCGUGUUUCAUCCUGAAACUAAUGAGCAAUCAGAACAAGUGAUUCAAAUUCUAGAAGAUAUGUUGAGAUGUUGUAUACUCGAGUUUGAAGGCAACCGAGAAAAGUACUUACCGUUAGCUGAAUUCGCUUAUAAUAACAACUAUCAAUCUUGUAUAAAACGGGCACCGUUUGAAGCUCUUUACGGGAGGAAGUGUAGAAGACCGUUGUAUUGGUCAGAACUAAGUGAAUCCAAAGUGGUGGGAAUUGAUUGAUCCGAGAAAAUGAAGACAAAUUUUGACUUAUUUACGGCUACUUGAAAGCUGCAUCUGAUCUUCAGAAGUCAUACGCGGAUCUGAAAAGAAAAGAUAUUGAAUUUGUAGUUGGCGAUCGAGUAUUCCUGAAAGUUUCUCUGUGGAAGAAAGUGCUACGUUUCAAUAGGAAAGGAAAGUUGAGUCCGAGAUUUAUAGGACUGUACGAUAUUGUUGAAAGAAUUGGCCUUAUAGCUUAUAGAUUGGCCUUGCCCCCAGAACUCAAGAAAAUACAUAAUGUAUUCCACGUUUCGAUUUUGAAAAGGUACAGAUCUAAUCCUUUGCAUGUGAUCCCUCAUAGUGAAAUUGAGAUACAGUCGGACUUUAAGUAUUCGAAAAAACCUGUGAGAAUCUUAGCUCAAGAAGUUAUAGAGUUGCGGAAUAAAUAAGUACCAUCAGUAAAAGUCUUGUGGGAUUGACAUGGUGCUGAAAAAGCUACCUGGGAAACUGAGGAAUCAAUGAAACUGCAAGAUUCGAAUCUAUUUUCAGGUAACAAUUUUGAGCAUGAAAUUUUCUAAAAGGGGGAAGAAUUGUAACAGCCCAAUUUUUAGUGAUGACGGAAUAAUGGUUUUGAGACCACAAAUUUCCAUCCUAUCAGCUCAUAAAUAUUAUUUUUAGAGUAUUUAUAGAGUCAUUAGAGUCAUAUUAAAAUUUGGUUUAGAAAUAUUAACGUUUAGAUAGUUAAUUAAAGAAAAAUGAGUAAAUUGAAAAGGGUGCAAAAGUUAGUAAUUAGUUAUGUAAAUGAAUAAUUAGUUUAUUAACCACAUGAAGAGGGACUAAUAUAGCAAUUAGACCCUAGUAGCUAAGGUUGGACGGCUAAGUAAAGGAAAUUAAGAAAUUAAAGUGUUUUGAUUGGAAAAAUUGUAAUUAAAAUGAAAUUAAAUUAAAAUUUCGUAAAACAAAAGGCUUUCUUCUUCAUUUUUCAAUUAUCCAUUCCUGAAACCAUAGAAAGGACUUGGGAGAAUUGGCUAAGCAUCUAGGCCUUGCAUGUGAGUUCAAUUCUUAACCAUUUUUUGUAAUUUUUAUGUUUUUGAGAUCGUUGCAACUAGGUCCAACUGGCUCGUAACUUCAUUUUUGACUUUGUUAAAAAUUGUGGAAGUUGCCAUUGAUGAAUAUUGACUUUUUUAUGAAUAUUAUAUAUUUUGUAAAGAGAUUUUUUGUUCAAUCUUGAUUUUUGGUUUAAAUUGUGAAUAAGUCAAAAUAUUAGGGUUGAUUGAAAUUUGAGGCUUAUUAUGGGCUGUUUGAGGGUUUAGUAUUUUUGGAUAAAUUAUUGAUUUGAGAAAAUUAGUUAAUUUGAUAAAUUUUGAGUUAAGGGACUAAAUAGUAAAAAUUGUAAAAGUUUAGGGUAAUUGUAUAAUUUUAAAAAAUAAAAGGGUAUUAACUGUAAUUUGAAAUGAAAUAUAGGUUAAUAAUUAAGGGAUUUUACAUUAUAUAUCAAGAAUCUGUAGAUAUCCAGGAAAAGAAAAAUUAGCGGAGUAGUCCAUAAACUUCUAUAAUUUUGCAAUUUAGUCCAGGUAAGUUCAUUACAUGGUUACUGUUAAUUUUAGUGAAUAUUCCAUUCUAUUGAUUUUUUUGUUGAAUUAUGGAAUUUAUUGAGUUAUGCUUACCGAAAUAGAAAUACGGUGAUUAUUCGGGCUAAGUGCCUAGCAGGCUUUGUGUCGAUGAUUAUUCGGGAUAUGUGCCUAGUAGGCUUUGUGCUGGUGAUUAUUUGGGCUAAGUGCCUAGUAGGCUUUGUGCUGGUGAUUAUUCGGGCUAUAUGCCUAGCAGGCUUUGUGCUGGUGAUUAUUCAGGCUAAGUGCCUAGCAGGCUUUGUGCCGCUGAUUAUUCGGGCUUAGUGCCUAGCAGGCUUUGUGCCGGUGAUUAUUCGGGCUAAGUGCCUAGCAGGCUUUGUGCCGGAUAUUAUUUGAGCUAUGUACCUAGCAGGCUUUGUGCCGGUGAUUAUUCGGGCUAUGUGCCUAGUAGGCUUUGUGCCGGUGAUUAUUCGGGCUAUGUGCCUAGUAGGCUUUGUCAGGUGAUUAUUCGGGCUUUGUUCCUAAAAGGUUUGUGCCGGUGAUUAUUCGGGCUUUGUGCCUAGCAGGCUAUGUGCCAGUGUAUUGGAAUUUGCAUUUAAUUGGAUAGUUUUUGGUGAAUUAUUAAAGGAAAUUUAUAUCGAACUUACUAAGCUUGUUGAUGUUUAUUAGUUUGGUUUAUUCUUGUAGGACCUUUGGAAUCGUUGCUUUGAUUGGAAUGACUAGGAAGCUCGCACACUAUCAUCAACAUCUCGAUGGUCAUUUUGGUUCUGAUUAGUUGGUUUAAGUGGCAUGUAUUAGGAAAAGGUCUAUAGUACUUGAAUAUUUUGUAUGGAUGUAAAUGUUGUAAGUAACUUAUUUUGCUUGUUUUCUAGUAGAAAUAGUUAAACUUGUGUGCUUAAUUAGGUAAACCUUUUGGAACAUAUAUAUAAGUAGAAGUUGUAUAAAUCUUGCAGUGUCAAAUGAUGAUGAUUGAAUACUUCAAUUAUGCUAUGUGAAUUAGUUUAGUUAUAAGUUGUUAUGAUGAUUAUUUUUUGUUAAGUGUUUGGUAUGUUUGGAAAUAUGGUGAAAUGGUACUUUGUUGAGAAUGACAUUUAUGAUUGUUAAUACUAGUAGAUGAAUGACAUAUUUUGCACUAUUUGGUAUAUGUUGGUAAGUAAACUCAAUGAUAUGUAUAAUGGAAAUGUGUUUAGAAGUUAGUUGAAUAUUUUGGCCAAAUUUAGUACAUGAUUAUGCAUAUUACAUAUUGUCAUUUGAAGUGCCUAAGGGCAUAUUAGAUGUAUGCUUUUAUACCAUGAUUGAUUAGCUAGAAUACGCAUGAUUUUGGUGCCUUAUUACAGCUUGUAUAUAUGUGAAAUUUUGGUUGUAGGUGCGUGACAAAGAGGGUGAGAAAAAUGGCUUGUAAAAUGACCUAUUUUUGUCUACACGGGCAGAGACACGGACGUGUGUCUCAGCCGUGUGAGACACAUAGCCAGGCGACACAGCCGUGUGUCCCCUGUAACUUUUCAAGGGUUGCAAGUCAGGCUGUUACAGGGCCUAGCACACGGCCAAGCGCACUGACAUGUGGCUUGGCUGUGUGAUGCAAGUUACAUGGGCACGGACACGGGCUGUGACACAGCCUUGUGUCCCUAUUUAGAAUGCCUACACGGCCGUGUGACCCCUGCAGUUUUGAAAAUUUUUCUAGUUUCCUAAAAAUUCUCUAAGUUUUCGAUUUAGUCUCGACUUGUUUCUAAUGUGUUUUUAGGCCAUCACGAGCCCAUAUAGGGAACAAUAUGUAUUGUUUGGAUUGGUUUUAAAAUGAUUUCUGAUAUUAUUUGAAAUGUUUGGAAAUUAUGUUUGUUUGAAUUGUAAACGCCGGUAAUGCUUCGUAACCAUAUUCCAACAACGGAUGCUGGUUAGGGGUGUUACAAUAUCUCUUGUGGAUUCAUUUUCUCAAUGGCAACGGAUGAAGAUCGGUUGAUAAAAAACAUGUAGUAGAGGCUGCUUCUGCCCAAAACAACUUCAGUAAGUUAGUAUUCGACAACACAUCAAACUUUCUCCAUGAUCAUUCUGUUCAUUCGUUCUGCAAUGCCAUUUUGUUGUGGAGUAUGACGAACUAUCAAGUGUCUCACAAUCCCUUCUGACUUGCAUAGUUCAUUAAACUCAUCAUAACAAAAAUCUAUGCUAUUGUCUAUGCAGAGAUGUUUUAUCUGUUUUCCCAUCUGCUUUUCAAUCAUAGUUCUACAAGACUUAAAUGCAGAAAACACAUCGCUUCUUUGCUUUAGGAAAAACGCCCAAACUUUUCUGGAAAAAUCAUCAAUAAGUGUUAGCAUAUAAUUAGCUCCACCUCUUGAAGGAACUUUUGAUGACCCCAACAGACUUAAAUGUUCCCUUUGUAUUAUGGAUUCCUCUAGUGAAUCAAACUCUCUUUUGAAUCCCAAAAACACAGUGCUCACAGAACUUCAGUUUGCAAAUUCCUUAUCCAUCAGGAAGUCCUCUUUUGCUCAAUUUUUUCAUGCCAUUCUCACUCAUAUGCCCUAGGCGUAUAUGCCAAAGUCUAGUAAUAUCAUCAUUUGACAAGGAAGAGGAAGCAACAACUGCAUCACCAGUAACAAUAGAACCUUGCAAAAUAUAUAACUUAGCAAUCUUUCUCUGCCCUUUCAUCACAACGAGGGAACCUUUGGAAAUCUUCAAAACCCCACUUUCAGCUAUGUAUUUGUACCCUUUUGAAUCAAGAGUAGUUAACGAAAUCAAAUUUCUCUUCAAUUCUAGAACAUGUUGCACGUCACUAAGUGUUCUGACAACUCCAUCAAACAUCUUAACUUUAAUUGUUCCAACACCUAUGAUUUUACAUGAAGCAUUAUUUCCCAUCAAAACAACACCUUCAGACAUUAUUUCAUAAGUUGUAAACCAAUCCCGAUUGGGACUCAUGUGGAAGGUGCAACCCAAAGCAAGGAUCCACUCGUCAUUCACUUUAAAAUUGUUAAUAGAAGUGACUAAAAGUUCACCGUCACUGUAGUCUUCUACAACAUCAGCUUCAUUGAAUUUUUCUGGUUGUUUGCUCUUUUGAUUCGAAACCUCCCUUUUGAUAUUGUUCUGCAACUUAAAACACUUAGAUUAAUGUGCCCCUUUUUCUUAUAGAAGGUACAAGUUUUACCUCUGUUUGAAUACUUCAAUCUUCCUUUAGAUUUACCACGAGGAUUAUAUUCAUGUGUCCUUCCACAUCAUCAUCAACAUUCCGAUCAUGUCUCUCACGAACAAUAAGACUCUCUCCCUAAUAGUUGAGUUUAACCACAAAAUGCUUCAUCUUAUCAUACAAGGUCAAUGAAUCAUAAACCUCAUCAACUGUGAGAGACUCGUGGCUAUAUAAAAUCGUGUCUCUAAAGGUUGAAUAAGACGGGGGCAACGAACAAAGUAGAAUCAACCCUAGAUCUUCCUUAUCAUACUGAACCUCCAUGGCCUCCAAGUUUAAGAGAAUUUCUUUAAACACUGUUAAGUGUUCGUGCAUAGACUCACCUUUCUCCAAACGAUGAGCAUAAAGAUGUUGUUUCAUAUGCAAUUAGCUAGUUAGAUUUUUUGACAUACAUAUUUGUUCUAGCCUCUUCCAUAAUGCAGUGGCGGCCUUCUCCUUCAUCACAUCCUGUAAAAUUUUGUUAGACAAAUACAGAUGUAACUGUGUUAUUGUCUUUCGAUCUUUACGCCUCUUCUCUUCCUUCGUCAAUGUCGAAGGCAUCUUAUCUAUCCCUAGCAGGGCAUCCUCUAAGUCCAUCUGCGCAAGAACUGUCUGCAUCUUUAUCUGUCACAACGCAAAUCUGGUGUUGUGAUCUAACAGCGGAAUUUCAUACUUCAAAUACGCCAUUACCACGAUUGAAAUGAACAACCCAAAAGCUCUAAUACCAAUUGUGAAAAAAUAGAACGUCAAUAAUGACAAUGUAUCUUAAAGAAAAGAGAAAGAAAAAUAAAGAACACAUAGAUUUUAUAUGGAGAUCCUUUCGAAAAAAACCACGGGCAAAUGAGAAGAUAAUUCACUAUGUCAAAUUCGAAUGAGUACAAGAGGAGUAGACUAUGUCUAUUUAUAGGCUUGUAAAACCAUAUAAUAGAUGGAGUGUAGUAAGUUGAAACACCUUAUUCUAAUCAACAUCAAAUAGAUGAAGUGUAAUAAGGUUGAAAAACCUUAUUUUAAAAUAAAAUAAAAAAAGUGUAGUUCAAUAUGGAUUUUACUUUUAUUUUAUUUUACUACUGUAUUUUAUUUGAAUAAGGAUUCGAAUCACUUAAUUCUAAAAUGGGGAGAUGACGUUUCAUUUUCUGGUAAUGGAUUUAUUACUCUUUUAUAGUGAAACAAUGGAUAAUUGUAUUUUUAUACUUGUAUGAUCUCUGUCUUGUGUUUACCAUCUUGUUUUAGGGUUGCAUGUGCUAGGCUAAGGUUCUGCUAGGUUAGGUCAAGGAAGACUAUAAGCUUGAGAAAUUUCGUUAUGAUACACUGUUUCAGAUUUGAAGCAUAAAGACAUGUUGGUAUCUUACUCGUAAAGAAAUAUAGCAAUAGUUGGUUGAAGCUUUUUAGAAAGCCAUGGAAAUGAAAACAUCCUUCUAUGUUUCGAAUUUUUAAUAUAGAUGCAUUUUUUUGUUGAAAAUUAUAAUGUUUAAUAUGUUAUUAAUCGUGUUGGUUUUUGUGUUUUGAUGUUCUCCUAGAUCUCCAUUAUUUUGUCUGACUUUAUCUAAUUAUUUAUUUUUAUUCUGCAGCAUAUUAAAGAUUUGACUCAUGAAAAGUUUUCAUUGCAACGAGCACUUGAGGCCUUACAUACAUUAGAAGAAUCUUUGGCUGCUAAAAAUUUGACCUUGACUUAUAGUUACAAUCACUAGGUUUGUUUCCAAAUAUAAUAUUUUUAUGGCAUCACUGUAAUUCCAUGGUCUCAUGGACAUAAUUUGUAACACCCUGAAUUUAUUAAAUUUUUGUUGUUUAAGUGUAGUAAAUAAUUUGUUAUGGUGUGUUGGUUAAAUGCCUUGAAAGUCUCCUUUAAAUGUUGUGUUCAAAUUUCGUGUUGCGCGUGAGUGUAAUAUUUUUGUUCUUUGCAUUUUUUAAAUCUCUUAUUUGUUUUAUUUCAAUUUAUUUUGUUGAGAAAAUCCCUAUUUGCUCUCUUUUGCAACCAUAUAACCCCACCCCUCAUUUUUGCUGCAUGUUUUUUCUUCUUUCUUUUACUGUUGAAAUUGUUUUUGUUUCUUUCUCUUUCCUUUUGAGUCAUCUUUCUCCUUUUCACUAAGUAUUUCAUUGUUGCUGUUAUUGCUUUUGUGGGACUUCAAUUAACCUUCCAAUUUCAAUUAUAUCCAAGGAUAGUGUAAGUUGUUAAGUUAUUUUGUGAUGAUUUGGCUUUUAUUUUGUUCAUUGUGUAAGGGUGAAUUUAUGGCUGUUGUUCUCGUAGGAUGGUUUGAUGAAUGGAUAUUAAUUUUCUUGCUAGGCGAAGGUGGUGCGAGUCAAGACUUUCCAGCGGAAUACGCUUCGUUUCUGACGCUGGUCUUUGAAUGGUAAGGGUUCGAUUUUGGUUUUGGGGACUGAAAUUUUGUCCAUUAGAUGCUAUUUUGGAAGGAUCUUUUGAUGGUUAAUUCAUAUGAUUUAUUGAUCAAUUGUAGAAUUUGUGAGUUCCCGAUAGUGUGGUUAAUCAAGUACAUCUUUAGGUGUGUGAUCUUACCCGAAAAACUCGUCGAAAAUUUUGUGAAACAGGGAUGUUUUUCGAAACUGUCCAACAUUACACAGUCGCAUGUGCAGGCUGUGUGACUGACCAUGUGCGCCACACGGCCAUGUGCAGCACACCUGCAGUGUGUGUUUUUACAGCCCGUGUUAGUAGGCCAUGUGGACCACAUGGGCUAGCUUUUUGGGCCGUGUGGGACUUUUAGGCCAAUUUUAAGGCCCAUUUGUGAGUCAAAUAAGAGGAUCAAAAAUAGGAUCCGUGGGCUUCAUAUAUGCCGGGAAAAGCAUCACUUUUAGUAUGUAAAUAUAUAUGGGAAAGCUUAGGUGAUAUGUUAAAUAGGUUAUGUUAUUUUUAAACCAUAUGGUAUGCUAUAUUCCGUAUAAAAUAUGUGUAUAUGCAUGCCAUAAAAUUUAUGAUAUAAGUAUGUAUGAUAAUAUGAUUAUGAUUAUGCUUUUGUUUGGGGGUGGGUUAUGAUAUGAUGAAGGAAGUGCUAUAAGGUAGUCUUUACUACAAUUUAUGAUCGUAAAUUUAUGUCUAGUAGCUAAGCUGCAUAUUUAUGAGUGGCACAUCGCCACAUAUUGGAAUGAUUAGAUGGAUACGCUCAUGUAGUCCUAUUUGGUGUGAUUAGUUGGACAGAGUUGGUGUGUAACGGAUAGGGGUAGGAUAUUAUAUGAUAUGAUAUGUUAUAAGAUGCGAUAUGAUAUGACAUGAGAUCUGAUUUGAUUUGACAUGUUAUUAAAUCUGAUUUGUGUUGUUAUAUGUAAGCCUUAUCACACACUGGGUGUAAAGCUCAUGCAUUUGUUUGGUUCGUUUUAGGUAAUCCUCAUACUUAGGAUUGGACGGUGACACUAGAGCCCGAUUUUCACGUUUUUGAAGUAGUAUGUUUUGGGUUAUAUUUUUAUGGACUUUUACGGGCUUUAGGGACAUUUUAAAUUGUUUGGGACUUAAAAAUUUAUUUUCAAUUUUGGUUAUGAAAAACUUCUAAUUUUAAACCAAUGAUUAAAUCAAGGAAAUAAAUAGUAAAUCAGAGAUAGGUAAGAUUAAGUUGCUAAAAAGGUUCUACUGAUAAAUCUUUAUCGAAAUUUGCCAGAAUGUUUUUUGUCUCGUAAAAUGAUUUGAGUAAAUUUGGAUUUGUUUUUAGUAGAAGCUUUUAAGCAUGUUUUUACCUCAAACUAUUCACGAGUUUUCGUUAAAUUAGCCUGUGUUUAAAUAGUUGCAUAAAAUUGGAUUUUAUUAAGGUUGGAAAUGGGUUUUUAUUAAAAUUUAAGCUUGAGCAUUUUCACGAAUGAUGUGACCUCUACAAUCCAACCAUCACAUCUAGGCCCGAUUUAGGGUGUUACAUAAUUAUUAAAAUAUAAUAUAUUUUUGAUGUUAUCAUGUGUUGGGUUAUCCUGGAAUAAAUUAAAUAUUAUUUUCUUUGCUUAUUCUUUUAAUAUUUGAACUUUUUAUACAUGAAGGCUUCUUAGCAAUUAGCAUUAUUGGGGUCGGGAAAAUAGAUGGUAAAUUUCAAAAUAUUUCUAUGUUCAUGAAUGGGAUCAAAUAUCUUGAAACAAUAAAGACAAUGACUCCAAUUCUCUAGAAACCUUCUUCUAUUUCUAUGGAAGUUGUUUCUUUAUUGGAGCUUAUAUUAUGAAAUUCUGAAAGGCACUCGAUCUAUUUUCAUUGUCCCAUUCACUAUUCUGAACCUUUUUAAGAAACCUUUGCUAUCUGCUAACACGUUUUUUCUCCUAAAGAAGUGUUGUCAACCAGCUAAAAUCUGAUAUGAAAAAGUUGCUGGAAGAAAUCAAGGCCCAACCGAUUAGUACUAUGUUAUAAUUAGGGUACUUAUGAUCAGCUUAAGUUCUUCAUAAAAUAAUUGAAUCUGGUGGGCUUGCAUAUUACUUAAUUCAUAUCAUAUGGUUAGUCUAGGUGCGUUUGUAGUUUAGAUGCUCCUUCAGUUGGAAUCUUCGUAAAAUAAUUGAAUCUUCGUAAAAUAAUUUUGCAUCUUUUACCAUAUGUGUUGUAGUUUUGAUGCUUCUUCAAUUGCUACUAUUUGAAAUGGUAAUAAAUUAAGUUUUGCAGUCCUCAUCCUGCUCAUGAGCAUGAGUCUUGCCUAUGCUAAUCUCGACCUGUAAUAAGUCUUAGCCAUUUUGGCUGUGCAUAUUUUUUAUAAAUAAAAUGUAGAGUUUUUAUACUAGAAAGACAUAUGAGAGACUGAGCAUUUCAUAAUAAUAUGACUAAAUUGUCUAAAGAAUUUGUAACAAAAUUUUGAUGCUGGCUUAUGAAUUCCUAUUUGAACAUCGCAGAUUGGAUAUGACCUUUGUCAAUUUGAGAAGCCUAUGUUGUUGAACCAUUUCUUACAAGUUUAUGUUUAAUUUCCUAUUUCCCGGUAAAGGCAUAAUUAAAGAAAUAACCUCUUGUAUCUAUUUGGUCCUUCUUCUACAGAAGAGAAAUGUUGAUUUCAAAUUCAAUAACCCUAUAGUUCUAUUGAAAGUUCAAAGAAAUGAUACCUUGGGGAGCUAUUGUUCUUGUUGUUGUUUUGAUAAUGAGACAUAUUUCGACUCAUUUUAGUUAUGUGUUGUACUGAUUGAGGCUCACUACAUGCAGAAUGUUUGGCGUGUUGGUUUUCGUCUAUAGUCUAAUGUUGUAAUAUAGUUCCUUCCUCCUAAAAUAGGCACAAUCAAGCACAUAAAGCCUCUAUUGCUUUUCAAGCAAAGCAAAGUUGCUUUAGUUGGAGCUGAGUUAUCCAUGUUAGAGUAUGCCCAAAGAUCAGUCAUGAGAUGAUUGUAAUAACAUACUUGAUUUAUCAUGUUUAUUAAUAUAAGGCGUUACCAUUAUUAUUUCAGUUUCUUUUCUGUGUGUAUAAAUAAACUGUUUUAUAAAUACUUGAUUUAUCAUGUUUAUCAUGUUUAUUAAUAAAAGGUCCUUAGUCAAGUAUUAUUGUUGGAUAGGACAACAAUAAUGCAUUAAGACUAACUUGUAGUGGAUUGAUGAUAAAGAGUUGUCAUUGAUAUGGAAUGUCAAAAUCGACGCAUGAAUAUGUGCGUUAGAGAACAACAUAUUAGACUGGCCCGUUAUGAGUAUGUUUCUUGGAUUAUUAUGUAAUUGUCACAACAUUACUCAUAGUGAUUAAUAUGUAUAUGAUCCUCAGACUUGAGAUCAUCAUAAUCCCAACAUCAUGAGUUGUAUAUUUUGAUACAGUCAAACAUACACCGUAACUGGUUGUUCUAUAAAGGCUGAUGUUGGAUAUACCACGAUCUAUGUAGAGGGAUAUGGUUGAUCGAUAUAGGAUAAGUCCCUCCUACAUAAUGGGAGUGAUAUCUUAGGCCACUUGAUUGAGUGAGACUAGAAAUGCAUGGUCAUGCUCAAAUAAGUUGAUAUGAGAUGUCAUACUUAUUUGUAUAUCAUAGUCUACUUAAGAUAUCAAGGAACAUGGAAUGGACUAUGCCAGUGUGACUAUUCCAUGACUUGUGUCCAGUCCAGAGAUAAAGGACUUAAGCAUUAUUGGAUGAAAGGUUAAUCAUAAAAUGGUUAUGUCGAAUCAUGAUUUCUUGUGACUUAGGUAGCAAUGAUGUAUUGCUAUGUGCCACUCAUUGUUUGUAACAUUGGAAUCGUUCUAGUAUUACUGCUAACGUUACAAGAACCUACAGGGUCACACCAUAUAGUUGAAAUGAACGGAAUAAAACAUAGUUGGUAUUGUGUUUGGUUGUCACUUGAAUUAAAUUAAUUAUAGAAUUAAUUUAAUUGGUUAAUCAAAUAUCGAACACAUUAUGUACAAGGUUGUUGUACGCAUAAUGAGAACAUGAAUUUGGUUAGUAUAUAAAUUCAAAUAGAUAUAUAGUUUACUGAAAUCAUUACUAUAAUUAAUGUAAUUAUAAUUUUCGGUUUAAAACAUAGUUAUAUUUAUCUAAUUUUUAGAAACACUAAAAAUAGAUAUAAAAAUCUCGUUUUUUCUUUGUUUGGGGUCUAACAGCCGUCAAAGCAAAGUUUUUUUUCCAAAACAGUUUUGGGGAUUCCUUCCAUUCAUUGUCAACUGGGUGGAGUACGUAGAGGCCGGAGUCACGAUAGAUUGAGGCGUUGUUGUCUACUCAGAAUAAAGAUUCAGUAAUUUCGAAACCUUUAUUUCACCCCGAUUCGUUCCUUACACAAGGAUCCAUGGUUAGGAUCGCCGAAUGUUUUAAUUUUCUGCUGCAUCGUAGGGGUGCCGGCAUUCCAACAGUCCAUUUCAAUUUGGUGACUGGAAACACGAAAAUUUAUAUGUUUUUACAUGCGCUUUUUAACUUAAAAUCAUGAUAUUUCGGUUAAAUUCUUGUCGAAAAAUAAUUAAAUAUUAUAAAAUAAUUAAAUUAUGUUAAAAAUAUGAACAUGAUGAAUUUUAAUUAAUUUUAUAGUUAAUUUUGAUUAAUUUUGACUAUUUUCAACAAUUCGCACAAAGGCGAAAAUUGGCUCGGCAGACAAUGCUCGAAGAAUAAAAUAGAGAAGCAAUUUGAAGCAUCGACGAAAAUUUAUUUCCAACCUAAGAUGGUCCAAAAAUGUGUGUUAAUUCAUAAUAUAAUUAAUUUUAAUUUAUUCCCAAUUUAAUUUGGGCUAAAUAAAUUAUUAUUAAUUAAUUAUGGAAAAAAAAGGGUCCAGUUGAACCGCAUUGGUUGAACCGAAUCUAGUGAACCGAACCAGCCACCAACUAGGCUGCCAAGAACCGUCCAUAUGUUGACCCAAAUCAGCGUUUUAUCUGACUAAAUAAGCUUGCAAAGAAUCCCUUGAAGAACUUUCAACCUUGCAUUCAAACCCCUCCAAAAAAUGUGGCUUUGUGGAUUUGCCCCAGGUUAUUUUUAGCAAAGUUGAAUCUCUCAACUUUGCCAUGUGUGUGGCCAGCCAAGGGGGGUCUCUUUGGCUGAUGGAAUUUGCUAUUUUUAGCAGCCACAAUCAGCUAUAAAAGCCACCCCUUGCUGAUCAUUCAACUCAUCCCUCACACUCUUAUUCUCUCUUCUCCUCUCUCACUUUCUCUCAACUUUUCCUUCCCAUUUUCCCUUUUGUUCAAGUGCCGAAUUCUUCUCUUGGGAAAGAGGUCCUCAUCAGCCAUUGUUGAGCAGCAAUUAAAGUGUUCAUAAGCCACCUUGAUAGCCGAGGACAACAGAGAACGAAGAACGGAGAAAUCAGUCAAGCCACGGAGAAACAUAGAAUUUGCUUCUUGUUCCCUAUCUCUUUAAAUUUUGUUGUUAUUUUGAAAAACAUGUUUAUGAACAUUUAUGCCAUUGAAAUGGUUAUUUUAAUCAAUCUAUCUUGAAUUUAAUCCGUGUUGGGUUGAUUAUAUUUUGUCUACUUGAAUUAUUGAAAUUGUGUUUGUGCUGUUAUAGGCCUCGGUAAGAUGCUUGAUUAAGUAAAAUCAUGCCUAAGUUAUUCUUGCAAUAGUAAUUGUUAGAUAACUAAUGAAUUAAUUAUUAAAUCGUAUUGAAAUUGUAAUUAAUCGACACAAUACUUAAUCACUGCAUGUUUAUUCUUCUAAGGUAGUUGAAGUUAAUUUAGCAUUGUAUUUGGCGAUACAUAUGCCUUGCAUAACUUGUAAGAUUAUUGUGAUUAAAUUGUUUCAAGGUAGAAAUACUUUGUUACCUCACAUAGUCUUUUAUGUGCUUAUUAAAUCGAGUUAAUUGUUUGAAUUGACAUAGGGAUAUGUUCAAGAGAUUGAUUAAUUUAAUAAGUAUGUAUGAGCAGUAGUUAGCAAAUUACCGAGUUGCCGUGAAUUUGUUCGUAGCAGUAUAAACAUAAGUUUAAUAAUUCUAAGUUAGAGGAAUGUAAUUAAUCCAACACAAUUAUAUCAUCUUGAUUAAACCUUAUUUGAAAUCGUGCAUUAGAACCUUUCUAUUUUUAAAUUUUAUUUUUAGUUUUUAACCCUUAGUUUUUAAUUAUCUUUAAACCAAAAUAUUUUCCAUCACCAAAGUGUUUUAACAUUAAUUUAAGAAAUAUUAUUUUUUACAGUCCCUGUGGGUACGAUAACUCGAUAUUUACUUGUCACUUUACUACUUGUUGCGAUUGUGUACACUUGCACAUUUUUGUCGUUCCAGUGACUUAAUUUGGUGACUUAAUUUCAUGGUUGUGUUGGUGAUGUUUUGGUAACUUUUUAUGUAAUAUUGUCAUAACCUUUUCAUGUUAUAAAAUUUAAUAUAUGGAUUAUGACAUAUAAACUAAUGACAUUAUGUAAAUUUUUGUUAAAGUAUGAAAAUUAUCUUUGGAUGUAAAAUAUAAUUCUCAAGCUAUUUAUUAGUUCUAAUCUUUUGCCUUUUAGUUUAAAGGAUAAUUAAAUUAUUUGUUUCGCUAAUGAUAUUCUACCACAUUAAAUAUGCAUUGCAGUUUAAAAAUAAUAAAGUAGGCUAUAUAUUAUUUUUCUAAUAUUAUAUAUUUUUAUUUUUAUUAAUUCAUAUUUUAAUAAUAAUUAUAUUAAGAAUGUUAUUAAAUUAUAUAUUUUUAUUUUAUUAAAUUAUAUUUAAUAAUAAAUAGAUUAAAAUAUAAUUAAAAUAUUUAUUAUUUUUAUUACAUUUAAUAAUAAUCCUAUUAAAAUUUAAUAACAAUAACAAUCAUCUAGCUAAAAAAAUUCUAUUAAGGGUACUUUGGUCAUUUUAACUUUUUUCCUUAUGCUAUUACAACAUUAUUCCAUUCAACAAAAUACAAAAAUACUAUUACAGUUCUAUUCCAUUCCAUUCAACCAAACAAAUGAAUUAUAGAUUACAACUUUAUUCCAUUAAAGCAAACCAAAUAUAGUGUUAGUUCUACUCAAUCUUCGACACUUCAAUGUACUCACGUGUUUGUAGGGAUAGCACGAACAAAUGGAUAAGUAGCCUCUGCAGAAGUUGUCUUUUCAAUUCCAAUCAAUCAUGUUGGAUAUCUUUUAGCUAAUGCAGAGCAUUGUCAUACAAUUUCAGAAGUUGUGCAUCCACGAGGGCCAGUAAACAACAUAGAUAAAGUUGACAUCUUUUAAAAUAAGUUGUAUUUGCUUAAUUUUCCUAUGUUAUAAAUAGACCCACCAUUUUUAAUAAAUAAGAGAAAAUUGAUAUAUUAAGUUAAAUAUAAAGACAAAAAUUUGUUAAAUGUAGGCAAGGAUUAGUUAAUAUUAUUGUUUUUAGUAUUAACACAACAAUCUUAUACCAAUAAAAUAUUUUUAAAUAAGAUUCACUACACCAAAAUAGGCUUUUAGCGGCGUUUGGAUAAAAAAACGCCACUAAAAAUCAAGCAUUAGUGGCGCUUUUACAAAAACACCGCUAAAAAUAAGCAUUAGCAGCAUUUUCCAAAAAGCGCCGCAAAAAACCUAAGCCCAACGACACCAUUUUCAGAGUUUUGGGGGCAUUUAGCGGCGUUUUUGAAAAAGCACCGCUAAUGCUCGGGGCUUUAGCGACGUUUUUGAAAAAGCGCCGCUAAUGCUCAGGGAUUUAGCGGCGUUUUUGAAAAAGAGCCCCUAAUGUUCGGGCCUUUAGCGGCGUUUUUGGAAAAGUGCCGCUAAUGCUCGUACCUUUUGUGGCGUUUUUAGAAAAGCACCGCUAAUGCUCGUACCUUUAGCUGCGUUUUUGAAAAAGCGCCGCAAAUAAUAAAAUCUAAUUAUCUCAUUGUUUGAUAUAUUCUCAAGUAAUGUUUCAAUUAUAUUUUUUCAUUAUAAGUUGAAAAAAUUAAUAUUUCGUUGUAUUUAUUAUAUAUUGGUUAAAUUUACAUUUAAAUGAUAACAAAUAAUAUUGUUUAAUACAAAAUGUUUUUAUUAAAGAGAAGUCCUAACUCCUAACUAUUUAUUAUUAUUUUUCAAUCACAGUUUAUUUAAACUACUAAUUUACUAGAAAAAUAUAUUAAAUUAUGAGUAAAAUAAAAUAUCAUAAAACUUAAAUUGUUGUGUUGUAAAGAAUAAAAAAUAGAAUAAUUUUUUAUAAGAAUAAUAAAUUUUGAUUGUUCGACUAAAUAAAUAAUCAAAGAAAGUAAUAUAAACCACCAAAUAUCAUGAUAAAUAGUAUUAUAUAUUGAUAAUUUUAUUACCAAAAAUAAUUUUAUAUUUAGUUAAUCAAACAUGAACACAACAAUGACCUAAUAGUACCUACUCAAGAGUAAGAACUGAAAAUGAAUGAGAAGGGACAAAUGAGGUUGUUACUUGGUCUAAUACCCACUAGAAAUUAAUACAAGAUUUUUUAGGCUGAGAAAGGGUUAUAGGAAAAUAUUAUAAAUAUUGAAAUUCGAAUAAAAUUUAUUAAAUAUUGAAUUUUAGAAAAUAAUUAAGUGAAGUUGGGAUUCAAUUUAGCUAGUAGAGUCGGUGGGGUUAGUUGGACGAUUUGCUCCCGAAAAGAAAAAUUUGUUUGUUUUUUCUUGAUAACAAAAGUGUUAGCUGGGUCUCGAGUCUAGAACCGAAUACUGCUUCAGGCGGUAUAGUGGUAAUGGUGGACAAGUAGGUCUAAUUUAUCUGAAUAGCCCAAUUGCAAAAGAAAGCAAAUAUCUUAUAUUUGCAAUCAUUAAUCAUAUUACGUUGGGUACUUCGUUAGGGUGGGUGAGUGGCGAGUGCUGAGGUCCAGAGUUGGGAAAACAAAAUGAGCAGAGCAAGGUAGGGUUUGCAUUUGGAUUUGGGUCGGGUUAGUGGAUAAUGAUGAAUAAAUAUCAUCAUAAUGUUUACUAUUUUAGGAUUACAGUUUUGAGUUUAGGGUUUAGGGUUUAGGGUUUAGGUUUAGGGCUUGGGGAUUGGGGUUUAAGAUUUAGAGUUUACAUUUUAGUGUUAAUAUGAGGUUAGUUUUUACGGCUUAUAAGAUAAUGAUCAAAUUUACUGUUUUAGGGCUUGAUGUUUAUGGUUUAUGGUUUAGCUUUAAUGAUUUGACUGUUACAAUGCAUGGUUUAGAGUUUAAGGUUUAGGUGUUACCAUUUUAAGGUUUAUGGAUUAGGUGUUACCAAUGCCCAAUUUUAAAAACUUUUCCCACUUCAAGCUUGUUUUACCCGAAUCAUCCAUUUCAUUGUUUAAAAACAAUAAAAAAUAUAAAUCUAAGCCUAACCAUAUUUUGGACUAGAUGGGUUGUAUGGGUAGUGAACAUUUCUAAUUAUCAUUUAAAGAGUAAAUAACAUAUAUUUUUCUAAAUUUUGAAAGGUUUUAUAUUUUUCGUGAUUUAAAAUUUUAAAAUGAAUUUUAAAAGAUUUUAAACUUUUAUUUUUAUAAUAUUUAUAUACUUUUAAAGAAAAGACCAAAUUAAUAAAAAUUACAAACAUUAAAGACUACAAAAUUAUUUUAUCAUUUUCUAAUUGCUACAUUGAUAAUUUUAAUCGCGAAAUUAGAUGUUUAAAUUAAAAAAAUAAAAAAUUUAAUAUCUCAAAAUUAAAAUGUAGAGUUUUUAUAGGGUACUGCAUUCAUUACACCAUAAGUUCUAUGAUUUUGGGCCGACUUUGUUAUACGGGCAAAUCCAUAUAAAAAUUUUGGGCCGACUUUGUUAUACGAGCUUAUCCAUAUAAAAAUUUUAUCCAUAUAAAACUAAAAUCAUUCCACUUCGAACAUCUAGCAAAAUAGUUAUAUUUUAGUUUGGAAGAAAUAUCUCUAAUAAAAUGGAGAUUAUAUCGGAAAUGAAUAAUAUAAAAUCAUGAUUAACGUCUCAAUCUUUAAUAGAAAUUUGAUAUGUGAGAGAUUAAUUCCUUACAUUGGAUAAUUCUAACUUAAUAAUUAAUUACAGCCAUUUAAUCAUUUUUUUCUUAUUAAAAUAUACGAUAUUUAUUUUGAGAGUACUUGAUUUUUUUUAAAAAAUUUCAAUUUAUAAAAAAUAAUAAUAAAUAUUUUAUAAAAUCACUUAACUAAUAAAUUUUAACAGAUUUAAAAUGAAAUAAUUUUUGUGGCGUUUUUAUGAAAAAUGCCGCAAAAGGUAAGCAAUAGCAGCGUUUUUAUAAAAAAACGCCACAAAAAAUAAUUUUACUUUAAAAUAAUUUUUAGCAGAAAAAAUAUAAGAUUUUUAUCAUAGCAAAACGGAGUCGUUUUGUACAAAAUAAAAUAAAUUUUUUGCAGCGUUUUUUUAAAAACACCGUAAAAGGUAAGCAAAUAGCGGCGUUUUUAUUUUAUUUUUAUAAAAUAAAAAUGCCGCAAAAAGAUAUUCAAAAUCCUGCCCACUCCCAAAAAAAAAUUUUGGUUACCCGCUCGUUUCUCCCUCUUCUCCUCAUCUCCAUUGCGCGCCCUAAAUACCUCAAAUUUUGUACUUAAUUCUUUUUCCCUUUUAAUCUCAAAAUUCCAUGAGUUCCUUUGCCCCAACAUCUCUUAAUACCGUUCCAAUCCCUAAACCUUUUCUUUUUCUCUCCAUGAAUUUAUAUAUAUAUAUAUGCAUAUAACAAAUGAUUCAUUGAUUUGGGGUUUUGUUUCUUUCUGAAUUAGGACAAGUAGGUUUUCCAAUCUAUAUCAAAAGACCACAGGAAUUGAUCUAUGGAAUUCCCAUUAUGAGGUUUACAAUUUAGUUUUUAAGCUUUGUGGGGUUCUGUUUGUUGUUGUUCUUUAUUCCAUUUUUAUGUGUGUUUUUGCAGAGAAUGGAAUAAAAUUACAGGAGGUUGAAGGAGAUAAACAAGAAGUUGAGAAGGGAGAUUAGGUAUAAUGAAAAUUAUAUCCCUUUCCCAUGGUGUAUAUAUAUAUAUAAACCAAAGCUAGGGUUUAUUUGUCAAUGAAAAGAAGGGUUCAUGCUUUUUUGUUGUUGUUGAUUAACGGAACGGGGGUUUUUUUUUUUAUUUGCAGGCAGAGAAUGGGUGGAGACUUGAAUGAACUUAACAUUAAUGAACUGCAAGCUCUUGAAGCUAAAAUGGAUUCUUCUUUGCUAGCUAUACGUGAGAGAAAGGUUUGAAAUUAUUGGAACUCUUUCUUUAUACCAAAAGGGUGUGUAUAUAUAUAUAUGUUGUGUGUAUGUGUGCAUUACUAUAUAUAUUGGGUUUUUCUUUCUUGAUUGUUAAAUAUGAAAUUAGGAAUUAGGCAUAGGGUUCAAACUUUGGCGAGGGUACUUUUAGUUGUUUGAAACCUCUUUGGUUUUACUCGACUUGCAUUCUUUUUACAGUCAUCAAUAUAUUUUUUACAUUUCUUCCAUGUAGCAUGGAGUCAGAAGAAGUAAUUGAUGCAGAACUCUCAGCUCGUGUUUUGCAGUUGAUAAAUGUCACUGAUAGUGGAUUGCACAGUCAGGUACACUGAGCAUGGUAGCUCGGUUUUGAUGAUAUUUAUUUUUAAUACCUCUAGGAGGAUGAUGGAAGUGAUAGUCUUUCAGUUCAACUAGUAGAUGAAAAACACUGGGAAGAUCUCUUCAUCGUUAUUGCUGUGGUGAGUAUUUUCUCCAAUCCUCAUGUUUUAGAUUUUUCCAACUAUAGGUUUAUAGUUGCUACUCUGCAGGGAGAUAAUUUUUUCCCCGCAAGAACAUGAAAUAUACUUACGAUUAGAUUUUGCAAGAUUCUGUCUCAAUUAAUCUGCAUCCUUUCUCAUGGUUUGGUAUUAUUUAUUGCUAAGUGUUUUAAAUCUUGAAAGAUUGCAAGCAGCAUAUGAAAAUCAAUAGUCUGACCUGCAUUAUUUUGAUCAUUUGAGAAUGCGUAAUCUCAGAUCACUUUCUUACCAUGCUUUGCAUCUACAAUUUAUUUUCCACUUAGUUUCCACAUAUUGCUUCCAAGCAUCUUAUUGUUUAUCUUGAAUAUGAGGAUGAACUUGCUUGUUUAUCUUGAUUACAGAGUAUAAAACCCACUUGCCUAUGCUUAUUUAUCUUGUGCCCAUUAAUAUGAGAUUUUUUUCUGAUGAAAAUGAAAUCAAAGACUUUUAAUUUGUAAAUACCAGAGAUUCUCUACCACUUUACCUUGAUAUAAAAUUCCUCCUGUGAUACGUUUUUAAGUCUGGAAAAUCUGUAAUCCUAGUGAUUUGCUUUACAGAGCUAUUUUAAAUAUAUUAUCGUUGGAGAAUGUGAAGAUUUUGACAUAUUUCAAUCACAAGAUGGUAGGUAAACCACUAUUUUGGUCUCAUAUGGAACAUUUAGGGUUAGAGCAUCAAUUUCUAUUUUUCGCAUAAUCUUGAUUGAGCAGAUAUUUUAUAUGGACACCUGUUUCUUAACUUGCCAUGGCUGUACUGGUGUUCACUUGAGUUCAUGUUUGGAGGAAAUUUUUGACAGUAUAUUACAUAUGUUGUGCAUGGUUGCAGAGCAAGGAGUGUUUAGAGAAAGUUACUCAAACAAUAUCUUUUCUUGCUCAACCACGAGAAUCUCACUUGCUUUUGCUUACGGGUAAAGCUUUUACUUCCUUUCCAACUGAACAUAACUUACAAUAAAUGCUGUGAGUUAGCCAUCUUUACUGCCGUAUAUGGAUAACUCCAAUAUAGUGCAGAAUAUAAGUAUGGAUGUCAAUGGUUGUUUUAGUGGCUUUUUUUUAAGUAAAAGCUAAGAGAAUGACUUGCAGGAGAGGUGAAGAGGGAUAGAGCUGCAAAGCUUUUGGGUUUGCGUGCAUGCAAUUUUCGGCCACGACACUCAAGCAAACUUGGAAAUGAGUUUCGGGUGUUCACAAACUAUGACCCUGGGGAGAGAUUAGGAGGAUGGGAGCAAGAAUAAUAGGUACCUUUUUCUUGCCAUCGUUUGCUAGGAAUAUUUUUUCAUGGAUGAGCUUCAUGCAACCUAAUUUUUAUCCAUUAUCAAGGAAUUUCCAACACUUACCCUUGGAAAAAUUAACCAGCUUUUCUACUAAUUUUCCCAGAGAAAACAUGCAGAUGAGAAAACUUCCAAGCAAGUUCAUCCUCAUAUUAUGCAUUUUGGUCUACUUUUUUAAACUAGUGCAAUUUUCCUCACUUGUGUAGAUUUCGUAAUACAUAAAACUAUUUAAGGUUGUUUAAAGUUGUACUGACUCAUGCCUACUCAUUUCCAUUUUGAAAUUUAAUUAGGAAGUUGUUCCAAAACGUACAAUAUAGAUGGAAGAAGCCAUACAAGUUUCUCAUAUGUAUUAUUUAUUUUAGUUUUGAUUCUAAAUUUUUAUUUUUACUUUAAUAUUUACGACAACUUGAGUUCUAACUUUUGAAUUUUAAUUGUUUUACUAAUUUAUUAUUUUAAAUUCUAAAACUAAAUUCAUUAAUUUUUAUAUUUAGUUUUAAAGUUAAAAUUUUCAUAGAAAAUUUAAUUUAAAUAAUAUUUUUUUAUUUAUCCUUAAAAGUAUAUUUAAAUUUCAAAUUUAGAAAAUAAAACACAAUAUAAUAUUUAUCAUAAAAAUAAAUAUAAUUUGAUUAAAAUAAUUUUUUUAAAGGUUAUGUUUUUAGCGGCGUUUGUGACAAAAAACGCCACUAAAGGUCAUGUUCUUUAGCGGCGUUUGUGGGAAAAGCGCCGCUAAAGGUUAUGGUCUUUAGCGGCGUUUGUGAGAAAAGUGCCGCUAAAGGUCAUGGUCUUUAGCGGCGUUUGUGGGAAAAGAGCAGCUAAAGGUCAUGGUCUUUAGCGGCGUUUGUGGGAAAAGCGCCGCUAAAGGUCAUGGUCUUUAGCGGCGUUUAUUUCUAAAAACGCCGCUAAAGUUAGCGACACUGUCAUUAGCGACAUUUUUUGCGACGCUUCUCAAAGCGCCGCAAAUACUUUUAGCAGCGCUUUUUAGCGCCACUAAAGGCCUAAAAAAGCGCCGCUAAAAGCCUGUUUUGGUGUAGUGAUUAUUACAUUUUCAAUGUGUUUUUAAAUAUUAAUAACUAAAUUAAACAAUAACUAUGUUAAUAAGUUAAUUUAUAAAAAUAUGUUGAAAAAAAUUAUUUGAGAAACUAGGAUGAAAUUCUAAAAAUUUAUCGAUCUACAUUAUUUUUGAAGAGAGAAAGGAAAAUGCGUCCUACACGUAUCCUACAGGGCGCGCUUUCACUGUAAUGUGGCAAUAACGCGUUUUCACUAUGGUAAAAAAUGUUUUUUUCUUUCUUUUUUCUUGCGAUUGGAAAUUAAAAGUUUGCAUAUUUAUUUUUAUACGUGUUUGAGAUAGACAUGGUUACAGUUUUAAGGAUUAUUUGAAUUUACGGUGGUGUUGUGGAGCUAGGUGACCUACAAAUUUUAUCUGCUAUGUGAGUAUAGAGCCAUCACCUCGGAAGUCAGGUUACGUUGCAACUCAAGGUUCCAGUUGACGGUGAUUAUACAGUCUGGGGUUGAAGUGUAACUAGGCUUCAAAUUUACAAAGGUUAUACUGUCAAAGGAGGGACUAUAAAUAGGGCCUCAGUUGACGGUGGUCAUACGGGCACGACAACCAGUUUUUCCUCAUCAGAGGAGGAUGCUUUAUAAAACCUAAACAGAAGUACGAGGAAGAAAAACAUAGUGGCAUUUUAGUAUAAUCAAGUAUUUUAUUUUAUCCAUGUACACCAAAGGCAGUGACCCUGUUAUUAUAACUUGUGACAUAAUUGGGGUGUAAUAGGUUUUACUAACAAGGUUACUGCAUUUGCUAGAGAUGGACAACACGAAUUACUUGAUUAUACUGGGAGGCCCUUUGCAUUUUCCUUCAUCGUACUUCUGUAUAGGUUUUAUAAAGCAUGAUCCUCUGAUGAGGAGAAGCUAGUUGUUGUGCCCUCACAACCACCAUCAAAUAGGGUUCCAUUUAUGCUUCAUCCUUGAAGCCCUAGUUACACUUCAACCCGAGACAGUAUAUUCACCACCAACUUGGACCUCAAGUUCCAAAGUGAUCCUGGAUUCUUGGCAAAUGGAACCAUACUCACAUGAUAGGUGAAAUUUGUAAGUUAACGAGCUCCAUAACAUCACCGUGAACCCAAACACAACUUAAAACUAUGACUAUGUCUCUCUCAAUGCGAGAGAGAAAUAAAUCUUCAAACCUAAAUUUUCAUACACGUAAGAAAAAUUAAAAAAUAAUUUAGGAUACUAAAUUAAGGGAUGGGAACGUGCAGUUAUAUAGGGGAUGUGGUGGGGUAAAAAGGAAAUUUUUAUCACAGGAUUCUAAAAAGAAAAUACCUUUUUUACUCACCCCAUGCCUCUGCAAGGGACUGUUCUGUUCCUUACAAAAGAGCUUUAUAGAAAAAACUCAAUACAGGCCUUUGAUUUUCCAUACUGACAUUCGAAGCAAAUUGUUGAUCUGAAGGAUACUUGGCACUAGGAGUAAUCGGUGUUGUCGUGAAAACUUGAAUUUCGUCCUUACGUUGUUAUCGAAGCAAAGGUUAUUCAUUAAUUUACAUGUAGGUUUAGGGUUUGUGGUGAUGAGUACUAUAGUUUUUACUAUUCUAUCAGUUUUAAACAUAUGGAAUAGGGUAUCUCAUUAAAGAUGAGCAGACAAGUUGUAACAGCCCAUUUUCAGUGGUGUCAGAAACAGUGGUUUUGGGACCACAAUUUUGAUGUGUGUGUUCGUAAAUAUUAAUUAUUUAAUAUUUACGAGGUCCUUAGGGUCGUAUUAAAUCUUGGUUAGGAAAUUUUAACAUUUAGAUAGUUAAUUAAAUAAAAAGAACUAAACUAUGAAAGUCGUAAAAUCUAGCUAUAAUUGAAUUAUAUUGAUUAGAUGGUGUAAAUCACAUAAGUGGAAUGGUUUAAAGGGAAAAUAUACUAUUUUUAAUUAGCAUGGAUAGUUAAGGCUUGAAUUAUGCUAAAAAUGUGUGUUUAAUUGAAGGGAAAACUUAAGUAAAAUAAAACAAAAAUAAUGUAUAUUCUUCCCAAAAUUGUUUUGACUGAAAUUGAAGAGAAGAAAAAGGCAUUGAAGGUUUGAAGGUUCAAUGAUGAGAUUUCUCGAGCUUGGAGGGUUCGAAAAGUAGCUUGAAUGGGAUGGACCGUCUUAAAAGGGUUCAAUUGGUGGAAACCUCAACUCGUGGCACUUGAAUGCUUUAAGGAACUGUAGAUAUAUUAAAACUACAACCCACUUAAACUUGACUAAAUACUCAAAUUGUGGUAUGCGAAGUCACCACACCCCAGGAUGGUGAAUAGUAUGAUAAGACAAUUGGUGAAUGCCACAAACUCGUAAAAGUUUGAUAAGUUCAGUUUAGUUCAAUUAAGAACCAGAAGAGAAAAUAUUCUCACAAAAUAAAGUUGUAUUCAACAUAAUUGUGUAUGUAACCAAAACAAUUUCCUAUUACAAGUUAUUUAUAGGCCCUAAUACAACUAUUCAAAUACCUAUAAAAUACCUUUCAACUUCGGCAUUUAACUAGUGUUAAUACAAACAUUUAAAUUUGUUUUAACUCAUGUUGGGUAGCCAAUAAGUCAUGUCUUUUCACUUGAUUCUUGUAUAGUUGAAAAGGCAUGUCUCUUCACUUUGUUGAUGACUUAAUGUUUCGUUAAUGAGUUGUUUGGUGUCCCGUCACUUUCCUUAUGGUUGAAAGUUAUGUUGCUUGGCAUUCUUCUCUUGUAAUGGCACCAUAAUGAACUUUAAGUGUUUGAAAUCGAUAAAAUUUGAAGGUCACUCUUGGUCUAUUCGAUCAAUCACAAUGCAUCACAUUGGAAGUUGAUUCUUGAAUGAAUUUUGUGCAUUUAUUCACCUUCAACAUUGUAAAGGGGUUUGUGCAAGUGUACAUAAUCAUUCACGUAAUAAGUAAGUAAAAUGAGUUAUCGUCUCCCCAGGGACUGUAUAAGCUUAACCAAAUAUUUCCAAAAUUAUAACUUCACAAUAUGAUGUAAAAAUUCAAAAAUUUGGAUGGUGAAUAUUAAACUAAGUAAAUUAAUUAGAUGCAAAGAUUGAUCCCUAUGCAAAUUUAAUCUAGAUGUAAUUUACCUAAAUGAAUGAAUGAAUGGCUUUAGCAACAAAAGCAAUCAACAUUAAAUGGGCUAGGAUAAUUUUAUUAAUCAAUUCAACAUUAAUUUUAUUAAGCAAUCAACAUUAAUUUUAUUUCGAUCAUUUAUUGACCGCUCGAAAGGUCCGCAGUCGCCUCGAGCGACUCAGGUAACCUAAAUGGUCCUAACAGUGUAAAUGGGCCCAAGGCUCAUUACUCGACCCAAGUGGGCCCACACGCUAGUGCGGCCCGUUCAGCCCAAAAUUCACCAUGGCUAUGAGUUCUACGUAGCCCAGUCCAAUAUUUGCCACAAAUCGUGAUUCUCAUCCGUGAAGGGCCCACGAGCCUAUAGGGCCUAUAUGGCCUAUUUCGGCCCAACGUGGCCCAUUACGGCCUACGCCUAUGGAAUUGCUCAUGGAGGUCUCUAUAGUCUAUUGCCCAUGAUUUGAGGAUUUGGUUUACCAUAUGAGCGAUCGCACGCUCAUGUGGUCUCAAAUGUCGUACUUUCGGCUUUUCGGCUUUUGCCGUCUAAUAGUUAUAGCGGGGUGUCUACACAGCUGAUUGUGAAAACGCUCCAAGAUCCACGAGUACCCAAAAUCUACAUUCAUACAAUUUUUCCAUUAGUCACUAAUGAAUAAGGUUAAUCUCCUUCUUUUACAUCCUUAACCAAAACUACAUUAAUACUUGCCUCGACUGUCAAAAGUGGCUUAGCCCACUUAUACCACUGACGAAGGUUGACUACAAUCUUCUUGACAAAUAUCUGCAUUGCAAACGGAUUUAUUAAACAAAAAUGUUUAAUCAUGUGGUUUAAAUCCACUUCAUGAUAACUUACAAAAAUACAGCAAGCAUUCGGCCUACACCUAGAAUGCUAGCCCACAUACUUACCUUAGAUCGAGAGAAGAGAAAAAAGUUUCGAUGACUUGGUACUACUUGAUACUCCUUCAAUCAUCGAGGACUUCAAACCAUCAGAAAGGAGUGAUAUACGACUGAACCACAGACAAUAAAGGGAGAUAGCUCUCGAUCAAAAAGGAAAUAAUAGGAGGUAGAAAUCAAAGACAAAUAGAGAAUGAUAUUCGGCCAAAGAAAAAGAAUAGAAGAGAAAGAAGAUUCAGCCAGCAGAGAAGAGAAAGAAGAUUUGGCCAGUAGAGAAGAGAAGAGAGAAAGUGAGAGAGAAGGGAAGAUUCGGCAACAAGAGGGAGGGGGAAGAGGAAAGAAAAGAGCAGAAAAGGACAAAUCCGAGAGGUACUUCCCAAAACUUGGCAAAAUUCGGCACCUAAAACCGAAUAUCUUUAGUACCUAGAGACCAAAUUCAGUAGAUACUACCCUAAAAAGUUCUUCCAAAUGCCGAAAACGACAACAUUUUCCCUCCAAGCCAAAUUCUCAAGGUUUGAAUUACCCCAAAUAGCACACGCUCCCCCUUCUAAUCAAAUUUUUUGAUUUAUUAACAAUCAUAGCUUUCAUAGAAUUCAUUACAUAAGCAUAAAUCUUUUCUUAUAAUUAUGAACCUUUAUAUUAAGUCACUUACCGUUCCAUUCCUUUUCUUACUCAUUUCAUUUGCAUAGUACAAAGUAUAAACAUAAAAAUCAACCAUAUGUAUUCCUAUCAUCAACAAUCUCAAUCGAAAAAUCACAUACAUUCAAUUUAAUAUUCAAAUGUAUAGCAAAUCCAUCAAAUUCAUUAAACAAAUUACCUUACUGAGAUUUUUAAUUCGAAGAACGACUUAGGGAUAGGAGCACAUUGUCAGUCCAACCAUAACACGCUAGAUGCCCAUACGAGUCAAUUCCUCAAAACACACCAAAUGCUCACAAGAUCUAGUCGAACUGAAACACGCCAAUGCUCAUAAGAACUAGUCCAACCGAAACACGCUAAUGCUCAUAAGAGGUAGUCCAACCGAAACACGCCAAUACUCAUAAGAGCUAGUCCAACCGAAACACGCCAAACAGAGAGUAUAACACGAAAGUUCACAAUAAAUGUUGAACCUCGAUUUACUCGGGAAAUAAAUAUAUACAUCCCUCUAAACCAUCUCCACUCCAAUCCCCAACACACCAUAUCACGACUAUACUCUAUCCCGGGUUCAAUCCAAUCCGAACAUCAAAUUCAAUAACAUAUCUCAAAUAAUCAUUCAUCAUCAACAAUUGAAUAUAUAUAUUUUAUAUCAUAUUAUACUAUUCAACAACUCAUAUAGAUGUCAAAAUUUUAAACCAUACAAACUUACUCGAACUGAAUUGUAGUGGUUGUAGAAGUUCAUGGACUAUUCUAUAAUUUUUCCUUUUUCACGAGUAUCUACGAGAUCUUGAUCUAAAAUGUGAAAUUUCUCAAUUAUUAGCUUACAUUUCACAUUCCAAUCCAUUUUACAAUUACCCUAAACUUUUAGAAUCAUUAUCAUUUAGUCCAUUAACCCGAAAUUUAUCAAAUUAACCAUUUUUAUCAAGUCAAUAUUCUAUCCAAAUAUACUAGGCCCUUAAACAGUCCCUAAUGAACAUUAAAUUUACUAUCAAACCCUAAAAUUUGAUAUUUUCACAAUUUAAUCCUAAAAUAAAAAUCUAACAAAAAUCACUUUACAAAAUCAUCAAACAACACAAUAAAAGCUCAAAAUACAUGGUAUUUAUCAUAAAAAUUCAAAAUUCGUCAAUGGAAACUUCAAAAAUUUUUAACAGAAUCAAAAAUGAAGGUACCGGCUAGUUAAACCUAGUUGCAAUGAUCUCAAAAACAUAAAAAUUACAAGAAAUAAGUGAGAAUUAAGCUCAGAUGAAAGAAACGAAGCUUGAAGCUCUCCCAAAUGGUGAAUUCAGCUAAGGUUGAAGAAAAAUGAAUAUGAAUUGUUUAGUUUUUCAAUUUGUUUUACUUAAUAUCAAGUUAUUUACCAUUUUACCAUUAAUUACAUAAUAUUUUUGUCUUUUUCCUUACUAAUGUCGUCCCACCACAUUAAUUAAGGCCUAAUUACCAUAUAUUUCCCUUAUCAAUUAAUAAUUAAGUCAUUUAGUCACUAAAUGCAUUAAUUAAAAACUUUUGCACCUUUUACAAUUUAGUCCUUUUUAAUUAAUUAACUAUUUAAACAGUAAAAUUUCUUAACAAAACUUUACUACAACCUUAAUAACACUCCAUAAAUAUUUAAUAAAAUACUUAUGGUUCGUUUUAUAGAAAUGAGGUCCCGAUACCUCAUUUUCUAAAACUACUUGACUUUAAGGUCAUACCACUUUAACCUAAUUGUUCUCUCAAAUAGCAUAAAUUGCCAAUUCAACAUUUAUUUUAAUACCAUAUUUGACUAAUGAAUAUUAAAUAAUAGUAUUUACGAACUCGCUCGUCAGAUUUGUGGCCUCGAAACCACUAUUUCUGACACCACUGAAAAUGGGUUGUUACAAGGGAACCCUUCUGAACGACAAUGUGGGUGAAUUUCUCCUCUUUGCUGUUUCAAAACUUGAGCCCAAUCUGUAUUUACAAACUAAACUGCUUAAGAUAAAAUAAACUAAUUAGUACCUGGGCCAAAUUGACCCCCUUAUUGAACAUAAAAAUAAAAUUCAAAUUGGAAAUUAAAAUGAAAAAUUUCUUUUGGGCUACUUAGAAAAUUUCUUCUAAAAAAGUUACAUCAAAUUAAAUUCCCAGGAAAGGUUGGAGGGGGCACAAAUGAUCCCGCUUAAGUUCCAAUCAUCUUAGAUAGAAUUAAUUUGAAGAACCAAUUCAAGAAAAAUAAUUUCUAAGCAUGCCAUUUAUUCAAAUAAGAGAGAGAAAAAAUUGAAAAUAAAUUAACGACUGAGACAGUGAAAAGGACUCCCUCAAUGUUAUUGAUGAUUUUCACUGAAAAAGUCGAUGUCGAACGACCAUUUAUCAUACCAACUGUAUCCAUCUAGAAAGAAGAACUAAUGUUGACCAGCAAUUAUAUCCAAUAUUUGCUCAAAAAAUAGCAACAGAAAAUGAUCUUUCUGUUUUGUUUUGCUCAACUUUCUAUCAUUUGUACAAAUCUGCAUACCCAUGAUAAUCUUUUACAAAAUCAGCUCAAUUUUUGUUAUACAUUCUUCUUGGUACAAGUCCCAACCACUGAAUGUCAUAGAUGGGAUCCAUGAUCCUUGAUUUUAACCAUUGAAACUCGAGAUUGAAUUGAACUCUUCUGUCCCUUGACGUGCCCCUUUUUCAGUAUUUGCAAUAGUCUACUUGAUACCUUUCUCGUGCCUUUUCAAAAUAGUUAAGUCUAACUCUUGUGGCUCUUCUUUUGAUGGGUUGGGGUGCUUCUACUCAUGUGAUGAUAGCUCUAAUGACUCAAAUUGAACUUUUGAAUUGAAUCCUUCUAAGUUAGCUUCCAAACAUGUAUUAUCCUCAUCUUGAUAUGAAGAGUCAUAUAAAAUACCUUCCAAUGGAUCUUCCACAGAAACUGUAAAAUAAUAUUUAACCUCAUCAGAAGAUCUUACGGCCUUAAGUAUAUUAAAGGUUACUUGUUCAUCUUGAACUCGCAUGGUGAUUUCACCUUUCUAUACAUCAAUUCUCGUCUUAUCGAUUUCCAGGAAAGGCCUUCCUAGGAUGAUUGGUACUUCCUUAUCUGCUUCAAAAUCUAAUAUAACAAAGUCAAUAAGAAAUAUGAAUUUAUCAACACACACAAAGACAUCCUCGAAUUUUCCUUCUGGGUAUGCCAAAGAUUGAUCCACCAAUUGGAGUUUAAUAGCAGUCGGUCUAGCCUUACCAAUACCUAAUCGUCUAAACAUAGACGUAAGCAUUAAAUUGAUACUCUAUCUCAAAUCGCACAAAGCCUUAUCACAAUAGGAUUCUCCAAUAUUACAAGGCAUGAUGAAACUUCUUGGAUCCUUCAACUUAGGAGGCAACUUGUUCUGAAAAAAUAGGCUACAUUCUGUAGUCAGGUCUAUAGUUUCAAAUUCCCUAAAUCUUCUCUUCUUAAACAAAAUUCUUUCAUAGCUUUCGCAUAGUUCGGCAUUUGCUCCAAAGCUUCUAUCAACGAGAUGUUGAUACGUAGUUGUUUCAACACAUCCAACAUUCUCUUAAAUUGAGUAUCCUGUUUAUGUUGAUAUGAAGGUUGUGGAACUUUGGCUUGGAUUGGACAGCUCUUCUAAAGUAAUAUUUCUACAUCUAAUGAAGAGGUUAGCUUAUUAGAAUUCACUAGUUUAGAUUUUACGUUUUUAGAAUUUGCAGAAUUUGGCUUCUCUGGUACAAGAAUUUCAACUGUGGGUUGAUUUUCCUCUUUUUGGGGAGGUUCAUCUUCAACCUCAACCUUAUUGGGUUCAAAAGUCUUUUCACUUCAUAAAUUAACCACUUUGCAAUUCUCCUUGCUAAGUUUUCUUAGGUUCUCCAUGUCACUAGGCAAAGCUCCUUGUGGUCUAUUUCGAAGUUUGUUGGCUAUUGCCCUAUCUGGUUCUCCAAAUUUCUCAAAGUUGCAUCAUUCUUAGCCAUGUAUGCUUUUAAUAAGUUCUCAAGAUUAGAAUACUUGGUUGAAAGAGGAUUUUCUAUGUUGUUUGGUACAGCACCUUGGGGUCCGUUUCUAAACUCAUCAACUAAUUGUUCCACUUGAUUUUCAAGGCUCUCUAAUGUUGUUGCUUUUCCUUGAAUCAAGGCAUCAAUUUUAGCAAUGUAUGCCUUCAAUAAAUUCUCCAAAUUAUUUAAAGGUUCAACUUACGGUGGGUUUUAAACUUGUUGAUUGAAACCAAGAGGUUGAUUUGAUCUAUGCUGCAUGUAAGUGUUCUUUUAUCCACCUCCUUGGUAGUGGAUUGGUAGUUGAGCUACAACAUGAUUUAAAUUGUUAGUAGUAAAUUGUUUCAACAUUGAAGAGAUAGACGAUACCUGAGCUGAGAGUGAAGUAAGGGCGUCUACUUCAUAUACUAUGGCUACUCUUCUUCCUAAAGCUACUUGAUUUGUCUGCCACUGGUAAUUAUUACUAGCUAUUCUCUCGAUUAUUUUGUAAGCCUUAUUAUAAGACUUCAAUAAGAGAGCACCAUUUACAAAAGCAUCUACCACCAACCUUGUGUAUGUGUUGAGACCAUUAUAAAAUGUCUCCAACUAGAUGCAAUGAGGAAUCCGAUGACAAGGACACUUACGAAGUAAUUCCUUAAAUUUUUCUCACGUCUCGUAUAAGGACUCGUCAUCCAAUUGCUGAAAAGUAGUGACUCAUUUCAUAACUUAGCAUUUUUGCUAGGUGUGAAAUACUUUACUAGAAAGUAUUCAACUAAUUCUUGCCAAGUAGAAAUUGAGUUGGAUGGAAACGAUUAAUCCACACUCGUGCUCGAUCUCGCAACGAGUAUGGAAACAACUUCAACUUUAGUGCAUCUUCAGUUGCACUGGCUAUCUUGAAGGAACCGCUCACCUCCAUAAACAAUCGAAGGUGAAGAUGUGGAUCUUCUAUGGGCAUUCCACUGAAUUGACCUAUUGUUUGAAUCAUCUGAAACAUCACAGGCUUCCAUUCAAACUGCGGUGCCCCAAUCUCCGGUCUUCUAAUUCCCAAUUUUAGUUCAUUAAGGAAUGGCACGGCAUACUUUUUUAUAAGUCAGUCCCUAUCAUCAGCAAUAAUUAUUGGAUUUUGAGCAUCAGCGGCUCUAUUCCCUUGAACAUCAUUUUGAUUUUCAUGGUCCAUUUUUGCAGCUUGUCUCUGGGCUAAUCUUUCUCAUCUUCUUUAUCGAAAUGGCUGUUCCAUUUUAGGGUCUAUAAGGACUAAAUCGAUGAUUCGAUCUAUGCUAAUUAUUACUUGGAAAGAAAAUCACAAAAAAUAUAAAUAAUAAAAUAAUAAUAAUAAAUAUAAUAAAGAGAAAACAAUUAAAGAAUUAAUUAGUAAAGUUAGAAAUUAAAUAAAAAUAAAAUAAAAAACAAAUUUCAAAAAAUAAUCUCACAAAAAAUGAUUAAGGUAACAGUCUUCGGCAAUAGAGCCAAAAACUUGUAACGAGGUUUGUGCAAGUGUACACAAUCAUUCAAGUAAUAAGUAAGUAAAAUGAGUUAUUGUGUCUAAAAGGACUGUAUAAGCUUAACCAAAUAUUUGUAAAAUUACACCUUCACAAUUUGAUGUAAAAAUUCAAUAAUUGGAUGGUGAUGAUUAAACUAAGUAAAUUAAUUAGAUGCAAAGAUUAAUCCCUAUACAAUUCUAAUCUAGAUGCAAUUUACCUAAAUGAAUGAAUGAAUGGCUUUAGCAACAAAAACAGUCAACAUUAAAUGGGCUAGGAUAAUUAUAUUAAUCAACAUUAAUUGGAUACUUUAUCAUGCUUAACAAUGUUUGGAAAUACUUUCAUGACAACUCGAUCUUUCAUGAGUUUGAAAACCAAAAUAAGUCCUUUUAGAGUCUUUUACUUAGUUAAGUAUGCAUUGUACUGAUCAUAUUAACUAAGGGUUUCUUAACAUUUAUGUAAGGUCACAAGGAUACGUUUCAAACAGUUUAAUUAAAUAAACCUAAAAACUAUGCAAGGCAAUGAGCUAACUAAUGAUAUUACAAACCUCAACUUAGUCAGGUUUGAAGAUCUAAAUUGAGCAUUGCACUUUUCAAUUAUGUGUCUACUAGUCAUCGUCUGGUUAGGAUCACACAGCUAAUCUGAGUGCACCCAAUCACGUAUGAAUGAAAUGCAUCAUGAUAUUAAUUGAAAAAAUGAUUGACUGAGGCCUAAACAUGUCAAACAUGGAUAAAAUAGAUCUUAUUGAAUUAACAUAGCCAUCCUAACAAAUAAGAUUUAAAAUAUCAUCAUUGAUGUCAAAAAUAAUAAACUCAAAGCAAACAUGAUUAAAAUAAAUAAAAAUAGGAAAGAGUAAACUCUAUUCAUUUCAGUGGCCUUUGGGAUCUAUUAUGACUGAUUCCGUUCAACAGCCUUUCGAAUCUAUUAUGACUGAUGCGCUCCUCCAUUCUCCUCAACGCUUCUUUUGCUAAGGAGUUCCUAAAGUGGCCAGCCAAAGAAUGCUUUUGACAAAGCUUUUGUGGCUAAAGGAUGAAAAAGAGAUGGGCAGUUAUGCAAGGGAAGGAAAAUGAAAAUAAAAUAUGGAGAAAAUGCUAAUGGGAGAAGAGAAAUGAGUAGUAAGGGAUGAGGGAUUAAGGGAUUGGUGCAUGGUAUUUAUAGGUGAAGGUAAAAGGUAGAGUUAGCUAAAAAUUGAUUCAAAAUUCCUUCAUUUUCUACCACACAUGGCCGGCCAUAUUUCAAGGAGAAGGGGAUGACUAAGUCUCCUCAAUUUGAAUUCAAACCAAGGCUAUUAAUAGCCAUAGGGUGUACGGUUUUAAUAGCAAGUUGUCGGGCAGAUUUCUGAUUAUUUUCCAACUGUAAGGACCUUUAAUUAAAUACCCCAAAGCUUGCUUUUGGGCAUCCGUCUACUUGUGCCGAAACUAGGCUUAGUUUCCCCUUAUUGGACGGUUUCUUAGUCCAAUUAUUUAGUAGACAUGUCCAUCUUUUAGCACCUCUUUUAAUGGGUCAAAUUAUCAACCCCAUGACCCAAAUUGCAAGGUCUUGUCAGCCACAUGAAUUAAUUUGUGUAUGUCCAUGUUUCAUUCACAUUAAUCACAUUUUCAAUUGUCCUCCUACAUAGUGAAAAAUCACAUAUUAAUAAAUUAACAUGAAAUAUGUAAAAAAAUCAUGUAAUUAAGUAUAAGUUCACAUAAUUUAUAAAUCCAUGCCCAAUAUUACUAAUUUAGUAAAGUUCACUUAUUUUAAUAACAAUUACUCAAGAUUAACAUAUUUAUUAAGCAAAAAGGUGGUAAAAAUAUAUAGAAAAACCCUAUAUAAUUUCGAGUUUACAAACAUCUACAAAAAAUGUUCCCUUUAUGCACCAACAAUUAAGUGAUCGAAUGCCCACUCUUUUAUGCCAAAACCGAACAAUCAUUUGAAUGUGGCAGCAUUUAAUUCUUCUUUGGAAACGAACAGCCCUUUGUAGCUUUAAAAUAUGUGAUCAGCCUUUGGACUUUCCUAGGACACACAAUUGAACACACAAUUAAUUUAUUUAAGAUACAUUAAACCUUGCAAACUUUUCAUAUUCAUAUCUAGCUUUAACACAUUAUUUAAUAUAGAAUUCAACAAACUAAAACUCACGCAUUUAUGACAAAAAUAACAGCCAAAAUAAAUGACACACUUCACACAUUUAUAACACAAACUCAUAAUUAGCAUAUAAAAUGUAUAAAUGCAUGGCUUAAUUAAAAUGAAAACUUAUUUAACAUAUGAGUUUCAUAAUGCAUUGCAUAAUUAAAAGACAAUCUUCAUUAACAUAUUAGAUGCUUUUAUGAUUGACUUUACUAAAUGCAAAGCACUUCCUGCAAGACAUAAUUAAAUAUGCAAACACUUAUUAAACUGAAAUAAAACUUAAAAAUAAUAAAAGUUUUAUAUUUGGCCCUUUAAUUAAUUUAUACCCAGCACUAAAUACAUCAAGACUUAAACAAAUUAACCAUCAAAGGAAUUGGGCUCAACCCAAUUUGAAUGAUAAGCUUCAUUUUGCACUUGGGCCCUUCUCGUUUGGGCCAAUCCUAACAUCUCUGAAUUGCAACGUAAUAUGAUGUGAUCGGAAUCACAUCAUUCAACCACCUUAAUUUUCUUUGCAUGUGAGUGAAUAUCUCAUCUGUUUCUUAUAAUUUUUAUAUUUUUGAGAUCGUUGCAACUAGGUCCAACUAACCCAUACCUCCGUUUUUGAAACUAUUAAAUGUUUUAGAAUGUGUCAUGGAUGAGUUUGAGGUGUUUGUGAAAGUUUGUGAUAGAUUACUAAGCUUGGUUGUUAAAUAGAAUUAUUUCGUAAAGUAAUUUUUUGUUGAUUUUAAGGUUAAAAGACUAAAUUAUUUAAACAGUAAAAUUUCAUAGUAUUUUUGUGAAAUUUUGUUAAAUAGAGGGUUUUAUAGAGACCCUAAAUAUUCGGCUGGUAUGGGUUGUGUACAAAUAAGGUUAAUUUUGUAAUUUUUCGAGUUUGGGAUUAAAUUGAAUAACGUGUAAAAGUUUGGUGCAAUUAUGAAAUAUUGUAAAUAGAAUGGAAUAUGUAUUAAAUUGAAUGAUACAUGAAAUUGAAUCUAAUAGAGUCAAAUAAACUAUUUUAUAGAUCAAGAACAAUUAGAUAACCGAGGAAAAGAAAAAGUUACUGAGUAGUCCUUGAAUUUUUACAAACUCUGCAGUUUAGCCUUGGUAAGAUAAUUCGAUAUAUUUUAACAUAUUUUGAAAUGUACAUUGAUUGUGAAAUUGGUUAUUGAAUAUUUUAGUGAAUGCUUGAUUAUAAAUUACUGUAAAUUUAGAAAAACAGUUCCUUUGAAACUUGUUAAAUGAUAUUAUAUUGUGAGUUGAAUGAACGUAGGAUAGAGUGCAAUUGGCAUGCCAAUAGGUUAUAGUGUACGUUGUACAAGAUUGACUUGUGACAAGGCGAUGAUUCCUGAUUUGUGUUUAUACACUGAGUAUAUCAAGGUUUAGCAUUUGUUGCGAACUAUCGUGUUAUAUUACAGUGAUUGUGGUUGACAAGAAACACUGUUUAUUACUCUUGUUAUUAUAAAUGUCAUGUUUAUUUCGGUAAGCUUUAUCCUCUUAACCGCUAAACUUACUAAGCUUUAUAUAGGCUUAUUCGUGUUAUUUUCUUGUUUCCUUGUAGAUAAAGUUUUGUGGAAUUGAGCAAUCGAAUCAACUUGAGGAUCACACUAUCCAAUCACAUUUUGGUAGUUUUUGAAGUUAACUUUUGGGUUAUAUGGCAUGUAAUAGGUGAAAUUUAUAGAUGUUUGAUUUGUAAAUUAUUUGGUAAUUAUGAAAGUGAUGAAUGAUGCCUAUGUUUCGUAUUAACUUGUAUGUUUUUAUGUUCAUGUCAUGUUAUUUGGUCAUUUGGCAAUUUUUAUAUACGUGUUUGAAAUCAUGGUAUGAAUGUAUAUGUUUGAAUGAGAAAAGUAAUGGUAAGUUUUUAAAUAAGAUGAUAUAUGACUUGAGAGUUUGAAUGAUUACUUGUUAAUGUGUUUGGUGUAUGAAUGUGAUAUGGAGUAUAGCCUUGAUUUUGGUUAGUUUUGUAAUGUGAAUUGAGGUGCCAAAUGAUGGCUGUAAAGCCCAAAAUCUGCCCGGGCCCAACAGUCCAAUUACAAAAAAUAAACCCAAACAAUUACAGCCCAAAUAAAUCAAAAAAACCCUAAAACCCUAGCCCACCAAACAUAAAAGCUUUUCAGCCAUCAAAGCAAACCCUAAGCCCUAGCGCCGUAUGCCCAGGCUCCAGCAAUGCGCGCCGUUCCACCUCCUCGCACGCCGCCACCGCCCAAGGCUCGCCUACCACCGGUAGUCCACGCGUCUGACACCUGCAAAAACUAAAUGUAAUGGCAAAAAGGAGGCACGCAGGUAGUUAACAGACAGUAAAGAAGAAGAAAGUGUUUUUUUAAUUCGGCUAUAAAAGCCCGAAUCUAAUUGUUGUAUUUUUUUUAACGAACGCACACAAAGCAAUCAAAAAAACAGAACAGAAUUUUUAAAAGGUUGAUUGUUCUACUGCAUUCUCCUUUUUUAUUUUUAUUCUUUUUGUUAUCUUUAUUUUAUUUUCUAUAAAUCCAUUUUUUUAAAUAAAAAACGCAGAAAUAAAAGAGAAAAAAGGGUACCUUGUCGCCGAAAUCUCCUUCACUUCGUCAGAGUCAAACUCGGAGAGGGGGCUGCUCCUUUUGCGGCGGGGGAGUUGGCUUUGGCCUCUUAGUUCUGUUUUAAAAAAAAUGAAAGGCUCUGUUUUUUUGAAAAGGGAAAAUGGGGGCUGAUGGUUUGUUUAGGGUUUUAUUUUUAUUUUUAUAAGGUUUUAAACGGCGUCGUUGAUGGGGGAGACCUGCGCAUGCUUUGCGCUAAUGGGUUAUUUGUGCCUUUGGUCCCUCCAAUCCUGCUGCAGAUUCAAGGCAGCCUUUCCUUUCAUUUAAUUUUGGCCACAUAAUUUGGCGCCUGAUGCAAUCUGAUCCUGUGCAGACCAACGCGCAUAAGGGACGGGGGAUAUUGCACAAUCGGUCCCCCAUGUCCUCAGCGCCUUUACCACCUAUUUCAUAUAUUUGUAGUUUAAGACCCGUUUUUUUAAUUCUGUUUCAACCACGUCCUUAAUAUGUUUAAUUUUUUUUAUAUAUGCUAUUUUAUUAUUAUUUGUUUUAAGCCUUUAUAUUUAUUAUUUAUUUGAAAUUGUUUUGCAUUAAAAUUUUUUAUAUAUUUUAAAAAAAACUGUUUCUUUAUUGUUUAAGAUUUUCUUUUGUAUAUUGUUUUAUUUUAAACUAUUUUAGAUUGACUAGUAUUUAUCUCAAGUUUUUAUUUUUAUGUUAUUUAUUUAUUUGGUUUAAAUUUAUAUAUUAUCAUCUUAUAUAUUAUUAUCUAUAUUAAAAUAUUUUAAUAUUAACAAUUUCAAAUUGUUCAUACAUUUUUAUAAUAUAUAUUUACGUACAUACUUUUCAUUUAUUAUAAAUAUAUACUUUUUAUAUUUUAUAUUUCAUAUUUUCAUAUAUACAUAGAUAUAGGUAUAAAUAUACACAUUUUAAUUCAUAUAUAUAUAUGUGUACUUGUACAUAUUUAAAUAUAUUUUUCAUAUUUCAUAAUUCUUAUAUACUUACAUAUAUGUAUACAUAUUUUACUUCAUAUACAUACUUAUAUAUAUUCUUUAUAUUCUCAAAAAUAUUUUUUUAUAAUUCACAUACUUACAUUUUUAUUUUAUAAUACUUACAGAUUUUUAUUUAAUAUAUAUAUAUAUUUAUAUACAUUUUUAUACUCUAUAAUUUAUAUGCAUUUCUUAUUUUCAUAACUUAAAAUUAUACAUGCAUACAUAUUUUUUACAUAAUUGUAUUUAUUUCAUUUAUUAUCAUUGUUAUUUGGUGUUUAUUUAUUUAUUCAUGUACACUUUUACUUUUCUAAAUUGUUAGUUCUAUUUAUUUAUUCGUUUGCUUUGUUUAUGUAAUCGCCUCGUCAUUUCAUUUUGCCUAUUAUAUUGUUGUUACCUUGUCGUCAUUUCAUUUUGCCUAUUAUAUUUAUUUAUUCGUUAUUGUUUUGUCAUGCUUAUUAAUACCAAACAUCAAAAGGAAGGUUUUUCUAAAUAAUGCAAUAUUUUGCGUUUGGAAAAUCGAGAAAACGUGCCCUAACGUGCUGGGUUUCGAUUUCUCGUUUGACCAAAUAGCCAAAUAUCCUUUUUAAACUUUUAAAAUAAGGUAAUAUUUCGCGUUUGGAAAAUCGAGAAAACGUGCCCUGACGUGCUGGGUUUCGAUUUCUCGUUCGACCAAAUAGCCAAAUAUCCUUUUUAAACUUUUAAAAUAAGGCAAUAAUUAGCGUUUGGAAAAUCGAGGAAACGUACCCUAACGUGUUGGGUUUUGACUUCUUGUUUGAUCAAAUAGCCAAAUAUCCUUUUAAACUUUCAAAGUGGGGCAAUAUUUGCGUUUGGAAAUUUGAGAGAACGUGCCCUAACGUGCUGGGUCUCUAUUUCUUGUUUGACCAAAUAGCCAAAUAUCUUCUUAACUUUCAAUCUAUUAUUCGAGUUUUUUUAAGGAUCGUAUUUUUAAAACUCUUCAAAGUUUUCAAUCUUCGACAUUAAGACAUUAACUAAUCAACUAGGUACCAAAUUUUGGGCGUUACAAGGGUGCUAAUCCUUCCUCGUACGUAACCGACUCCCGAACCCGUUUUUUUGAAUUUCGUGACCAAAAUCGUUGUUUUAAUAAAAUUAAAUCGUUUACUAAAAACAACCAUUUUUCAAGGUGAUCCGAUCACACCUUAUCAAAAAAAGAUUAGUGGCGACUCCCGUUUUUUCGUUUUCAUUUUCAAAAUCCAAGUCGACCACGUUUCAUAAAAAAAAGGUGUCAACAGCUUGGCGACUCUGCUGGGGAGUUUUGGGAGUCAAGCCACGGUUGAUUUUUGUCUUUUUGUCGAAAAUUGAAAAUUUGGUUUAAAUGUACGAUCCUUUUGUUGCAUUUUGUUCGUUUUUUUUUUGUAUUUGAUAUGCUUACUUUUUUUAUUCAAGCCGUUUGAUAUUUCUACACAUUGCAUUACAUGGCCGCGGGUCACACCUUUUAAGUGGGAGCGAGAAACUAGUCCUUCGUGAGGUUUUCACCUCCGUGCAGGAUAGUAGGUCGCUUUCAGGAUACAUCCGUACCUAUGUCUUCGUGAGAUUUUCAUCUCCGUGCAGCCAUAGGGAAAUGUAUUCCCCUAAACUGAACUCGGUCCGUAUGAGCCUAUAAUGGGUGAGGAUCGAGGAAUCUACUAGUUCGGGUACCUCGACUUUAGAACCAAACCGCAUAUAAUGGGCCCUAGGAGCCUACCUUAGGUAGAACCAUCUCGAACCCUAGUAGUUUCUUGAAUAGUGGCUUUAAUUAUUAUUUCUUGUAUACUUUGAGUUUAAGUUUUGUGUUAUAUUGACUUGUUUUGCUCUGACUGUGAUUGCAUGGCAUUUUCAUCAUAAAGAGGUAUUGGUUCAAGUUCAGUAUCUAAAUAGAGAAGCUCAACAUGGAAAGGGAGUUUCUUGGUAAAGUGGAAGACAAUGCAGCUGUCCGAGUUUGGUCGGAAAAGGUUCAGUGAGAAAAGGGCGAUAGCCUCGUAGAAGGAUAUGCAUCAGAAUUAUGGGACUUCACUCGCAUUAGUGUGACUCAGGACGGUGUGCAAGAUUUAAAAGAGAUAUGGAAUCAAUAGGAUAACGAGCUUAAGCAACUCUUUUAUAGUAACUAUGGUGACCUGCCUUAUUUGCUUGAUGUAAGAGUAGACAAGCGCCUAUUUCGAGCCCUUACGUAGUACUAUAAUCCAGCCUAUAGUUGUUUCACGUUUGGGAAAGUAGAUUUGAUACCUACAGUAGAAGAAUAUACAACCUUGCUACGAUGUCCGAGGAUCCAAGUUGACAAAGUCUACUCGAGAGCAGCUAAUGUCCCAACAUUCUUGAAGAAAUUAGUGUGCAUCACCGGAAUGAGCGAGCAAUAGGUUGCAGCCCGGAUUAAGCAAAAGGGGGACAGCAAAUGCAUACCUUGGAAAAGCUUGCGGGAUCUGAUCUUGGCACAUCCGGAUAUAAAGAAAAGGGUUGAUAUCUUUGCAUUAAGUAUUUAUGGCUUGGUUGUCUUCCCUAAGGCAUUAGGCCACGUGGAUGAAGCAGUUUCAGAUUUAUUUGAUAGGCUUAACAAGGGAGUCACACCGGUCCCAGCAAUUUUGGCUGAAACCUUCAGGUCCCUAAAUACGUGUCGAAGAGCGGGUGAGGGAAGGUUCAUCGGGCGCGCGCAGUUGCUAUUGGUAUGGUUUCAUAGUUACUUUUGGAAGGUGGAAAAGGUCACAUAUCGGGUCUUCUCAGAAAGUUACUCCCCAUUGAAAGAACUAGCGGCUACACCAAGACGAGACGACAUCACGGAAGAGAAGUGGAUGGUGAUUCUCCAAAGUCUUCAAGAAGAUGACGUUGAAUGGAAAGCUCCUUGGAUGGUGCCCAAUGAGAUCUUAUAUCGAUGUGGGGACUUUGACUAGGUCCCUUUACUUGGAAUUUGGGGAGCUAUCGGAUAUACCCCUUUACUUGUAUUAAGACAAUAUAGAUCGAGACAGUUCAUACCGGCAACGUAUGGGUUGGCUCAGUGUGAGUUCUCUUAUAAGGAUGAUAACUAUAAGAGAAAAUUUUGAAAAAUAUCUAAUUCUUGGAAAUGAGUUCACCGGAUGAAAAGAUUUACCGUAGGGGUAAUGACAACUCCCAAGUAUUAUGGGUGGUGGAACAAAAGGGUCAAUGACAAUAUCCUUGGGCCGAGAGAAGAUUGCGUUCAGUCUCUAGAGGAGCGUCUGCAAGUAGCACCGUCAGAAUUGGAAAUCAUCAAACAGGACUUUGAAAAAAAGAGUUCGGAAUGGGGAAAGAGGAUAGAGCAGCUAGAAGAGGAAAAGACGCGUUUGGGACUAGACGUCGAUAUCCACAAGCUAGAAGCCGAGAAACUAAAGAAAGGAAAGAACAAGGCUGAAGAGGAUUUUGAUAGCCUAAAAAUGGAUUAUAAGAAGCUGCGAUUGUCAAUGAGAACUGCCGGUUUGGGUAAAACGUCAGAGCAGUGGCAACAGGAAAUCAAAGAAGAAAAUACCAAAGCUGAUCAGUGGGAGAAGAAAUUUCAAGACGCCCUAGUUCGAGAGAGCGCUUUAGAGAAAAACUUGUCAGAAUGCCAGAAUGAAGAAGCAAGAUUAAAAGCCCGGGUAGCAGAGUUGGAAAAGUCGCUUCAUUUGCACCGUAGUCGCAACUCUGUGAUAGAUUUAAGAGCGAGCUUAAAUAAGAUCGAAGAACUGAAAGGAAAGAUAAGGGAUCUUGAGGACGCAUUGCACAAUUCUGAACUACGAAUGGAACUUCUUGAAAGGCGUAACGAACAGUGCCAAGAGCAAUUCCAUCAUUCUCAAAAUCAGAUUAGAGAAAGGGAUUACAUUAUGGGCGAAGCUGUGACUCAAGUACGGGAAGUAGCGGAUCAUCUACAAACCUUAGCGGUUCAAGCUGAUGUAUUAAGUUUAAAGUUCGAAUUAGAAUCGAGCCGAGAUCGAGAGUUAGCUCGGCUCCUUAAGAGUGUUAAGGCUUUAAGUAUAAGGGCAAAGUCGUAUAUGUAGUCCAUUUUAUGUGAAGAAAUUUGUUUUCUAAAUUGAGUUCUUCUAAUGAAAUUGAAUUGGAAUCAAUGCCUCCCUUUGCAUUCAUGCAUUUACAUUACAUUUCAUUACAUGCAUUAAGUUUCAUUAAGAAGGCCCUAAUUAAUCAAAAUUGUCACAGUUACCUUGGAAACCAACAAAAAUCCAACCAAAUAUCACUACGGUACUCGACGUCAAACAAAAGCAAUGGAUCAGAUGUUAGAAAGGCUUGAACAAAUGCAAAAGGAUAUGCAAGACAAGAUGCAAGAACAAUUGGAUAAAAUCCAACAAGACGCGCUAGAAUCCCAGAGAAUCAUGAGCCAACUGGCGCAAUUAUUGGCUGAUAAAGGAAAGAGCCCUGCAAUUAAUUUGGGAGUUGAUCAGGAGGACCCUAUUUAUCCUCCAGGUUUUACCCCGACAAGCACUCAGGCAGAGCUAGAGAUGUGCCCCCAAAGAGCACCUGUGACUAUUGGACCUCAAUAUCGGGCCGGCGCCUCGGUACCAAUGCACUUUCAAGUAGGCUCGGGUUCUAAUCCCGGGGACCCUACCAACCCUAUGGUCCCUAAUCUCGAUGACAUGGCAGAAAUGGAAAAAGUAAGAAUGGACCUGCCAAAACAACUCGAGGACCGGUGUAGAUGGCUAGAGGAGAAAUUUAGAGCCAUGGAGAACACCGACUACCGAUGUGGAGUUGACGCCAAAGAUUUAAGUUUGGUUCCUGAUUUAGUGCUCCCUCCUAAAUUCAAGAUGCCGAAGUUUGAAAAGUACAACGGGACCAGUUGUCCUGAAGCUCAUAUAACUAUGUUCUGUCAAAGAAUGAUGGCAUACGUCAACAAUGAUCAACUAUUAAUCCAUUACUUCCAGGACAGUUUGAUCGGGUCUGCAGCCAAGUGGUACAACCAGCUGAGUCGUACUAAGGUUAGUUCAUAGAGAGACUUGGCGCAAGCUUUUAUGAAGCAAUACAGUCAUGUGACGGAUAUAACACCCGACAGAAUUACGUUACAGAACAUGGAAAAGAAACAAAACGAGAGUUUCAGGCAAUACGCCCAACGAUGGAGGGAGGUGGCAACGCAAGUCCAGCCACCCCUUUUGGAAAAAGAGGUCACCAUGCUAAUCCUUCCUCGUACGUAACCGACUCCCGAACCCGUUUUUCUAAAUUUUGUGGACCAAAAUCGUUGUUUUAAUAAAAUUAAAUCGUUUAUUAAAAACAACCAUUUUUCAAGGUGAUCCGAUCACACCUCUUAUCAAAAAAAGAUUGGUGGCGACUCCCGUUUUUUCAUUUUCAUUUUCAAAAUCCAAGUUGACCCCAUUUCAUAAAAAAAUGGUGUCAACAAUGGCAUAUUGGUUAGACAUAGGUUGAGUGAAUUUGACAUGUUUUUGGGUGUGAUUGAAUGUGUUUGAGCAUGAAAUUGUAGUUGAAAAUAACUUGGCUUAGUGUUUGAGUUUUGGAGGAAAAACAACUUGAAAUGCAAGCUUUUUAAGGUGCACAUGGUCUGGGACAUGGGCUGCCACAGUGUCUUGUGGCACACACAACCACCCAACACAGCCUUGUGUCAUAUUUAUUUUAGGUGUGGGUUUUACACGAUUGUGCACGAUCUGACACACGGCCUACGGCACGGCCGUGUGGCCCUAUUUUGAUUACCCACACAGGCGAACAAAAGGGUUAGGACAUGGCCGUGUGUCCCACACUUCAAAUGCUCACAAGUUCUGGGCUAUGUCACACAGCCGUGUGACCCCUAUUUUCAAAAAUUGUCAACUUUUCCAAAAUUUUUUGAUAUUUUUUCAAAAUGAUCCCCGAAUGUUCCUAAACUAUUUUUAGGGCCUCGUAGGCUCGAUCUAAGGCCCAUAAGUGUAUUUCUAUCUUGAUUAAAAUGAGUUAUUGAAUGUUAUUACUUAAUUUGCAUAAUUUUUUUUCUAUUUGAAGUUAAAUGUUAUGAAUUGUACUAUAAUACUCUAUAACCUUAAUCCGAUGAUGAAGACAGGUUAGGUGUGUUACAUUUAGUGGUAUUAGAGCUAUGAUUUAACUGAUUCUCGGGCUGAACGUAGCGUAUUUGAAGUCAAGAAAUUACAUGCCAUAUAAAUCUGUGAUAUGUGAUAUUAAAUUAUCCAAUCUAACCCCUGAUUUUCUUAUAGAUUUUAAAGAUGUCAGCAGAAUCUGAUCGUGCUGACACGGAUGAAGUUAAUAGUAAUGUCUCCACUUUUAAACAAGAAGCAAGUCGUAGUUUACCUAUUCCAAAAAUGUCAGAAAAUAAAGUCAAAAAUAUUUUCUUCGGUUUAAUGGGUCAGUGGUUCACAGAAUUUAUGAUAACCAACCCUGUGGCUCUACAACCUCCACCCCCUGUUAUAACUUCAGUGGUAACUUUAUACCUCAAAUGACUGAAUCGACUCGAUGACCUCCAACUGACAAAAUACAAAAUACGGUGCUGAAGAAUUUAAAGUUAGAUCAGAUGACGGUCCUACUAAAGCUGAAUACUGGCUCGAAAAUAUCCAACGAGUCUUUGAUGAACUCGUCUAUUCUCCUAAUGAUUAUCUGAGGUGUGUCGUGUCAUUUCUUAAGGAUGAAGCGUACAGUUGGUGGUCCACGUUGACAGCAGUUGUACCGAGAGACAAGGUUACUUGGGAUUUUUUCCAAUUAGAGUUUAAAAAAAUAUGUCAGUAAACGAUAUCUAUAUCAGAAAAAGAAAGAAUUUCUUAAAUUAAAGUAAGGAAAUAAAUCAGUAGUUGAAUACGAGAGACAGUUUGUGUAUCUCAACAAGUAUGCUCAUGAAAUUGUGUCAAAUAAGGAAGAAAUCUGCAUCCGUUUUGAAGAUGGUUUGAAUGAUGAAAUUAAAAUGAUGACCAUAGGGAUAGAAAUAUGACAAUUCGUGGUUUUAUCUUAUUAAGCUCAAAAGAUAGAGGAAGUUUAUAAUAAGAAGAAAUAGAAAGAAAGAAAGGCUCAGAAAUUUGGUAAAAUAAGCUUUUCCAAGUCGUUUUCCACACCACCAUCAAAGAAAAAAAAAGAAUUUAAUCAUGUCAUUUUAGCAUCUGGGUUUUUGGGUAAAAAUAAAUCAGUUAAGCAUGAUUCUAAAUAUCAAGUUAAGCCUACUGAUAGUGUGGGAAGUGUUCGGAAUGCACUGAAGCCUGUUUGUAAACAUUGAGGAAAACUUCACACUAGAGAAUACAAAACCAAACUGGGUGUGUGUUAUAGAUGUGGCUCGACAGAUCAUUUUGUGCGUAAUUGCCUAAGAAUGGUAGGAGAUAAUAAAGAGCGAAGUGAUAGACAGAUGUCGACACCUUAGAAGGGUAGACGUCCCGGGCAAAGCAGUAAUACUGGAGCUUAUCUUAUUAAGAUAAAAAAUACAGUUGCCCGAUCUGAAGUUAGAGCGCCUACAUAAACAUAUGUUAUUUGAGUCAGGGAGGAAGUUGUCGCGCCUGAUGUUGUUGUUGGUAUAUUCUAUCUCUUUGAUGUUACUGUAUAUGCACUAAUUAACCCUGGGUCAACUCACUCAUAUAUUUGCACUGCAUUAGUAACAGAUAACAAUUUACCUGUUGAGUCAACUGAGUUUUACGUUCAAGUUAUAAAUCCACUGGGUCAAGGCAUGAUAGUUAAUUUAAUAUGUCGUAAGUGUCCACAGAAAAUUCAGGGAUAUGAAUUUCUUACAUAUUUGAUGUUGUUACCCUUUAAGGAAUUCGAUAUUAUUCAGGGAAUGGAUUGGUUGACAUUACAUAAUGUUGUGGUAAACUGUAGAUUGAAAAGGAUUGAUUUGAGAUGUCAAACGGGUGAAAUGAUUUCAGUUGAAUCAGAUAGAUCAAACAGUGUUACCAGUGUCAUCUCAGCAAUGACAGCACGGAAAUUGGUUCGUAAAGGUUGUGAGGUAUUUUUUGCUUAUAUACUUCAUACUCGAGAUUCAGAGUCAAAGUUGGACCGUUGUUUCUUCAGCAAAUUUUGGAGUUGCAAAAUGAUGACUCGAAAUUGGUAGCUAAAUGAGAAUAGGUUCACAGUGAUUCAUCUACAGAAUUUUGUGUUGAUGUUGAUGGUAUAUUGUAGUUUUGUAAUAGACUGUGUGUUUCAAAUAAUCUAGAAUUGAACCGAGACAUUUUGAUUGAAGCUCAUAGUAGUACGUAAAAUAUACAUUCGAGUAGUACGAAAAUGUUUUGUGACUUAAAAUAGAUGUAUUGGUGGCCAUGUAUGAAAUGCAAAAGUUCAGAGUUUGUAGCUAAAUGUCUGGUUUGUCAGCAGGUAAAAGCUUAGCAUCAAAUACCGUCAAGAUUACUACAACCUGUCAUGAUUCCUGAAUGGAAAUGGGAGUGAGUCACGAUGGAUUUUGUUUCUGGAUUACCUGUAUCCCAGAGAAAGAAAGAUUUGAUCUGGAUUAUUGUUGACAGAUUGACAAUGUUGGUUCAUUUUGUUCCGAUCUGAAUAGAUUAAUCGCUUGAAAUAUUAGUUGAUUUAUAUGUGUCUGAAAUCAUCAAAUUGCACGGAGUGCCACUGUCUAUUAUUUCUAAUCGAGACCCAAGAUUUACCUCUAGAUUUUGAGGUAAAAUUAAUAAAGUUUUGGGUACGAAACUCAAUUUUAGCACAUAUUCCAUUCGCAGACAGACGGACAAUCAAAACGAGUUAUACAUAUUUUAGAAGACAUGUUAUGGUAGUGUAUUCUUGAGUUUGAGGGUAGUUGGGAAAAAUAUGUCGUUAGUACUAAAAUGACACUAUUUGAAGCUUUAUAUGAAAGGAAAUGUAGAACACCGCUAUACUGGUCAGAUUUGAGCGAAUCUAAGCUAGUUGGGACAGAUUUGAUUCGUGAAACUGAAGCUAAAGUUUGUAUUAUUCUUGAUUGUCUGAAAGCUGUAUCUGAUAGGUAGAAUUCAUACACUGAUCGUGGAAGAUAAUACUACAUGGCAGAAAGGGAAAGUUGAGUUCGAGGUUUAUCGGGCCGUAUGAGAUUAUUGAAAGAAUUGGUCUAGCAGCUUACAGCUUGGCGUUACCUCCUAAACUUGAAAAGAUUCACAAUGUUUUCCAUGUUUCGAUGCUGAGAUAGUAUAGAUCAAGUCCUUCACAUGUGAUUCCUUCUAGUGAAAUUGAAUUACAAUCGAAUUUGUUGUAUUCUGAAGAAUAGAUAAGAAUUUUGGCUCGUGAAGUAAAAGAACUUCAGAAUAAACGGGUACUGUUAGUAAAUUUUUUAUGGAAUCAGCAUAGUACAGAGGAAGCUACUUGGGAGACUAAGGAAUUGAUGAGGGAGAGUUGUAAUAGCCUGAUUUCAAUCGUAUCAGAAAUAGUGGUUUCGGGACCACAAUUUUGAUAUGUGUGUUUGUAAAUAUUAAUUAUUUAAUAUUUACAAGGUCCUUAGGGUCGUAUUAAAUUUUGGUUAGGAAAUUUUAACGUUUAGAUAGUUAAUUAAACAAAAAGGACUAAACUAUGAAAGUUGUAAAAUCUAGCUAUAAUUGAAUUAUAGUGAUUAGAUGGUGUAAAUCAAAUAAGUAGAAUGGUUUAAAGGGAAAAUAUACCAUUCUUAAUUAGCAUGGACUGUUAAGGCUAUUUCAAAAAUGUAUGUUUAAUUAAAGGGCAAUUCUGUAAUUAAAUAAUAAAAACUUAAGUAAAAUAAAACAAAAAUAAUGUAUCAUCUUCCCAAAAUGGUUUUGACUAAAAUUGAAUAAAAGAAAAAACCAUUUAAGGCUUGAAGGUUUGGCCACCUUAAUUUCCUUUGCAUGUGAGUGAAUUUUUCAUAUGUUUCUUGUAAUUUUUAUGUUUUUGAGAUCGUUGCAACUAGGCCUAGCUAACUCAUACCUCUAUUUUUGAAGCUGUUAAAUGUUUUAGAAUGUGCCAUGGAUGAGUUUGAGGUGUUUAUGAAAGUUUUUGAUAGAUUACUAAGCUUGGUUGUUAAAUAGGAUUAUUUUCUAAAGUAAUUUUUAUUGAUUUUUAUGUUAAAUGACUAAAUUGUUUAAACGGUAAAAUUUCAUAGUAUUGUUGUGAAAUUAUGUUAAAUAGAGGGUUGUGUAGAAAUAUUCUUCUGGUAUGGGUUGUGUCCAAAUAAGGUUAAUUUUGUAAUUUUUUGGGUUUAGGGAUUAAAUUAAAUAAAGUGUAAAAGUUUGGUGCAAUUGUGAAAUAUUGUAAAUAAAAUGGAAUAUGUAUUAAAUUGACUGAUACAUGAAAUUGAAGCUAAUAAAAUGAAAUAAACUAUUUCAUAGAACAAUAACAAGUAGAUAACCAACGAAAAGACAAAGUUGCUGGGUAGUCCCUAAACUUUUACAAACUCUACCGUUUAACCUUGGUAAGUUCAUUUAGUUUAUUUUAACAUAUUUUGAAAUGUACAUUGACUGUGAAAUUGGUUAUUGAAUAUUUUAGUGAAUGAUUGAUUAUAAACUAUUGUCAAUUUAGAAAAUAGUUUAUUUGAACCUUGUUAAACGAUGUUGUGUUGUGAACCGAAUGAACGUAAGAUAGAGUACGAUUGGCAUGUCAAUAGGUUAUAGUGCAAACUGUAUGGGAUUGACUUGUCACAAGGCAAUGCUUCAUGAUUUGUGUUUACACACUAAGUAUAUCAUGGUUCGGCAUUUGUUGCGAACUAUCAUGUUAUAUUACAGUGAUUUUGGCGUGUUACUGGGAGUGGAUGUAAAGCCUUCGAUCUUGGCACUUGGUGCCCAAGCGUGUUUUUGGAGGGAUGUUAGCCUAUGGGCAAGGCACUUGGUGCCAAGGUGUGUUUUCAGUUGGAUUGGCUCAUUUGAGCUCAUGGCGUGUUUCGAAUGGAUAGCUGUGUACUCAUAUCUGUAUAUCUUUCAUCGAGCAAUAUCUCUAGUGUUAAAUGACUUGUUAUUGAAUUUUUUGAAAGUUGUUCAUGAAUUUCCUAACAACUUUGUGGCUUAAUAUUGAAUGAUUUCAUAUAUUUGUAUUAAAAUGUAACUCGUACAUGAUUGUAUGUAUAUAAUCACCUAUUAAUGAUUGUGGUUGAUAAGAAACACUGUUGAUUACUCUUGUUAUUAUAAAUGUUAUGUGUAUUUCAAUAAGCUUUAUCGUUCUAACCGUUGAACUUACUAAGCUUUAUAGAGGCUUAUUCGUGUUAUUUUCUUGUUUCCUUGUAGAUAGUGUUUUGGUAGUUUUUGAAGUUAACUUUUGGGUUAUAUGGCAUGUAAUAGGUGAAAUUUGUAGAUGUUUGAUUUUUAAAUUAUUUGGUAAUUAUGAAAGUGAUGAAUGAUGCCUAUGUUUAGUAUUAACUUAUAUGUGUUUAUGUUCAUGUCAUGUUAUUUGGUCAUUUGGUAUACUUUUUAUCUAGGUGUUUGAAAUUAUGGUAUGAAUGUAUAUGUUUAAAUGAGAAAAGUAAUGGUGAGUUUUUAAAUAAUAUGAUAUAUGGUUUGAGAGUUUGAAUGAUUACGUGUUAAUGCGUUUGGUGUAUGAAUGUGACAUGGAGUAUAGCCUUGAAUUUGGUUAGUUUUGUAAUGUGAAUUGAGGUGCCAAAAGAUGGCGUAUUGGUUAGACAUUGGUUGAGUGAAUUUGACAUGUUUUUGGGUGUAAUUGAAUGUGUUUGAGCAUGAAAUUGUAGUUGAAAAUAGCUUGGCUUGGUGCUUAAGUUUUGGUGAAAGUCUCACUGUAUGGUAGUGCGGUGGAUUCACAUCAUUGCUACAAAGCUUAUACCAAGACCAACCAGAAUCAUCAUCAACGGCGAGGCAUUUAUUGUUUCACCCCUCGAUUAUUGGGGUGGGGGAUAGUCAACAGUAUUUGGUCACCGAGCCUACGACACACCAGCACGACAUUCUGUCAAUGCCUUUGAUUUUAAUUUUGGCACCCUAAUGUUCAACACUAGUAAGACUCAAACAGGCACACCAUCAAGUUACUGGGUUAGGGUAAACAGGAGUGAUUUUAGGGUUGACAUCGAAUUUACAAGAAUGAAUGAUCUACUCCCAACAACCUCGACUAGUAAGGGCACAUCCAACCCUGGAUUUGCAACUGUGGUUGAUAACAAAUAGGGAGAAAAGAACGAAGAGGAUAAAGAAACAGAUAAUAACCCAAUAGAGGAGGUGGGGCUCGAUGGUACGAAAAUUGCAAUAAUUUAAGAACCAGAUCCCGAUCCUAUUGAACCGAAAGAAUGAGGACCUAACGGUGAAGCUACGGACAUUGCUCGAUGGGAUGACUCGUGUUUUACGGCUUACUAACCCCCACCAGCAUGUGAACUCUUGAUCUCACUGCUGAAGGAGGUUUAGAAUUCCAAGACCUCCCUCAUAGAAGACUAGGGCAUGCGUCUUCGUCAACAAAUUUUGGCCAUUUAGAGGUUGGGAUGGAGUUUGACUCUAAAGAUGCUUUUUAGUUACUAUCAAGCAAUAUAACAUAAAAAUUCGCGUCAAAUUCACCUUUACAUGCUCUCGAUCUAAGAAAUAUGUGGCAAACUACGUAAUGCAUAGAACAUGAUAUCCAUGGAAAAUCAUGGCAUCUAUAAGGAAGAAGUCGCCGUUUUGGACAAUCCAGAAGUCUACUACGCCAAAUCCAUGUGUUGUAGCUGAUAUGCAUCAUAGUUAACAAGAUCGACUCAAAUUCUGACUUUUUUUUCGACAUUCUACUACGUAUGGUGACCUAAUUUAUUAUUUUUCAUACAUGUCAAACGAUCAUCCAAAAUUGGAUUCAGAUAUGAUACCUAACUUUAUAUUACCAUGGUCAAAGCGAGUCCUAAGAUUUUGAUCCUUAGUUUGAUUGCACACAUCCGCAGCGACUUCGAUUACACCAUGUCUUACCAUAGGUCAUGGUUGGCAAAGCAAAAGGCAUUGGAGAAUAUGCACAACGGGUGAGAGAAACCCUACAACGAAUUGUGGCAAUAGUGUCAGGUACUGGAGUAGUACGUACUAGGUUUCAUAACCAAGUUGCAAAUGGAGCUUGUGUAUUACAGUGAUCGCUUGGUCCCUAGAAAAAGAGUUUCCCACCUUUUUUUUUUAGACUUUCAAGCAACGCGUAACUGUAUUUCGGUACUGUAAGCCACUUGUCCAAAUUGAAGGCACAUUCUUGUACGAGAGAUACGAGCAUAAGUUGUUAAUAGCUAUUACACAGGAUGGUAAUCGAAUAAUCGCCAAUAGAUUUUGCAAUAACUCCGGAAGAAUACCGUGAUGACUGAGAUUUCCUCUUAACUAACCUGAGAAGGCAUGUUGUACCGCAACCCGAGGUGUGUAUCAUUUCUGACAAAGGCACCGAAAUACAGGCCGCAUUCUAAUGAUAUUCAAGCCUAUGGGAUCGUGCACACCAUAGGUAUUGUUUGUGUCACAUAGGGUCUAACUACAUGGGCCAAUAACAUAAGGAUGCGAAGCGGUAACAUGUCAUUAACACAGGUACAUUCUGCAUAUAAUUGGUUUCCUGUAAAACAGUUUGACAUAUACAUUUUGGGUCACUUUUCUUGAAUUCAUUGUUGAUUGUCGUCGACAGGGUACGAGCUCGUUUAACAUCGAUUUCAUGAAAUGUAAGAGGGACUACAGGUUGUAAACCAACUGGGUGUGCAGUACCUCGAUGGGAUACCACUAAAGCAGUGGGCGCAAUUAUAUGAUGGAGGACUAAAAUAUGGGCACAUUACCUCAAACCUAGCAGAAUGCACUAAUUUCAUAUUGAAGGGGACACGUCAUUUGUCUGUAACCUAGGUGGUCAAGGAAAUGUAUUUUUAAUUAGCAGCAUUGUUUCCAAAGCGGGCUGAGACAUACACAGGGCAGUUAAAGGGUGAUCACGUUUGGUGCAAGUCAAUGUUGAAGGGUAUUGAGGAAAAUGUAGAAAUCACUUACUCAAUUACUUCAAUGUGUCACUCGUGACAAAAUAUAAUAUUUCGAGUUAAGAAGCCCCAUAGACCCGACCAUGAAGUUAUCGGUGGAGCGUACCGUGUAAACCUUAGACAAAUUACCUACAACUGUAGGAGAUUUCAAGCACUUCGUUAUCCAAGCGCACAUGCAAUUGUUGUAUGUGCCUCGGAAUGUAUAGAUUGCAUAACCUGCGUUGACGAAGUUUACAAACUUGAACGUAUGUAUAAUGUUUGAAAAUCUGAAUUCCCACCUAUCCCUUAUGAAAGCAUGUGGCCGCCUACCUCGCACGCUCCUUUUGAGUUGGUACCAAAUAAGAACUUGCGAUACAAGCCAAAAUGUUGGCCGAACUCAACUUGGAUAUGAGGAAAUAUGGAUAUUCAAGAGCGGGGAGAUUGUAACAGCCCGGUUUUAGUUAAAUCAAAACAGUGGUUUCAGAACCACAAAUCUGAGGUCAAAAAAUUAUUUUAAUAUUAUUUUUGGUAUUUACAGCAUGUGAUUAUAUAUGUGUGAAAGUUUCGUAAAGAAAUUUUACUAUUUGAAUGCUUAAUUCGGUAAAAAGGACUAAAUUGCGUAAACCGUAAAAGUUGUGUUCUAUAAGAUAAAGGUGUCUAAUAGAUAUAGAACAUUAAUGCAAAGGUCCUUAAGUGGUAAAUAGGUCAUUUGUGAGUUAGUGGAUGAUAGUGGAGUGGCAUUUGGUGUAAUUACUAAUGUUUUUAACGGUAAAAUAGUAAAUAAGUAAAUUAAUGAUAAAAUAAAUAAAACCAAAGCUAAAAUUUUGUCCAUCUUUUCUUCCUUGGCCGAAUAUUGAAGAAGAAAGACACCAUUGAUGAACACUUAGGGUUGGGCACACACAUAGCUUGAUUAAGGUACGGUUUGAGCUUGGUUUUUAAUAAUUUUUACGUUUUUGAGAUUGUUGCUUCGUGUUCAAGCUAGCCCAUGCCCUAAUUUUUGAAUUGGUUGAUGAAUUUGUGAAUUGGAAUUGAUGAUAGCUUGAUUUUUUUGAAUGUUGAUGAUGGAAAAUGAAUAAUUGUUGAUAAAUUAAUAUGUUUUGUAAAGUGAUUUUUAACAAAAAUGUCAAAUAGGGAUUAAAUUGUGAAAUACGCAAAUUGAGUGGUUAAAAUAUGAAAUAAAUGAAAUUUUUGGGCUGCUAGGGGCACUAUAGUAAUUUGGCUAAGCUUGGGUUAUAUUGAGUUGUGUGAAUUUUGUGUAUUUGUGAAAUAGUGACUAAAUUGAAUAAAUAUAAAACUUUAGGGGCUAAAGUGCAAAAAUGUCCAAAUAGGUAUUUUUGGAUGAAAUUGAAUGAAUAGGUGAUUAAAUAAGUUAAAUUUGAAUUCAUAUAGAUCAAGAAAGAAAGAAAUCAGAUUUAGAUGGGGGAAAUCGAAAGUUGAUGAGUAAUUGAUCUAAUUCGUUCGUUUCCGUACGAGGUAAGUUCAUAAGUAAGUAAAUGUUUUUGAAUUAAAUUGUAUAUGUAUACAUAUAUAUUUCCGAAUUGAUUUGAGCAUUGGAUGACUAGUUUCGUGCAUGAAUUGAUUUAAUUAUGAAGUCGAAAGCUCCGAAUGAAUCCUAGGAAAUGUAUAGGAUACUGAUGUCAUGAUAUUAGGACUUUCGAGGUGUGAUUUCAUGUAAGAUCAUGUUUCGGACAUUGGCAUCGAAGUGAGAAAAUGUGUAAAACCAUGUUUGGGACAUUGGCAUAAGAUAUGAUUCGUAUAAGACCCUGUUUGGUACAGUGGCAUCGAUAUGCGUUAACAUGUAAGACCAUAUCCGGGAUAUGGCAUUGUACGAGUUUUAUAUGAUUUCGUGUGUUCUUAACAAUUCUGAAUUUGAAUUUGAGCUAAAUGGUUCAGGUAUGUGUGAAGUUUAUAUUUUCAUGAAAUAAUAAGGUAAGUUUAGUACUUAAUGGGAUAAUAUGAAUUUAUAUGAGACAAUUAAAAGUAUAGUUGAAUUGAAUUAUAAAUGUCACUGAGAUGUUAUUUGCUUAUGGCUACUAAGCUUCCAAAGCUUACUUUCGGCAUCCUUCCAUUGUAUUAUAGAUAUAUAUAAAGCUAGCUCGAGCUCGGGGAUCGUCAAGGAUUUAUCAUCACACUAUCAAUCGCCAUUUUGGUAUUUUGAAAACUUGAUAUUAUGACAUAUGGCAUGUAUAGACUAUGGUAAAUUUUGAAUUGAAUAUAAGUUGCCAUGCGAAAUGGCUUGUUCGAGAUACUAAUUUUUAUGUAUAUUCGGUCAUGUUAUAAGCUCUUUUGGGAAGUAUGUUUCGAGGUAUAUAUGUAUGAUAAUGUUUGGUUAUAAGAUUCGGCUUGAGUAAUGAUUUAGUUGGUGGAUGUGUUUUGUUAUAAUGUAAUAUGAUUCGAUGUAUGUUAGUUGGUUCGAAAUUUGAAUAGUAGAAUGAUUAUGACUUGGUUAAAUUUCAGUGUAUGAAUUGUAUUGUGAAAUUGGUUUGCACGGAAAAGAAGUAUGGUUUGUAUAUGAGAUAUGAUUAGUAGACAUGAAUUGUGAUAAAUGAUUGUAUUGUGUUAGGUAAUGCCUCGUAACCCUAAUCUGGCGACGGAUACGGGUUAGGGGUGUUAUAGAGACACACUAAGGUUAUGCACAUAUUGUAGGGACCCAAAGCAUAUGAAGCCAACAUGUCCACACAACUCGGGAGCAUCGAGAAGAAGAGCUAAUUAAAUCACUAACUUAUUCAUUUAUUCAUUUUUUUUCUGUAAAGUGAAAAGAUUAUUACUUCUUCAAGUAAGAUAUAUUACAAUACACAAGUCAAAGUUUUAAUUUGAAAUUAGGAUGCUUGUGAUCAAUUCUUUGCUUUGUCAAAAGUUUGUGUCUAACAAAUCAACGAAAAAAAAGACUUAAAUGAAAAAGUAACAUAAAUAAUUGUAAAUUUUAAACUCACAAUAUGAUAUGUUACAAAGCAAACCAAUUUAAUAAAUUUAUUUCAUAUAUUGUAAAUAAGUGUAGAUUUCAGAUGUAAAACAAAUUAUAAAAUUUGGUACUAAGGAAAACGCACCUUGUAGGACGUGUUUUUCUUUCUCUUUCCAAAACAACGCAUAUCAGUAAUUUUUAGAAUUUCAACCUAGUUUCUCAAAUCAUUUUUUCAGCCUAUAUGUAUAAAUUAACCUAUAUUAAUAACUAAAUUAACCAUUAAAAAACUAAAUUUAAUAGUUCGACUAAAAAGACUCAAUUACCCAUAAAUGCCUAAAAAUUUUAAAAUUUACUAGAUUAGGCCAUUUUUUGGAAGAAUUACGGGAAUAGGCCGAUUUUACGAAAACGCUUCCAGCUGGAAGCAUUUUCAGGUGAAAUUCAAAAAAAAAAAAACGCAUCUAGGUGGAAGAGUUUUUAGGUGAUUUGCAGAAAAACGCUUUCAGCUGGAAGCGCUUUUUGCCACAUUGUAGUGUAGCCUUUAAUAUUAUGUUAUUAGUUGACAGAGUAAGCAAUCUCACAUUGUCUACGAGCAAGCUAUAAAUGGAUUAUGAGUCUAUAUAUACCUAUAUCCCACAUCCCAUAUCGCUUAAACAAGGGAAAUGAGACUUGAGGUCUAUAUAAAGGCCUGGUUUGUAAGUUUUAUUUUCACAUUAAUAGGUGGCACCAAAAAACAAAUAAAAUUUAUUGGUUUUUGCAAAUCAUCUGAAAACAUCCAGGUAGACGUGUUUUUUUGAAUUUAAAAAAAUGGCCUAUUCUCGUAAUUCUUCCAAAAAGCGGCCUAAUCUGGUAAAUUUUAAAAUUUUUUGGCAAUUAUAGGAAAUUUAAUCACUAAAAAAUAACAUAUAAUAAUUAUAUUUUAAAAAUAAAAUAUAUGGUAAAAGUAUUUGUUUCAUAAAAGAUAAAAAAUAAAGUCAAAGGAAAAAAUUUUCAAAAUUAUUUUCAAAAUUAUUUUUCUGAAUCUAUUAUGAUUUUAUAUAAUAAUAUUUUCUAAAAGUUGACCAGAAAUAGCGUGUCUCAAUAUCCACCUUAGUUAAAGUUGAACCCUUCCCAUCUGACUUUUCUCUAAAACCCUUUCAAUGCAUUAUAAAGGCGAAGCUUCUCAUUUGAUUUGCCAUGAUAAUCUCCUCCACCUUCCGCCAUGGUAACGCCACCACCACCGCUCUUAAAGAUCGACCUCUGGACCAUCCGGUCUGAAUACUGCCGGAUAAUCAAAGCCCACUCCCGCCACUUCCUAGCUCUCUCACUCCUCUUCCUCCUCCCUUUCUCUUUCUUCUUAUCCAUCUACCCCUUUAUCGCCAUUGAAUUCUACCUCAGCUUCCUUCAGCAAGAUCCCUCCAUCUUCCCCACUAAAACCUUUAUCCUCAAUCUCCUUUACACCCUCCCCAUCUCCAUCUUCUCCCUCUUGGCAACCGGUUCCAUCACUUACAGCAUUUUUCACGGCUUUUACGGUCGACCCAUCAAGCUUUUAUCCGCUAUAAAGGCAGCUUUCACUUCCUUCUUCCCUCUCUUCUCGACUUGCCUUAUGACCCAGCUUAUCGUUUCUGGGAUCAGUUUGAUCCUUGGUUUAGCCUUUUCUGCAGUAGUUAUUUUAGGCUUCCAAGUUCGUUACCCUUCACCUUAUUUCAUUUUCCUUUGCCUUGUUUACGUGAUUAUUCUCUUGUUUGUUGUGGUUCAUUUACAAGUGAAUUGGAUAUUUGCUUACGUAGUUGUCGUCGUUGAAUCAAGCUGGGGGUUUGAACCAUUAAAGCGAAGUCGAAAUUU
rnacentral:lncRNA from 1 species